rnacentral:lncRNA from 1 species
AGAGAGAGAGAGAGGCCUGAUCGGGUAAAUGAGAAAGAGGAGAGGUAGGUUUGAUAUUUAUGAUGGACAAUAUUGUCUUUUUCUUAAGAUUUGUGUAAAUGAGCAAUGAAAAAUGAUUUUCAUUGGAAUGGGCUAUCAGCUUUUCAAAUUAGUACUAAAUGGGUAUUUGCUCUUGAAUUAAUUUGAAGUUGUAGCAUCUAGCUACAUGGUUCAUGUGAUUCACUAUAUAUACAAACUAAUUUCAUAUGAAUACAAUAUAUGUGCAUGCAUUUGGUCCAUGCCACAUGAAUCCUACGUAACAAAUUAAGGAUAACUAUGUGCAAUACAUGUGAUAAGAUCAUGAUGAGCUCAUGGCAACAUGCAAAGAAGCAAGCAAGCUAGCUAUAUCCCCAGUUGUAAAAUAUUCAAGGGGGAUCGAACGUCAAUAUAAGACAACCGCAAAUUUAGAAGCAAAGGCAUACAAAAGCAAGUCUAAGAGGCUUUUCCUUGCCAUAGCCGUUUUGCCGAUAAAAUCUAGAUAUUAGCAAACAUCUCCAUCCCUUUCCUCAUCCCUUCAUGUUUAUCACUGCAAGCUUUUUAUGUUGAUCCAUUAUUUGGUUCUGAAGAUCGAGCUAUAUAUAGGAUAUAUAUAUUGAUGCAUGCCUGCAUUGGGGGUGAGAAGAUGGUAGCGAUUUGUAAUGAACGGCUGCGCUUAGCCAACUAUACUAUCAGCGUGGUGAUUAUGAAGAUCUUAAUUAGUUGUAGUAUGGUAGCAGGCGUGGGAUUUGGGGAGUCAGCAGCAGCGCAGGUUCCGGCAAUGUUUGCGUUUGGGGACUCACUCAUUGAUGUUGGCAACAACAACUUCAUAAGCUCCUUCGCAAGAUCCAAUUACUAUCCUUAUGGCAUCGAUUUCAGGGGAGGCCCCUCCGGCAGAUUCACCAAUGGAAGAACUUCCAUUGAUAUGCUUGGUGCGUCCGUCUUGCCUAGCUACAUAUGCAUCCCGCCUCUAAACUCUGUCUAACCUAGCUAGUUACAUAUUAUAUAUAUAUAUAUAUACACACACAUAUAUAUACAAAAAUUAUCAGCUGCGGACGUCCGCACCGCUUUACGGUGCGGAUUUUCCUCCGUUCGCCACCGUAUAGUGCCGGCGAGGCCGCGCCUCUACCCAAGCGGACUCCAACAGCUUCCCUGACCACUUUCUAUUCCCGGCGAGUCCGCCGAAUUCCAGUUUUCCGAUCAGAUCACCCAAAACUUUAAACAAAGUCAAUCUGGCGGAAAACUGAAAUUCGGCGGACUCGCCGGGAAUGAAAAAUGGUCGGGGAAGCUGCUGGAGUCCACUAGGAUGGAGAAGCGCCCUGGCCGGCGCCGUACGGAGAGAAAUCCGCACUGUAAAGCGGUGCGGACGUCUGUAUCUGAAACGGACUGUGUGUGUAUAUAUAUAUAUAUAUGCCUAUAUUANNNNNNNNNNNNNNNNNNNNUUUUUGUUUUUUUAUAUAUGCCUAUAUACCUACAUGCGUAUUAAUCAAUUAUGUUCUACGUACUGUUGCAGGAAAUUUGCUGGGUCUUCCUUAUGCUCCGGCCUUUGCAGAUCCUAAUACAAAAGGAAACAGAAUACUCAGGGGAGUCAAUUAUGCCUCAGCAGCUGCUGGCAUACUCGAUGAGACAGGGCGACACUACGUAAGUCACUACAAGCUUAUUAACUUCUUGCUUGUCUAUAAUAAAUAUUAAUGAACGAAAUUAAUCCAUUAGUGAAUGGGGACGAACAUGCAAUAUUCAUAUCUGUACGUUGAUUCAGGGAGAUCGGUACUCCCUAAGCCGACAAGUAAUGAAUUUCGAAAGCACCUUGAAUCAGUUGAGAACGAUGAUGGGGGGAACUAACCUGACCCAGUACCUGGCUAAGUCGAUUGCUGUUUUGGUGUUUGGGAGCAAUGACUACAUCAACAACUACCUCAUGCCCUUCUAUAAUUCCAGUUACACUUAUAGUCCUCCUGCCUUUGCCAACCUUCUCCUGAGUCGCUAUGCCACACAGAUUCUGGCUUUGCACAGUCUUGGAUUGAGGAAGUUUAUGCUGGUAGGAAUCGGGCCUUUGGGUUGCAUUCCUAACCAAAGAGCAUCAGGUAGAGCCCAGCCUGGAAGAUGUGUUGACAAUGUCAAUCAGAUCCUUGGCAGCUUCAAUCAAGGGCUCAGAUCACUCGCCACCCAGCUUAACAGCAACCAUCCUGGUGCCAUCUUUGUGUACGGCAAUGCUUAUGGCGCUUUUGGCGACAUUCUGAACAAUCCUUUAUCUUAUGGUAAGUAAAAAUAGAACCAUCCUAUUUUGAGUUUAAGGCGACUUAACGCCCGAUAUAUAGCAUGUUAUGUUGGAAAAGUUUAAUUGGCAUUGGCGUAUGCUGCAGGUUUCACUGUGAUUGAUAGGGCUUGCUGUGGAAUUGGGAGGAACCAAGGGCAGAUAACAUGUCUUCCAUUUGCAGUUCCAUGCUCAAAUAGAAAUCAAUAUAUGUUUUGGGAUGCUUUCCACCCAACUGAAGCUGCAAACGCAGUCCUUGCUUGGCGGGCCUUUAACGGGCCACCCUCUGAUAGUUACCCCAUCAAUGUCCAACAAAUGUCUCUCUUAUAAGUAUCUUGCUUCCAUGUAUCAAAUGCAAUAUUAAGGUUUGAAGUGUAGUCAUGGUAUGCAUGUAUACUUCUGAACAACAUAUCUAUAUCACUCUUUAAGCAAAAACAGAAAAUUAUAUUUAUAAACUAUCCUAGGCAAGAUACAAAAUGACUACAUAACAAAAAAUGACAACAUGAAAUGAAUGAGGACGGUAUCAACCUCAAAAACUACUUAUAACUUGUCAACAUACACUCAUAAACUCAUUGUUCUCACAUCUCAUAAUCAACUUCGCAGUUUCUAAUAAUAUUAGACAAACAUGAUCAAAUUUCUCAAAACAAAGAAAGUGUUUCUUCUUUCGUGUAGUGACAUUCCAAUUUUGUCGUAGUUAUAUAUGCAUUUUAUUCGGUGAAAGACAAUCAUUUAUGUUAAAUGAAUAGUUCAUUUGAAAUUAAUGAUAGAAUUCACUUAAGAGGGCAUUCCAGAUAAAACUAGGAGAACACAAGGCCAAAAUCGGCUUGACCCUCGAGGCUAGCUAGAGUAGCUAGAACAAACCGAAAGUGUACUACACUAAUUAUAUAUCCUAUUACAAUAGAACAUUACUCUACCACUCUUAAACAUACAUUGGGGCUAAAAUUACUUUGAUCCCUCAUUUUUUUUUCUUUUUUCUUUUUCAUAAUUAAACUCAUCAUUGAACUCACAAAUUUCAUCAAAUUCGUCAAAAAUUUGAAUCUUGCAACAAAUAUGACAUCAUGUUGAGCUGGAGCCAACAAGAAAUUAAAGCUCUAAUAUUCCUGAUUUCGGACGAAAUGGCCAAAACAAUCUUUUCCACCGAUUCUCUCCCUAUUACGACACUACUCUCUCUUUCUCUCUCUCUCUCUCAAAACUUCAAACCCAUAUUAAACAACCCAGAUCAACCUUUAGUUCACCUUCGCCUCACUCGAUUCGAGCUCUCCGACCCCUUUUGAUACUGAUACAUCACCCCUCACUCUCCAACUCACCAACCUAGUUCUACGUUGCCACGUCGGAGAUUCUCCACCACACCCUCCGUGCUCUCCCCAUCUCCAAAAAGCUCACCUUACUGCCAAGCCCGAGAAGAUCGGUUUCGCCACCGUAAUUAGGUCAGGGAUCAAUUUUCCAGCAUCGAAGUCGUGGAGGAGGAGGUCGGCUGGAUCAGAGAGAUCUACUUGACCUUUCUGGGUUGGUGGGACCUACUCAGUGACGAAGGCACUAGCUAUGAAGGUCAUUUUCCGGGGUCGGUGAGAAACAAGUUUAGCCGUGGAGGGAUUAGAGGGAGUGGGAAGCCACAGAUUGUCAGCGGAGCAAAGGUAAGGAAUGGACUUUGGCAUUACAUGGUGGAGUGGAGAGAGAGAGAGAUUAUGUCUCAGGGUUUACCUUUUCACGACUUCUGCUAACGAAAAUUCUUCACGCACCGAGGUAUAAAUGAACUUAGCAACCUAUAUGCAAUAUUUUGAUCCGGUCAUCUACGUCAUAUUAUCAUGCAUAUAUACUAAUACUGUUAACAAAAUUGAAACCCAAAAAAAUAGUCCUAACUGUUUUCAACACAUGAGGUGAGAAAUCGAGGUCGAAGAAUAUAUACUUUUAUUAUAAACGUUUAAUUUGAUCAGAUCAAAAACAAAAAUGAAAGGAAGGAAUUUAGGAUCUCUAGUCUUCAUUCGAUCUUCGGAUACAAUGAUUUUAGAACUUGCACAUUAAUAGUGCCAGUGCAUCUUGGUGUGUAGAAUCCACUCUGUUUCUACUAGAGUUUGCGUUAAGAAUGAAACUGUGAUUUGAAAAUGAAAAUUAGCCGAAGAGUUGGGUAGAGAAGAAGUAAAGGAGAGAGUGUUGGGUCGAGAAAAGGAAGAGGAAGAGAGAUAAAAAACAAUGUGUACGGGGUUAAAAGUUGAGAGUCAAAAAUAAUAAAAGUUAUUUUAGGUAUUUCAUUUAAAAUUACGAUUAAACAUUACAUUUGACGUUAUUUUAAAAUUUGUAUGAAGCUGAUGAAAUUUAAGAUGAUUUUGUUAGGAUCAUUCCUAAUUCCUAAUUCCCACUCUCUCUCAGCUCCAUCCGCCUAAUCUCUCUAAACAACAUCUAAUAUAUUAAGUACAUUGCAUUCCCACUUAAUUAUGCUGUAACCAAGUUAUCCAGUUUUCUUUGUGCAGGUUGUAUUGGGUCUUCCUAGGCAAUGCCUACUUUUUUUUACAUUCCAGAAGUGUCGGAUGUGCCACAUGUAGCAUUUCAGUUCAAAUAAUAUGCUUAUAUGUAUGGAACCACCUCCAUGGGAGAAAAUUAUGCAAUGAAAUCAAUUUGAAUUUACUUUUCAUUUUCCUCUUUCGCUUUGUAAGCCUAUUAUCUGGUAUUCAGAUCCAGAGUUUGGAGUGUCUUCGUUGAAGAACCUCCAGGUCACAACUCCACCCUCUACCCUACCCGCAUUCGUCAUAGUUCCACUCAUUCCACCAUCACGUAACAACAACAACCAGCCAUUGAACCACUCGCCUAUAUCCAUCUUCAUUGAUCAUUUGGCUACCUUUGAAGAUGUCAUCGAUAGCCUCUUGUCUUAAAACGACACCCUGCAAAUCCAAAAUGAUGAUUUACAACAUAAUACUGCGGCAAUAGCUCGCAGCCGAACCCACAUGACUUACCAAUUUGUUGCAAUUCAAAACACCAUCUUCAAGCAGUGGGGCAACUAAUUAACCACCCACCCUAAACCUUCCACCAGUUGUUGUUAAUGGAUCCCCCUCCAACCUCCAUACUUUGGGGGACUACUAGUCCUCCCCACAACUUCACAUCUCUGAGCCACUGUCACCUCCUACACCUCGCAAACAACAGCUGACCUUCGAGUCGUUUCCCCAUUACCCACCACACCCAGCAUCUUCAUUUCGUUUCUUCAAUCUUAACAUUCUCUCUCUCUCUCNNNNNNNNNNNNNNNNNNNNCUACUCUCUCUCUCUCUCUCUCUCUCUCUCUCUCUCUCUCUCUCUCUCUUUUCGACUCUAUAUCUCUCUCUGUCUAAGAUCCACCAGAUUUCCCCGCUAAAAAUCAAUUUCCAAAGGCUACUGCGCCACUAUUUGGAAAAGAAAAAGGGAAAAUUGUCUAAACAGUGUCUCAUUUUUUAAAGAAGCAAAACUUUCAUAUCUUACUUUUAGAAAACUUCAAAACAGUAAUAUCCCACGUUCUUACCUCGACUGAAGUUUGGUAUCUAGAACCGUUAGCUCCGUUAAAAAGACUGAUGACAACCAUUUUUAUUCAUAAAAUGACCAAUUUACCAUUUAGUUUUCCAUAUUAUAUAAUAAAUAAUAAAAUAAAAAAUUCAUAACGGUACCUCAUCUUUUCUUACUCAUAAACUUUGGUACUUCAAGUUUUAAAAACAACAGAACAUUAGACCUAAUUUUAGUACUUUUAGUCGUAACCUCCGAUAGGGUAACUGUCAGCUGACCAUUUUUUAUGGAUAUUUUUACGUCUCUUCAUAUUUCAAUUCAUUAUUUUUCUCUAAAUAUAUAUUUCAUUUUUGUGAUAAUAAAAGAUGAGAUACCGUUAUGACGAAUUUCUCUUUUUAUUAUAUAAAAAGAAUAUCAAAAAAAAAACUCAAGGGUAUAUUGGUCAUUUCAUGAAUAAAAAUGGUUGCCGUCAGUUUUUUUAACAGAGCUAACAGUUCUAGAUACCAAAAUUUGGUCGAGGUAAGCUGUUUUGAAGUUUUCUGAAGAUGAGAUGCUAAAGUUUUGCUUCUUUAGAAUGUGAGACAUGAUGAAGUAUAAAGUAUAGAGACAAAGAGAUAACAAAUGAAUCAUCAUCUUAUUCAUUGAUAUGAGCCCCUUAUACAGAGAAUUACACAAUACCAAUAUGGUAAGGAUAUUAAUACAUAGAUCUAGUCUAACUACAUAUCUUAUUGGCAUAAGGCCAAAGCACACAUAAAAAAUAUCUAGAAAGAUAAAGAAUAUCAUAGAACAAUCCCCUUGUGCCGCGCGUUGAUAUGCCGAUUGUGCUGAUUUGUUGCCUUGUCAAAAACCUCGUCAAGUCACAAAAACCCUGUGAGAGAAAAACUGAACCUUGAUCGUAGGAGAAAAAGAGUACAACGCACCCUUCACAUUUGGUAGUGACAUAUAUAAAUGUGCUAGACUCCUCCUGAAGUUUGCACCUCCCCCUGAUCUUUACAUCAAUCAUAGGGCUCUUUCUGAUUUUUACUAAUCACGGAAGUUUCAACAACUGAGCAUGUCAAUGCUCUUUAACAUGUCUUCAAAUGUGGCAUUGGGCAAUGAUUAACUAAAUCAUGCCGUAUUGUCCUCAAAUGAUCUUUUACACUUAGAUCUUGAGGAGAAGGCUGCUUGUGAACUCAAAACAUAAGUUCGAGCAGGAAAUCAGAUUUUCGUGCACCAUGACCUUCAGUUACUAAAACAGUUGUAACUUCCUCUAGGAAAUACAUAUGAAUGAACCAUAAAUGAUUUUGGAAUCUAGACUCAUUUAGCUUUCCAACCAUAUAUUACACACGUUCUGGUUCGUCAUGAGCUAUUCACAAAGUCCCGUCGAAGUUGACUGUUUUGCCAAAAUCAGAUUCUCGGACAGAUUUGUCCUACUUUACGAAAACGGCCAUAACUCACUCAAUAUGAUAGGUGUGAUCAAAUGGUUGGUGUCCUUGGAAAGUAGACACAAAGACCUUUCCAAUGGCACCAAUUUCACGUUUUUCAGUGUGUGAGAUUCCUUAUAGGUCCCGCGGAAGUUGACCUACAAAACUUGGCAGAUUCUGAUUUCACUUUUGAUGUGUCUUUCUUAUGUAGUGAUAGAAUUAGCCUUAACCUUUCAUACCAUUAAGUAUUGAAAAAGGAGUUACUGCCAUUACAUUGGCGUUGCGUGGGCGUAUAGCUACACUUAGCUUUACAACUUUUCAUAGCGAAUGAGAUGUCAAGUUUUUCGUAUUGUGUUGAGUACAUUGAUGCGUCUUAUUGUACUUAGAUGGGAACUCCAUCUCUUAACACAUAUUUGUGAUCUUGCUUUAGACAAAACGACGGAUCUCUCAUUAGAGCAAAGACCUUGACUAAUCAUGGGAGUAUAUGUAGGCCUCACUAGUUAUAGAGUGCCUAAGCCGAUUGAUGAAAAAUCAUCAUCAAUACAGUCAUCGAGUGUCUUAUCGAGACCCUGUCUUCCCAAGAUCUUUUUCUUCGGAUGUUGAUAAAUAUUGGCAUCUCUUGAUCCAUCAACAGUCCAUAUAAAUCCGGAAUGAACACGCAAAGGCAUAAUUCACCAUAUCCCUUCCCAAUCAAGUAGAGUCCAUGUGCGUUUCAAUACAUUUAGCAAAUGCAUGCUCUUGUGGUUUGGAGCCACUUGAUUCGAAUGAAUGAAGUCUGUUUAAGACCUCCAUUUAUAUCUUUGAUCCCAUAUAGAUGUUAUUAUUACCACAUUCAUAGGCUGCAUGUUCAGUUAUUCGGAAACUACCAAAGUGACAAAGUAGUGGAGUUCAAUGACAUCCAUUACGAGAGCAUAUCUCAUCGUAGUCGAUCCCAGUGCAUGUUAGCGAGAGACCUUGCGCCAUAAGGUGAGUCUAAGCUCUCGUUCUCACUACGCUAUCUAACAAAGACAUAGUUGAUAGGGUUUAGCUUGCGGUGUCGGCAUCACCUGCCCAAGGACCUAUCUCUUUGUUAAUGCUGGAUCGCAUCUUUCCAUUAGGCCAAUCAACUAAGUUGAUAUUCAUCAACAAAGGGUGGUUCGAUAGUAGACUCAUUACUCCACGUCCUCAUGUACACUAGUGUAAUACUUGUAGAGAUUUCUAUAUAGAUUGGAUUUGACAUUGAGGCGUCCCCCAACGAUAAUCACAAUUUAGACUUCAUGAGACGGAUUUGAGUAUCACUGAUCAAUGGAUCAGGUUGUGCCAAGCUCGCUUUCUUCCUAGUGCGAGGAAAUAUCGAACCUAAGGGUCUCCCUCCUUUUGGGGAGCCACACGGCCUUUUGACACCAAUUUUGCCACUAUAUGGUGUCACCAUAUCACCAUCCAUGGUGAUGACGUCAAGACCAACACACCUUUUGGUCGCGUCAUGUCCUCUUGGUAGGACAUCAAUCCUUGUAGACAUAUUUGCAGCAUGUGAUCUCGUCACUUUAACACUUUAAGCAUUUGGGAUCAAGAUGAGACUUAGUGGGGACAAACCACGACAAUUCACGUCGUUCCACUUGAACACUUGUGUUCUUAUCUCCCCCUAACGGCGGGAAUAUUGUCUCAUCAAAGUGACAACCCGCAAUUUAGCGGUGAAUGAGAUUACCUAACAAGGUUUCUACAUAUGUGGAUUUAUAGGUGGAGGUUCAUAUCCAACUUAAAUACUUCUUCAUCUCAAAUGACCCAUCAUUGUACGCAGUGACAAUGCGAUUUGACACCUAGAAAUAACAUUUAGCCGAGCCCAAGGAUUGGAGAUCCGUUUCAAUCCUGCUGAGCUCAAGGAUUGCAAUUUCGUGUCAAUCCUGGUACACAGUCACAAGCUGUAGUACAACAAUAUUCAAUGAUGGUGGGUCGUAGAUGAAUAGUAAAGCUACAUGCAAAUAUUGUAUAGCCCCAAGACGCAAUAAAAAGAUUAGUGCGCAUCAAUAAUGUUCGAGCGACAAGCUAAAGUUGCUUGGUCGUAGCCUCGGUGAGACCGUAUUGCGUGUGAACAUGGGGUACAUGACACUUCAACUUUCAUCCCGAUAAAUUUCUUUAAAGAAUGGGUAGUGAGCCCGUAGAAGUAUAAGCAACAUAAGCAAUAGAUAAUAGUGUGACAUAUGACCAGUGCGUUAACACUUCAACCAACACCAUAAAACAUAAAAAGGAGUCCGCAAGUUGGUUGUAUCUAUCUACAUAAUUUGAUGUAAGAAUGGAAUGUUCACUUUUGUGUCAUUUAGCAUAGGAGGGUCUCACUCCUAAUUUAGCUAAAGAAUAGGCUUUCAAAACGAGCAAUGAGCAUUGCAGGGGGCCAAUGCUACAUCUAGGAAAGGCCGGUGCACCUUAAUUGCUUGAGGAAUUGACCAGACGACCUCCAGGAAGUUGGAGUCGUGUUCGGGGUGACGUCAAUGUCCCCCAGAUCACCACUAUGCUUCAUGGUGAUGCUAGAUAUCGAAUGUCUUAAUUUUGAGCGGAACAAUGGAUGUCCAUAAGAAUUUCUCAAAAUUUGGACUAUCGCUUCCAGGAUGACUUAAAUAGUCAAACCAAAGUCUAUAUGAGUCGGUGUCCCAAAUAUAUUGUUUGGCGAUAACAUGAGAUUCGAUACUCGAAUCGUAGUGACAUACAAUCCACUAAAUUGACUCAUAAACUUCUCUAAGAUGCAUUUCAGUCUACAUUCAUGAGAAAGUAUACACAAAAGAACACUCUUGUUCAUUCUCACAAUGUGUUUUUAAAUGAAAACUAUUAGCAGGAAUAUCUUUAAAGCUCAAUAUGGUUCGAUUGCCUCUCAAUGCAUAGAGGGUAUUUGUGACAUUGAUCAUGGUGCCAUGAGGCAUCAAGAUUCAAGCUAAACCGCAUCCCUGAAUGACCGGUAUAAUUCAAUCGUUGUAAUCACAGAAGAUUUACAAAGGUACAAAAUCCAAAAAUAGUUACCAGUUCCUUAGAAUGUUGUGGAUAGUUCCACUAUCUGUGAAGCACUCAAUGUCUCGAUGAGACAUAUAUACAAGAAGGAGUAGAUAGGCAAGUUAAUAGUUCCACUUGAACCAUUUAAAAGGAUUAAAAGAAGCUACGAAAAGCUGCAAUCCCGAGAGUGCAUAAAAAUUUCCACGCAGAAUGACCUUUGCUCACUAAAACAGCGAUAACUUCUUCGUUAAAAUAGAUAUGGAUGAACCGCAAAUUUUUUGAAAACUAGACUCGUAGAGCUUUCCAAUGAUAUAAAGUUCACUAUCUGGUUCAUCCGGAGCUGUUCACAAUGCCCAAACAAAGUUGACUGUCCAGAAGGGAUAGAUUGCUGUUUUUCGCAGAAUUGGCAUGUGCGAAGCUGUGAAGCUUGCAGGUGGCAUGUAGGCUUAGCCAAAAAUGACGUGUGUAUGAUCAAAACCAAGUCCUUUCGGUCGUAAACUUCAUGACUAGUUAGCAAAAGCUCCCUGACAUGAACAAAAAUUAACUUAGAGGACCUAGAGGAUUUGAUCAUGAUGAUAAUUUUCCGGUUUUGACAAGUUUUCAACAUCUUUUGCAAGGCGGCAAUUGGAUUAAUAGCGUAGGGGGAUCCAAAAUCAAAAGCUUUCGAUAACUCCAAGUCAGUAUGACCAGGCAUGUCCGUGGAGGGUCGAUAGUGCGAGACACACUUAAAGCCACUAUCUCCUUAAUUUCGGACAAUUCUAAGACAUUACACUGAGCUUGGAUGAGCUUAGUUGAACAAUUGAUGAUGCAAAAUCUGCUAUAGGGUAGAAGAUUUAACCGGAAACACGUUAGCGAUCCUUCUUAAGGAUGCAAGGCCGUGCGUCAUCUUCACUUGGAAGAGACCAAAACGGCACAAUCUAACCAUGUAGAUUGUAAAUAUGCCAUGCUUCUAAGGACGAUGUAAAAAUGUACAUCUUGUUUGUAAAUCAAUACGAACCAUAAGAGGAGAAUAGUUUCAUAACUUCGAAAAAAUUCUCAAGGCAUUCAUUAUUACUAAUGUGAGUACAUCGAGGUCUCAAAUAGAUGAAGGACGUCGAUACAACGCCUUAGUACAUAGAGCUUGAAACGAAAAUCAAUGUCUAACCGAUGACGUCAAAGUCAUGGGUAGCUAGAGCAGGAUCCGAAUAUUUGAAAUUCGCGAUCAUGAGGAUGACUUUCUUGUCCUCAUAUUGAUUUUCUGUACCUUUUUGUAUGCAUUCACAAUUUGAAGGAGUUGGACAAUCUUGAACCAGUGAUCUGAAGAUCCACAAGGAUUGCAUUGUCAUGAGCUGACGUGAGUAGUUUUGACAAAAUGGUGUCUAGACCGGGAGUGUCGCUAUUAGAGCCGGCGACACCUCCCCCUCUUUUGUAGACAUCGGCACGACGUUUUCUGUCGUUGCCAUGACCCAUAUUGUUGUCCCCACAUUAGGGGAUAAUCCCAAAUAAGUUUAUCACAUUAGCGUAUAUACAAUUCCCGUUUGUAUGAUCAAAAUCAAGUCUCGUUGGUAAUUCCAAACCAACUUGGAGGAUCUCGAAAACUUGAUGAAGAUCGAAUCCACUAAAGAUUAUGGAUCAUGAUGCCACAAAAGAUCAUCGACAAUAUGUAGUCAAUUAAGGUGGUAAGCAAUCCACUUGACUAAUAACUCAACAAGUAGAGUUAUAUGAACGUUUCGAGAAAUGCUCCAUGAGUGCAUUCCACAGUACUUUGUGGUCAUUACUUUUUGCACAGAUUGUCAUUGAAGGCUUUUGUCGAUGUGGCGCUUUAAAGACUUUGAGCGCAUGAGAUGUGAAAUCUCGACAUCUAGGCUUGUUAGCUUGGGGGUCAAAAUAUGUGGUUUAAUCCUUUCCAAUGAAAAGUCCCACAUAUACCAAGCGAAUAUCCGCCUUAGGCAUCUAGUACAUCAAAACUCAAAGGAGCAGAAUGUUACAUUGCUCUUGCAUACAAACUAAGCUGUUAUGAGACUCGAUAGAGGUCACAAACAAUGCUUUUAAUGGUUUGUAAUUCGGAUUGAUCACACACAAUCCGGAAAAGCUGUGAAUUGAUCAAACACAAUUCGGAAAAAGGCAUCGGAUUGAUCAAACACAAUCUAGUGAUAAGUCGGGGUUGAUCAUACACAACCCGGACUAGGAAACAAGAGUGAUCAAACACACUCUUGACCCGUGAAUAAAAUUUUAGGAUUUUUGGUACCUGCACAUACAAAAUCCCAAGCAUAGAAUGGAGAUGGAGAAGGGAGAAAAGAUUUUAUCCCCCCGAGUUAUUUCAAAGUAAAUAAUUGUAAUAUUAAAGCUUACUUGCUAGUUUGCCAAAUAAACUAUGUUUAUAAGAGCUUUGAUGAGUUUGAUCAAUUGCAGGUUUCGACCGAGGGUUGGGAACCUUUCUGGCUUUCCUUGGAAGACGAGCAAUCUUGAAAUCUUUGGUUUCUAGAGGCUGCCGAGAGAACAAACAACGUUUUGCUUGCUUAUACUUUGAAUUUGGGGCUGAAAAUUUGACAAGAGGAGCAGCUCUUAAUAGGGAAGCUUCUGUCAAAAAUUCAGGUUGAUCGGAGCAAGGGAAGGUGGUGAACCGGUGGUCGAUAGUGGCGGCGGUCUGGAAUCUUCCGGUGGCCGGUUUGGUGACUUUCCGGCCGGUUCUCAGGGUGAGGCUGGCGGCGUUGGAUCCGGGACGGAGAAAGAUUUCUGGGAUAUAAAAUUCCGGCAGAGGGAAGUCGAAAUUUUGGUCGAAAAUUGAGAAAAACAAGGCUGCCUGAUUUUAGGGUUUUGGAAAACAAAUGGUGGGCUAUUGACUCUAGGGUUAGAACAAAGUGCAUGAUAACGUGAUGAAGUAUAAAGUGUAGAGAUAAAGAGAUAGCAAGAGAAUCAUUAUCUUAUUCAUUUAUAUGAGCCCCUUAUAUAGGAAAUUACACAAUACCAAUAUGGUAAGGAGAUUAAUACAUAAAUUUAGUCUAACUACAUAUCCUAUUGACAUAAGACCAAUGCACAUACAAAAAAAUAUAUAGAAAUAUACAGAAUAUUCUAGAAUAAGACACUAUUUGGACUAUUUUUCCAAAGAAAAAAUAGAAAGAAAAACAGAAAGAGGUGAGACACAAGAUCAAUGUCCAAGCGAGACACUAUUUUGACCAUUUUUCUUUCAGAAAAUUAAGUGGCGUGAGCGGGAGUGAGCGCGGUGCAUAGUGGGAAAGGUUUUGCGGCCGGGAUUUUGUCAAGUGAAUACAACACUCAUGGCUUAUGGCUGUAGAUCUUGCUUAUUGGGGUCGCUGCGAGUAGCUGCUGGGUGGCGCCGUUCCUACGUCAAGUUGGCCUCUUCGUCGUAUGCGCAAGGGGGAAGGGAAAUUGAAGCUGAUGAAGAUGAAGAUUUCCCUGUCAGCUCCGGAAUCAGCAGACCCCUCUCUGAAAUCCUCAAGCAAAUCAAUAAGAAAGUCCCUGAUACCCUCGUUAAAUCCCGCCAUGAAAAUGGGUUUACAUCCAAAUACAUCCCCUGGUAUCAUUCCAUUCGAAAUCCUUUUUGUUUGUCUUUUCAUUUUUUUUCAAAACAAGUUCUCCGCUUCAGUGAUUGUGGUGUUGUAUUUAUAUUACAGGCACAUAGUUAAUCGAAUCAUGAAUUUGCAUGCUCCAGGUACUGUUUUGUUUUACUUUCACACUCCAGUUUCCCAAUGAUAUUCCCAUUCUUUAUUUUAAUCUUAAAUUCCUUCAUUUCGUAGAAUGGUCUGGUGAGGUCCGAAGCAUCACAUACUCUGCUGAUGCCAAGUCGGUUUCUGUUGUUUAUCGUGUCACGCUCUACGGAACUGAUGCUGAGGUAUGUAUCCUUUCGUUUAUUUUCUGCGGAUGUAGAUGGAACUUGUCUUUCACAAUGUCUGAACUAUACGGAUAAUCUAGUCCAUGUUUUUACUUUUUGUAUGGUAUUCACAUAUCUGCGUGCUAGAUACAAAUGAAUGAAUAAAAGCACAUCAAUUGCUUUGUGAUUACUGUAUUGGGCUGUAACUACUCAGGAUUCUGGUCUCUACUAACUGUUUUCCGGUGAAUCUAGAAUUCAGUUGUAUUUUUGGAAACUCUUUCUGCAGGUAGCAUAGUGGUAGUGUUGUGUUCUUCCUCGUAAAGCAUAUUCAGUUGUAGGCUUGUAGCGUAUUAUCAUCAAAACGCAAUACAUGGAUUUUGUACUUUGUAGAAAUGAACAAUAUACAUAUGGAUGGAUAGUAUGCAUGUCAAUUCCUUCUGAGAUUGUGCCCCUUUGGUAGCAUUUUCAUGGAUGUUUUUCAUCAUAAGAAAGCGGGGGUGCUUCUUUAUUUCAAUGUUGAUUUUGCUGUUAGCACAAUUGUCUUUUCUGAUGUAAGAUAUUAUGUUCACACAUUCCAUUACUAUCCUUAAAAUUGUUUAAGAAAACAUCAAAGGGAACUGUUUAGAAACCCAAAAACCUUGUUUUAGUUUUCAUUUUUCUUUGAGAUUGGAGAAAGGGGUUGAAAAAAUGAAGAGAGAUAUAAGAAGGACAAUAUUAUGAUCUAUAGAACAGAAACUAUAUGAAUUGUUUACUUUCCUUUUCAUGUGCCAUCCUAUCACUAUAUGCUUUCUUUAUUCCCUUCAUCCGACCUCUCGAUAUAGUUCUUCAUACAUCUAUACCUGCAAACCAAAGGCCAAAAAUGAAGAAUAAAAGUGGUACCAAGCAGUCCUUGAGAUAUAUGUAUCAACUUUGUUCUAGACUUCUGGUAGUCGAAGACAGAAUGGGUCCCUCGUUCAAUGAACUAAAAAGUUUGCGGAAGAUUUGUUGAUGCUCCUUUAAGUGCAGUCAGCUUGUAUAACAAAGGAAGGAUCUGACACUUUCCCCAUUGUUUGUUUCAUGUUUUGACCAGAUAUUUAGGGAGUCUAUUGGCACUGCUUCAGUAGAUGACACAAGUUAUGGGGAUCCAGUACAGAAGGCUGAAGCAAUGGCAUUUCGUCGAGCUUGCGCGCGCUUUGGGCUUGGUCUUCAUCUUUACCAUGAAGAUUUAUCUUAGUGGGGUAUAAUGCUUGUGCUUUGAAGUUUAUGGCUUCUUUGCAGUUUUGGUAAAUGGAUGAUGCUUGUGGCUUAUCAUGUUUUGUUGAACUGAUCAAUGCAACCUAGUACCUUGAUAUGGAACUCUGGUGUUGUAUGCAACUGUCAUUUAAGCCUCAAUCCAUGUAAGUAAGCUAUCUUGUCGGGUAAUUUGCGGUGAUAUAGUAGUAUUUCGGUUUUGUGUUUAAGUUCUAGCUAUACAUUCAAUGAAUAUAAUCUCAUAUCCACUGUUAAAUUACGGAUGGGAGUAUUUCCUUUUGCACAAAAGGACCAAAAUGUGGUGAGAGAUCAAAUUUUCAGUCUGGAUUUGUUUGUGAUCUUCGGCUAGUAGUGCAGCCUAAAAAAUUAUAAUUUUGUGUGUAUUUCAUAGACUUUGUGAAGAGAAGGCAACUGUGUUUAAAUUGGGCAUCCGAAUCCCAGAGAAGCUGCUGUUUACCCGGGUUUGCUGUAAUGUUCCUCCAGCAUUAUGAGAUGCAGGAGUUUCGUGCAGUGCAGCUGGAUUCCUUGAGACUUAACUAGCAAUCAAUAUUCUUUCUUGUAUAACAAUGAAUCUAGUCUGCAGCAAGUGAUCAAUAUGCUACAAAAUGAGAGGUUUUGUCUUGUGUUUGAAGGCCUUAGGGUGACUGAAAUAUCACAUAGCAGAUGCUAGGGAUGGUAAUGUUCAAGCUUGGUGUGCUAUUUGUGGUUAGAGGCUACCUAAAUCAAAAGGCAGGCUCAAUAGUCUGCAUCAAAGGACAGGAGACAAAGGCCCGAAUAAGUUCGGGUGUGAAAGUCCCUCUGCCAAUAAAGCAAACCAUGGUCAUGAGCCAUCAUCAGCACUGAUUGACGAUGCUAUCAUAUUUCCUUAAAAUGUCAGUAAAUUCUAUCCAGCCAGCCACGGCAGAGCAGCCUACAUAGGGGGCGGCACAACCCUCCAUAUAUGCCACCCACAGUCCUGCCCACAGGAAGAGAGACACACAAGUGUUUGGUGAGCUGGAAGGGUGUGUGUGAUGUAGCCUUACCUUAUAGCUAGGUGGGAAUGUGGGAUCUCUAAAAAGUAAAGCCGUGCGUCAGAGGCCUCAGGCAUGUGUCGUGAGUAGGCAACCACAAAUACCUCUCCAAAUUUGUUAGAUCAUCUUCAAAUGGAAAGAUUAAGUAAUCGAAUCCAGUUACAUUCAAAGUUGAUUCUAUAAAAGAGUUACUCUGCCUCCCAUACAUUGUAUGUAUGCCAUAUCAACUGGAGAAGAAAAAAACCCCCAAGGCCUGGCACUCUGGCAGCCAGAUCAGAUGAGAAUUAGCUAGCUAGGAAAAAUAAUGAAUGGAAUGGUCAAAGCAAAUCGGAAUGGAAGACAGCUGCCCCAGUUGCGUUCCUGCAGUUGACAGCCUAGAAUGACCUGGCCCUGGCCAGAUGAUACGUACUUUUGCUUCUUUGUUUUCCUCCCGGCCUAUUGAUUCCACUACGUAGUGUACUACUUCUACAGUUCUACUUCUACUUGCGCGUCUACCCUAUUAAAUCAAUAUCGCACUCCUGUACGUACUCCAUUCUUUUGCUCAAAUUACUCUCAGGGAUAUCUUAUUGCUUACCCGCUAUCCCCCUUCGGGCUCCGUUUCCGACCGUCACUGUCCAGAAUGAUCGAUCAAUGUGGGUCAGUGGUCACAGUGGAUUCUAUAUAUUGACUCUUGGAUCAUUUACUCCACCAACCAUACAUGAUGCUCAUGAUGUAUGUAUGUGUGUGUAUAUAUAUAUAUAUAUAUGUACAGGAACUAAUUCAAACCCUUAUUUAUUUAUACUUUUAUAGCCACUCGCAACAACCAUGAGAAAUUUAGUAAUGCGGAUAUAUAUAUAUAUAGCUAGCUAGCAUUACUAGCAUACACUGAUAUUAGAGGAUUAGGGAAUAGAGAAGAGCUAGCGUACGUGUGGGCGGUGAGGUAGAUGAGCAGGGCUCAAUCAGCUUGAUAGUGAUAUUGUGCCUAACUUAAUCUUGAUCCUUUAACAUGUUUAGUCACCACUAGCUACUAGCUACUUAAUUAGUACUAUAGUGUAAUUCAUCAAGCAUGUCAAAUUAUCGAGGGUGAUCACAGUUGAGAUAUUAGCGCGCUAGUGAACCUGUAAUUAAGCCAGUGGCAUAUCGACUGGAUCACAAUAAACUUAAUGUAAUAAUAUUAUAAUGUUGAAGAAGGAUUAGAGUAAAAGAGAUUAAAUUUGUUAAAACUGAAUGAGAGACUGAGAGUGCAUAGAAAGAAUACCCAGAUUCUUCUGCAAAGCAGACACAGCAUGCAGCUUCCAUCUAUUACUAUUUACUGGACUGGAGUCACUGGACUGGACUCGAUCGCACGGGACGGGACGGCACGGCUCAUCUUUGACCACAUUCCCGCCUUAUUUCCCUCCAACUCCCCCCGUUCCGUUUCUACCGCUGGGCGUUUCGGGGCUAAACGGUCAUUCUCCAUCCAUCUCCCUCUUAAAAUAAUCAAAACAACGACAAAAGGAUGAGGGACAUAAUAAUACAAACAGAAGCCAUUCUGACUCUCAUCAUUACGCGUGGCCUAACUCCACCCAAUAUAAUAAACACAAAUGGAGUGUACGUGCAGAAGACGCGGGUACAUGUUGCGCGUAAGUGAAGGGUGUCUUGCGCCACAAUAAUUUGAGCAGGUGGGGGCUGCUUUUGUCUAUAUAAUUCAUGAGAGGCCCUUUCCUUUCCCUUUUUCUUCUCCAAUUGAGGGCUGCUUUUGCUUUCUCUCUCUCUCUCUNNNNNNNNNNNNNNNNNNNNCUGACCUAAUUGUCUCCUCCCUCUCUCUUUCUCUCUCUCUCUUUUUCUCCCACAUCUACACCAUCUCAAUCCCUCCCUCUAAGUUUAGUGGGGCUUCUUCUUCUUCCUUCUUGUUCUAACACACUUGCACACACCGCCACCUAGAUCUAGGUUCGCUUGCUCGCUCGCUCUUAUAUUAAUCAGUAGAAGAUCGAUCAGCAUAUACAUACUGACAUCCGUUUGGAGCUAGCAGGCUCGCGGCUGAGAUACAACUAGUGAUAGCGAGCGAGGAGAAGUUAUAGAUCGGCUCAAUUAGAUCGACAGCUAGCUAACGAAAACAUGAGUCCGGCAGUAGCAGCACCAACGGCAGCAGCGGCUAAUCUGCAGGGAGGAGGAGCUGCAGGUCAGUUUGGGGACACGACGUACACCAAGGUGUUUGUUGGAGGAUUGGCUUGGGAGACCCAGAAGGAGACCAUGAAGAAAUACUUUGAGCAGUUUGGUGACAUCUUGGAGGCUGUUGUCAUCACUGACAAGGCCACCGGCAGAUCCAAGGGCUACGGAUUUGUACGUAUAUAUAUACAUCCUAUAUAUCCUUCUUUCAUCUCUCUUCUUCACUUCUUUUAUUUCGAUCUUGUUAUCACAUGCAUUUGUGUGUGUGUGUGUGUGUGUAAAUCUUGAUACAUGGCUUCCUAAUUGUUUUCUGCUAGAUCUUGAUGAAACAGGAUACGUGAUUAAUUGUGAUAUUAACUUGGUUAAUUUGUACUAGCUGGUAUCUAACUCAAUUAUCUAUGCCCCUUAAUUAUAUAUACAUAUGAUGAUACGUAUAUGUGUACGUAGGUAACCUUUCGUGAAGCGGAAGCAGCGAUGAGAGCUUGUGUCGAUGCUGCCCCAGUGAUAGAUGGAAGGAGAGCCAACUGCAAUCUUGCUUCUCUUGGUGUUCAGAGAUCCAAGCCUUCUACUCCAAAGCAUGGUACACACCCAACUGGAGCAACUAAUUCUCUCUUUUUCCCUUCUCAUCUGUUCUCUUAUUCUAUCAGAUCUAUUCAUGUUUCAUGACAUCUUGAUUUCAUGUUACUAUACGUAUGUAUAUAUAAUAAACCAUAAAAGAUGAUCGAUUUUUGGAUUUUACUACUAAUAUUAUUACUUCUUAAUAACUGGUUAAUUUAUGGGAAAAUUAAUUCUAAUAUAUAAGACACUUUAUCAGUGGUUUCAAUAAAGUCUAUUUCAAAAAAAAAAGAAAAAAGAAGUAGGUUUCAUACUGUAUUAGUUGUCAAAUUUUUUUUCAGGCCGCGCAGUUCUUAAAACAAUUAGUUUUAUUCAAUAUAUAAUGGUAAAACACUUUGUUUAUGUUAAUUACAACUUACUUUGAUAAUGUAUGAGGUGUAAAUUAAUGAGGUGCAAAUUGCAUUAAUUAAAGAGCAAUUGCAUGAGUAAUAAAUUGGAGGACUUGUUAGUUGAAUCAGUUAUAUAUACUAGUAAAUGUGAUUUGGCCACUGUCGUUAGAAUCGAUCCUCUUUUCUUCUUUUUUUUUUNUUUUUUUUUUUUCAGUGUUUGAAGUUUGGAAAUGAUGCUCUCAUCCGUCUUAUAAUUUAGUUAGUUGAUGUAAGUAAGUUGGUAGCCGAGCCUAGCUACACCAAUUACGUAGUAUGGUUGUUGGAAAUUUAAUUAACAACGGAACAAUUGUUUGGACAGGCGGAGGAGGAGGAGGAGGAGGUAGAAACUUUAGGGUAAUGGCGGGAUCAAUAUUCCAAGCUGCAGGUGGAGUUGGAGUUGGAGUGGGAUCUGGUUUUGCAGCAGCUUCUGCAGCAACCGCAUUCCCAGCGCAUCAUCAUUAUGCCGCCAUUCAACAAGGGAUUCCAGCUGCUGCUGCUGCUGCUUACAAUCUUUAUGCCACCGCAGGGUACCACUACUAGCUAUACGUCCAUGCUUUUAUCCCUUCUAUAUAUAUCCAUCUUAAUUCUUCACUUAUAUAUCAUCAUCAUAUUGUGUAAGCUAGCUCAUGAUUUUGUACGACCAACAUUUCAUCGAACACUUACGCUCUAUUUUAUUUCAGGUACUCUCCAUACUCGCCAGACUACACUUACCCUACGGUACGUAAUCUGCACAAUCUUCUCUGCCUUCCAAUGUGUUGAAUCUAGCUAGAGUACGGUAUCCGUAUAAUUACGGGGCAAAAUAUAUAUAUAUAUAUAUAUAUAUAUAUAUAUAUAUAUAUAUAUGUGUGUGUGUGUGUCUAUGCAAUUAAUUAGCUAAUGUCAAUUAUGUGGCAUGUUCAGAACUACUACGGCCUGUACGGAGGUGGAGCAACAAGCCAGUACCCAAUGUACGGAGCAGGCGGGAUGCUGACGGGAGGAGCUGCAGCGGCGGCUUUUUACCCGUAUCUUCAAUACGGAGAAGCAGCGAAUGGAGGUGCGGCUGCCUAUACCACUUCUGGGGCUCAGAAUGUUGGCUAUGGUGGCAUCCAAUACCCACACCAUCAUCAUAAUCUCUAUCAGUAUUCAGCUGCUGGAUUAGGGGGCUACCAGCACUAUGCUCCCUCCAUGUCUCUUGCACCCUCACCCGCCUUGCAAUCACCAGGUAUACUAAUAAUAGUGUAAUUCAUUGUUUCGUUAAUUUAAAUAAAUGUCCCGAAGGAUCGGACUAGAUAGCGAGGCACAUACUAAUAUCUUUGACAGUAUGUUUUGCUGUGCCACAGGCGUAACCAUGGCUGUUCCUGCUGCACCAUUAAUUCCAAUUCCAGCUCACCGCUAGUAGCAUGAUCAUCAUGAAUUCCAAAUGCAUUUGGCUCCUCUUUCAUCAACUUCAUCUCAUCUGAUCCUCAAUCGAUCAUCAGCUGCAUGCUUUUCAAUUUUCAUCAUCAUAUUCCUCGAUCAUCCCUUUGGCCUAACCAUGGUUCAUCAUCACAUCCCUUUCUCUUUCGAAUUCGCCGCCUAAUACAAGUUGGCCCAAGCUGCUUUGGCGUUUGGGCUAUCUCAUUGCAUGCAUGCACACAUGAUAUAUAGAAAGCCUCGCAUAGGGGCUUUCUCCAAUCAAAUCAUUCAUUGUCCAAUUCUAGAAACAUGCAUGUCUAUGCAUGCAUCUUCUUCAAACAAGGGUACUUGGGUUCCCUUAUGGAUCACGAGGUUUAAACUAAAUCAUCAUACAUGUUUCUAACCAACAACUCUAAGGCUAUAUUUGGUUUAGCUUUUAAGUUGGAACUAACAUUUUUCACUUUUGUCUUUUUCUUCUUCUUUUAAUUACUUCUCGGCCUUGGAUAGGUCGAGAGGUAACGAAAGGGAAAACACUAGCUAUGCACCCUCAUCAUGCAUAUAACUUUUUUAGCCCAGGAAGGCUAAUCAAAGGCAUAAAAUGGUUUGCAAAUAUUGUAAAUUCAGUACAAAUAGCAAACCCCUUCAUUUUCAAUCUCAGUUUUAAAUUAGUUAGGAAAGAAAAAACACAUGGGGAUGCAUGGAAUUGCAUGCCCCAACAUUUUGGCUAUUAACAUCUAGUCUUAGGAUUUUGCAACUAGCUAGCUAGGUAGCAGCAAUCGAUCAUGUCUCAUUAAAGCUUUACCAACUUAAUUUUCUGGUUUUGGCAGCUUUUAAAUGAAAUGUGUCUAACAGUCUUCCCUUUGGGUUAGGGGAGCAAAAUCACUAACUCCUUUUUGUUAGUUUCUUGUAAAUUUAUAAAUGUGGCUAAACCAAGGGAGUUUUAGCCUCAUUUCACUAAUUUAAGUAGGAGGGAUAGUGUUCUCUUUAGUUAGCAGUUAGCUUCUAGCCCAGCUAGUAUAUAUAUUUCAUCAUCCUUUUGACAGCUCCAUUAAUGGAUGUGGAGCUCAAAAGCAUCUGCAUGUAACCCUUGGGAGAUAUUUUGGUUCCCUUGGGUUCUUCUCCACUAGCAUCAACCAUGGUUAGGUCUUAGGUCAACCUCAUAAUCAUCAGAACCAUCAAUCAUCGAUCAUCAUCAUCAUCUCUCUCUCUCNNNNNNNNNNNNNNNNNNNNCUAUCUCUCUCUCUCUCUCUCUCUCUCUCUCUCUCUCUCUCUCUCCAACUCAUCGAUCAGUACUGUUUAAUAUGUAUAAGGCUACUGUUUGGAUUGUAAUUAGAGAUCGUAUUAAGUUCAAGUAAGAAUGUUCAUUCUCCGGCAGUAUAUGCUGCUUGAGAAUUGAUAUGCUACUUAACUGCAAAGUACUCUGCAGUUUUUUUCAGUCUGUUACGCUUACUUCUGAUGCUAUUAAUUUGAGACUACUAUUUCCUCUCUUAUUCUCUUUAUACAUCAGUUAUUCGAAUUAAUUCUUGUCCUAUUUGAUAAGGUAAUGAAUUUCAUCACUUCCAACAUGAAAAUUAUGGUAAAACCUAGUUCAGUACUUCAGUUAAUAAAGGGAUAUAUGGAAUAUGAUGUGUGACGGACUCAUUUUUUUGGAGCCGUGGUUUGUUAUCCUUAAAUCGGAGAUUAAUGAUUUAGGGUUUGGCUGCUAUAUAUACAUAUGUGUAUAGCAUACAUCAAGCCGUGAACCGUCUAAUCAUUUAGCAAUUUAAAAUUCAAGACGAUCGGACGGCUCACGACUUGAUCUAUGCUAUACACUUAUGUAUAGUAAAAAAAAUCCAAUGAUUUAUCCAUUUCUCUCAUUUUGGGAGCAAUAAAUAUAGGUCGAUCAUCUCUUGGCGUAGAAGUGCAUAAGCUCACUUCUUGUUAUUUAGCCAAAAGAAGAACAUAAAUAAAUAAGCUCAUUUCUACUUACUCAAGUUAGAUUAAACUCUGAUUAUUGGUCAAAUUUUUGAUUUAUGUGGAUGAUCAUGAUUUUGUUAGGAAAUUAAUCCUUCCGCCGUGCAAGUACUAGUAGUAGAGAUGGAAAGAAGAAAUACACGACCGAGCCAAUAAGACAACAAGUUUUAACAAGGUUUGGCCAAAAUUCACGCCUAUGUCCUCGGAGAGCUUUCAUCUUCAUUAUGACAAAAUUACACAAGUAGAUUAUACACCACUUAAUUAAGUGCAUACCCAACCAUGUAUUAAUAUCAUGAAUUCAUAUCAAGCAAAUAUGUCCACGUACCGAAGAGAUAAGCACCAAACCCAACAGAUAUUACUCAUAAACACCCAAAAUAUUUGUCCAAAUGGGGAUGUUUAUGAACAAAUUUUGGAUUACCGAGCUCUUUUGACAGGUGUCAAAAAAGCUUGGUAACACUACUAGCAAAAAAACAUCUCACACGGAUUUUAUUCUCACAUAUUACUUUAAAUUCACGGAAAUCUGUGACAAACUCUCAAUGACACAUAUAACCGUGUGGAUAGACCUUUCUAGACCCACAUUACUUUAUACUACUAUAACUGUAACAGAAAUCUGUGUGAAAAAAUAUUGGGCACGGAAUAGAGUGUGUAAUAUUAACAUUUCACAUAGCUAUCUGUGUGUAUUAUAAGUCACACAGACAUCUGUGACAAUGAAAUAUUGGAAUAAUUAAAAAUAUUUAUCUUUUUCAAUAUAUAGACCAUAUAUUUACAGUAUUCCGUAACUAAUCCUAAUUCCCACAGAUAUCCAUGUGAAAUGCAAAUUACACAUUUAACCGUGUGGAAUGUUUACACAGAUAUCCGUGUGAAGAACUAAAUUUGACACAGACUUCUGUAGGUAAAACUCUUAAGGACGGACAUCAAUGUGAAAUUUUGACAUGACAACUAUCAGUUUACCGAGGUGUACGUUAUACCUACAGAUAUUCGUGAGAAAUGUUCUAGAUUUUCACAGAAAUCCGUAUGAAAUAAUGUAUAAAACCCAGCUACUCGAAACAAACUGCCAUUGAUGUUUUCUCUCUAAAACUUGAUGCACUGGUGUGUUCUCAAGCUUCUGUCGGUUCUGAAUCUAAUAUCAGGUUUGUCAUUCUCUUCUCUUGAUUUGAGGAUGUAUAAAUAUGUAUGUUCACUAUGAUGGUAUAUCCAUUUUUAUGAUUUGUUUCGGUUUUUGUGCGAAGGUUUGUUGUUGAUCAUAAAUGGUUGGUGGUGGAAUAGGUUGAUAGAUUUGCAUUUAUGAGGUCUGAUCAUGCAGGAGUAGAAUUUACUACAAUGCUUAGAUUACAAUAUUUUUCACCUCAAGUUUUAGUUUUUGUUAUAGAGUUCUGAAAAUCUACAUGCAUAUUUGAGAGCUUGGAAAUUUCUUUGUAGUGAUUCUCUAUUGAAGCGGUUCAAUAGUUUAGGGAUAUGGACAAAAAUUAGGUGUUUCUUGAUAGAGAAAGUCAUGAAUAUAUUUCUGGACUCCGACUGUUCAUCGAUUGUGCGCAAAGUAUUUCCCCUGUUCUUGGCAAAAUCUAUUGUCCUUGUAAAGAGUGUAAAAAUCGAUGGAGACAUGGUUUGAAAGAUGUGGAGGACCAUAUACGUUGUGUAGGCAUGUGGAAUGACUAUGUAGACAUUCCUUGGACAUCACAUGGUGAACAAUUACCCAUAAUAAAUGAAGAGGCAACACAUCCCUCAUCCCCACAGCAAGUUAUGCCAAACCAUGAUAUGGCUGAUAUGUUGCAAGAUGCAUUUGGGUUUCAUGAUCAUAUGACCAUGCCUUCUUCUCCAGAGGUAGUUGGAGCUGAAAACUCUAAUUCAUCUGUUGAUGCCCAAAAGUUCUACAAGUUACUUGAAGAUGCAAACACAGAUCUUUUUCUUGGAGCACGAGUAAAGAAGCUUGAAUUUUUAGUGAGGUUAUAUAAUAUUAAGAGUUCACACUCAAAUAGUGAUGGAUCUUUUGAAGAAACUCUUGAUCUAUUGAGAGAUACCUUUCCUAAAAGCACGACACUUCCGAAGAAUUUUCACAAGACCAAAAAAUUGAUCAAGGACAUUGGGUUGUCAUAUGAAAACAUUGAUGCAUGUCCUAAUGAUUGUAUGUUGUAUUGGGGGAAAGACCACGAACAAGAUCAGUCUUGUGAGCAUUGUGGUGCUAGCCGAUGGAUUAAGAAGAAAAAUGGCAAUGAAGAUGGUGGAAAACCAAAAGCUGCUAAGACUUUACUUUAUUUUCCAUUGGCUCCUAGAUUGCAGCGUUUGUAUAUGUCUCGCCAUACUGCAGAUGAUAUGUCUUGGCACUCUAAAGUUCGGACAAAAGACGGGGUUCUUCGACACCCUGCCGAUUCUCCAGCUUGGGCACAUUUGGAUGAAAAGUAUCCAGAUUUUGGUAACGAGUGUCGUAAUGUCCGCUUGGGUUUGGCUAGUGAUGGUUUUAAUCCUUUUGGAAUGAGUAGGACUAUACAUAGUACAUGGCCUGUUGUGAUGUCUGUUUACAAUCUACCUCCUUGGUUAUGCAUGAAACAGCCAUACUUGUUCUUAUCAUUGCUUAUACCAGGCCCAAAAGGACCCGGUAAUAAUAUUGAUGUGUACUUACAGCCAUUAGUGGAAGAGCUCAAGAUGUUGUGGAAUGAAGGAGUAGAGACAUAUGAUGCAAUCAAGAAAGAAAUGUUUAGGCUGCGAGCUGCUGUGUUAUGGACUAUUAAUGAUUUUCCUGUAUAUGCCAUGUUAUCUGGUUAUAGCACAAAAGGUUUCAAAGCUUGUCAGGUAUGUGUUGAAGAUACAGAGUUAGUUAGGCUCAAGAAUUGUAAAAAGUUGGUAUUUAUGGGAGCUCGUCGAUGGUUGUGUGAUGAUCACCGCUACCGCGGAUGGAAGAAUAAUUUCAAUGGUAAGGUUGAACGAAGACCUCACCCAAAUGGUUUGACGGGUUCACAAUGUCUAAGAGCAACUCGUGGUUUGAUAAUUAAAUUUGGGAGAAGGAAAAAGAAAAAAGGAACUCGAAAACGUAAGCGGAAUGAUCAAACACCGCCUGAGGAGGACUUUGGUAAUUGGAGGAAGAGGAGUAUAUUUUUUGAAUUGCCUUACUGGGAGCAUCUUUUAUUGCGACAUAAUUUAGAUGUCAUGCAUAUUGAGAAAAAUGUCACUGAUAGUGUUCUUGGUACCUUACUUGGACUGCAAGGGAAAAAUAAAGAUAGUAAAAAUGCUCGAAACAACAUGGUUCUUCUCAAUGUCAAGCAUGGUCUUCAUCCUGUAACCACUGAAGGGAAUAACGAUACCAUAUAUCCUCCAGCUAGCUUUAAUCUGUUAAAAGAUGAGAAAACGAUGAUGUGUGAAGUCAUGGCUGACUAUUGACCCCCAGAUGGCUGGUCUUCCAAUAUUGGCAGUUGUGUCCGAGUUGAAGAAAGAAAGUUUGUUGGCUUGAAGAGCCAUGAUUGUCAUAUCAUUAUGCAAUAUCUACUGCCAAUUGCCAUUCGUUGGCCUAUUAAGUGUAAAAAGCUUAUUAAGGUCUUACUUGAAUUGAGUGGAUUUUUUAGACAAUUGUGCACGAAGGUUGGUUCAAAAUCUUAUUUUGAAGAUUUAUCGGUCAAGAUAGCCUUAACGCUAUGUGAGUUGGAGUGUAUAAUGCCACCCUCAUUUUUUGAUAUAAUGGAGCACUUACCAAUUCAUUUGGCCUAUGAAGCUGCAAUUGGAGGCCCAGUUCAAUAUAGAUGGAUGUAUCCAAUUGAAAGGUAAAUGUAUUUUAUGCGUUUAGUUUCAUUGAUAUGUUCAUCUCUUGGCAUGAUUAAUUAAACUGUUUGUGUUUAGGUUUCUGCACACAUUGAAGUUGUAUGUUCGCAAUAAGGCUCAACCUGAAGGAUGCAUUGCUGAAGGAUACAUAAUAGAUGAGUGUCUCUCAUUUUGUACCAUGUAUUUAUCAGGUGAUACUGAAUCAGAAAGAAUCAGACUGUCUCGUAAUGCUGAUGACCCUAAUAACAUCGUCAGACUGUCUCGUAAUGCUAAUGACCCUAAUAACAUCGUCAGACCUGGGUUGCCAUUGUUUGUUACAAAGGGACGAGCUUUAGAAAAGGGAAAAAAGUUUAUGUUAACUGAUGAGGAGAAGAAGCGAGCUCAUACGCAUGUUCUUCUCAACUGUCCAGAAAUUGACAGCCACUUGAAGUAUGUUUGGAGCUACUUUGUGAUUGUAUACAUUACUAAUUUCAAUUGAAAUGUAGAGCUUAACUAAGUAAUGUACUUAUAACAGGGAGCAUGUGGAAAUAGAGAAAAAGGAGAAGAGGUCGACGUUCUGUACAAGAGUCUGAGAAACAAGCAAAUUUAUCAUUUUUCAAGUACUUUAAGAGCAAGGUAAAUCUAUUAUAUAGAAAUACAAUGCUGCAAAUUUUACUGAUAUGGGACAGUGAAUUUCUAACUUAUAUAUUUAUCAUAAUGUACUUUAUUGAUACGCUGCAAAUCUUUGUUUCAUCUGCAGAUAAGAGAAAAGAUUAAUGAAGGUGAUGUGAAUAUUGAUCCUGAUAUUUGCGCAUUGGCGGAAGGACCAAAUAAUGAAGCCAAACGUUACAAAAGGUACGCCAUGAAUGGUUGCCGUUUUCAUGUGAAGUCAAUUGACACUGGUUCUACAUAUCAAAAUAGCGGUAUUUUGUCCAAGCUGGAAGUAAUUGCUAUGCUACUGCCAAUGACCGCCAACCAAGAGAUGACAUGCUUGACUAUUACGGCAUAUUGACUGAUAUCAUCGAAUUGGACUAUCAUAAUGGUAGGAAAGUAUUGCUGUUUGAGGGGAAUUGGAUUGAUAGCCGGACCUAUACUCGAGGAUUGAAAAGGAUGAGUUUGGCUUCAUAUUGGUAAAUUUUAAUUAUUUGCUUCCACCAUCCGAUACCUUCAUUUUUGCUACUCAAGCACAACAAGUUUUUUACGUUAAAGAUCCUAUUGAACCUGACUGGGAGGUUGUUGUGAAGGCAAAACCAAGGGAUUUUUUUGAUAUAGAUUUUGAUCCAGCACCGUAUGCGCCUCAACAACUAGGACAUGAAGCAGUGAAUGAGGAAGAUGUGACAAUACCACGAACGGAUAUCUCAGGAGUUAAUUUGGAUUAGUCAUUUGUUCAUCUAGGCAAACUGGAUUAAUAUUUUGCUUGUAGUUGCUUUUUCUGUGCAUGAAGGCAAAACCAUGGGACUUGUUCUAUAUGGGAAUGUAACAAAUAUGUUCAAUUGAUGGGAAUUACUUAGUUGUCCAUUUUACUUUUGUUUAGCUCUAAAUUGAAGAUCGAGCUUAAAAAGAAUGGAGAUACUCAACAGUAGCUCUAACUUUAAGGAGGGGUGUAUUGCCGCUCAAAACUGGAUACUCAGAUUCAAUUCAAUGCUGGAAAUUUGGGGCGGGAGUAAUGCCGCUCAAAACUGGAUACCCACACGGACUAAAGUGCCUACCUUAAAGAAACAAUAAAAAAGAAGGGAAUAACAAGCCUAGAACACAACGCCGUUUGGGUCUCUAUUUACUCUUAGUCUUUCCACAACCACACAAAAAAGGAACAACGACUGCUGCAAGAGGCUCUGAUCGUCGACUCAGAUCCCACCACCACCGCUGUGCCGAAAGCCGGUAAAGGAAUGUCCGAUCACCGACUCAGAUCCCACCACCACCGUUGUGCCGAAAGCCGGUAAAGCUACGUGAUAUUCGUUCACUAACUCUAUGAGCAUACUGAACGGUUAAAGUACAUGGUCAUUUGGGUUUGUAGAUCUAUAAAUUGGUUGUGAAUUUCUAUGCUAAUUUUCAUAUCCAUCAGGUUUAUUGAGAGGGAUUUCUAACCAAGUGAUAUGCCAAAUUAAUUUUGAUUUGGUGGAAUGAGGUUAAGCUUUGGUGAAAAUAACUAGAAUCUGAAUAUAUACAAGUAUGCUAUCAAUCUAGAAUUGUAACAGCAGCUAUGACAAUGAUUACAAUAUCAACCUAGAUGCUUAACAACAGCUAUUACAGUGUCUCAAUGUUUGUUUAAUUGCAGAAUGUCCCAUUAUGACAUGGAUUUUCAGCUAGCUGAUGAUGGCCUGGAAUCUCUGCAUGACAGCGUCCAAUAUGAUGACAGUGAAACUCAAGAUGUUGGUCGUUUAUUUGUGCCUCAAUCAACAGCUCUUACUGAAAAUAGAAGUAGUGAAGCCAGUCGCGGUAAUAAGAAAAGAGGGCGAGGGAAAACGAUUGGAAAAUGGGCAGUGGGUGGAGUGAGAGAACGGGUUAAGUGGGGAAUGUAUAAGGCACCUGUGUGGCCAAGGGAUAAGUGUGCACAUUACAGCCAUUUCCUUGGUAGUUUGGCAACUGAUGGUGUUUAUUUCCCAAUUGACGUACAGGAUUGGCGUCACUUUGAUGUUGAUAAUGACCUUGGAAAGGCAUGGUUGCAUAUUGAGGUAUGUAAACUGAUAAUCUAGAAUUAUAUUGAUAGGUUGAUUCAUCUAAUUAAUAAGGGAUUAUAAUAUUUGGAAUUGUAGGGGACAAUUGAUUGGUCUGAGGCUGACACUGCUGCUAAGAAAUCUAAAAUCAAGAAAUAUGCACUUGAGAGACUCUCAGAUCGCUAGAAGCACCACAAGGCAGACUUGAAGAAAUUGUAUUGGGUGCCCAACAAAGGGACUGAUGAGCGUUUUCAAUGCCCUUUGUCUUCCAUAGAUAGUGAUCAAUGGAAAGCUUUUGUUACUCACUUAGAUGAUGAGGAUACUCAGGUAAUGAUGCAUUUUUCGUGUUUUCAAUGUUCAUCAAUAUAAUAUGUAUGAUGAAUAAUUUAAUGUAUGAGUGUCCUUUACAGACCAAUAUAAUAUGUGAAGGCUAAUAUUAAUGUCCUUACAGACUAAGGCUGAUAUUGAUGUUAGUAAUCGCUCGCAAAGGGUAAUGCAUCACAGUACAGGCACAAGGACUUUUUCAGCAGUUGUAUAUGAAUGGGUGAGUUAUCAUGUUAAUGUACAUUAUGUGUCAAUUGAUUGAUGUUUAAUUCUUUGCGUAUCCUACAUUGCAGCAAGUUCAGAAUGGGGUUGAGGAACAAUCUGAUAGGUUGGAAAUCUUCAAGUUGACACAUCGUAAGAAAGGAAAAACAAAUGAAUAUGUUGACGCUGCAUCUACCAAAGCAGUGGUGAGUAUUGAAAUAACUAAGUUGGUAUUUGUAUUGGUUUUUAUUUUAUGAAAGUGCUAAGAUGUUUAUGUUCAGUUGAAUACUAAUAUAGAUUUUGGUACGAAAAUAGUGGAUUUUCAGUUGAAUACUAAUUCAGUAAAUUUGAAAAUAGAAAAGAAGGUUGAUUGAAUGCAGUGGUAAUUUUAGUUUAUAAUAGUUUCAUGAUUGAAUGCAGCAAGAUUUGGAAAAGGCUGAAAAGGAGAGGAGAAAGGUAAAUGUUGAGAUUACUCCGGAGGUUAGAGAAGAUAUCGCAGAAGUUUUUGGGUCGGAGAAACGUAACCGAGUGAGGGGACUUGGAGGUGGAGUUCAUUGGCGUGAUGUUCCAAAUAUUCACAUUAAGAAAAGAACUACUUCUAGCACCGUGGAAGCAAUGAAAGCUAAACUUGAUGAACAACGUGUGGAGAUGGAACGAUUAAAGAUUGAGGCUGAAAAUGAGAGGAAAAAAGCUGCUGAAAGGGAAGAGAGAAUUAGGAAUGAAACCUUUGAUAUGGAGAAAAGACUCACGUACUGCACAAAUGGAGGACUUCAAAAGGCAGCAAAAAAUACUUAUGGCAAAUAAAGUGAAAGAACUAGCUACAUAUGAAAUGGGUAGAAUGCUGAGAGAUGCUGGAUUUUCACAAAUUGAGACGGCACCACAAAUGGAGCCAACACAACCAGAAGGCAGUAGAAAUGUGAUCCCAACCCUUGAUAUCAAUGAUGUGUAUCGGCCCGAAAUGCCUCAAACGGUUCGUCAUUUGCAACCUUGCUAAUUUGGUUAGUUUCACCCCAAUAUGUCAUUAUCUAUUUUGAUGGUUCUAUCUAUGUGUACUUUGAUGGAAUCUAUUCUUGGACAAGGAUUAUGUUGUCUUAGGGGGAAAUUCUUAGUGGUUUUCCACCUUGAACAACAUUGUAUUCUAGAAAAGCAGCCUUGUUUUGUAAUCCAAGAAUUGUAAAAAUUAGGGUAUGUAAACUAUGUUGGUAGGAAUCUAUUCUUGGACAAGGAUUAUGUUGUUCUUAGGGGGAAAUUCUUAGUGGUUUUCCACCUUGAACAACAUUGUAUUCUAGAAAAGCAGCAGCCUUGUUUUGUAAUCCAAGAAUUGUAAAAAUUAGGGUAUGUAAACUAUGUUGGUAGGAAUGUAAACUAUAUACAUUUUUAUGGGAAUGUCAAAUGUUAUAUUAUGGAUGGAGUUGUGGAUUUGUGUUGUUUGAUUGUAAAUAGAAUGAAAUAUAUAUAUAUAUAUAUAGCAGAAAAAUAUGAGCAGGAAAUUAAUAUUUGAAAUUAUAUUUUUUUUUAAUGCUAUCCCUAUUUCACACGAAAUAGUGUGAAUUAAAGUAGACAAAAUUGACACAUUCAUCCGUGAAUAAGUUACCUCACAGAUUUAGGUGAAUGAAAUUUUACACAGUUAUCUGUGUGAAUAGAUCUUACCAAUUCGCACAGACAUCCGUGUGAAUUACAAAGUUGUUCUCACUGAAUAGGUUCUCAUAAAACAAUCACGUUUUCUGGAUAUGUGAUGGGGCCCACGUCAACUAUUCGCACGGACUUUUUUAUCUGUGUGUGUUGAGCAUUAGCCCCCCCUGCAAACAGCACGGAUAGACAUUUCGUGAAUGUAGCGUGACUAAUGGCUUUCUCACACGAAUGUCUGUGUGAGAUAUCUAUAUUUCACACUGAUUAUAAUCCAAUUUGCUUUCUUCACUUGUUCAUCAGCCUACAAGCUUGCACUAGCUGUCACCAUUUCUUCAUGGGCAUUCAAAAUCCAUUGACAGCUGCAUUAAUGGCAAUCUCCCUCAUUUUCUUGUAUCAAAUAUUUUAAAUACACAUCUCUUACUUAAUACACUACUCAUCUACUUUUUCAUUUUAAUAUUAUACUAAAUACACAUCCUAAACUGCCUAAAAAUACCCUUAAUAACUAAAAAUAAUAAUAAUUUGUUACUUAAUAUAAUUAUUACAUAUUCACUAUUUCACAACUCUCUUUACAUAUUCUUUUUAUUUUUUGUUAGAUUGUUUUUUGAUCGGGUUAGAAAUUUUUUCUUGACAUGUUUCGGUUUAUAAUCAAAAGAGUAAUAUUAUAUUAGAAAAAUGAUCCAAACAAUGUCCGACCUUUUUAAGAAGCUAAACUUUGGUAUUUCAACUUUGAAAAACUUCAAAACUGUAUCUCACGUUCUUUUCUCGAUCAAAUAUUGGUAUCUGAAGCCGUUAAAUCCGUUAAAAACAUUGACGGUAGACAAAUUUUAUUAUAAAAUGACUAGUUUACCCUUACUUUUUGUUUUUGUUACUAUUUUUAUUAUAGCAAAUCACUUAUACAUCCUUCAAAAAGAUUUAAAACACAAAUAAAUCCACUUGUUUUGUUGUUAAACAAAUAAGGAUAAUUUUUAACAAUUAAAGACAAUUUUUUCUCUACAUGCUAUGUGCCAUGAUUUAAUUUACCAAACUAACCCUACACUAAUUAAAUAUACUUUUAGAAGAGAAAAGUAUUUCCUUUUGAGAUUUUUCAGUAAAUAGAAUACAGUAGUAAUUUUCAAUAAUUUAGUGUAGUAGCAGUUAAUUUUAGUAGAAGUAGCAAUACGUAGUAGCAGCAACAUGAAUCAACAACUUACAAUAACAACACACAACAACAACACACGCAGUAGCAGCACACAUCAACAACACACACAGUAGCAACACACAUCCACAACAACAUGCAGUGGCAGUACACGCAAUAGCAGCACACAACCACAACANNNNNNNNNNNNNNNNNNNNACAGUUUUGUAGAUAUUUUAAAAAAAUAAUGGUUUUUUAGGUAUUUUGCAUAAAAAAUUGCUGACGGGGCGUGGUACUAUACACUGUGGGCCUGUGUAUAUGUCCUUAUUUGUUUAAAUUUGUUGAAAUAUGGUUUUUCUGUGUUUUGCAACUGUUUAUGGUAGUGGGAUGUUAUUUUCUAUUUUUAUUAUAAUUAAACAAGGGAAAAAAAAUUAGUGGUAUUAGGGCUGGGCACGGGACGGGAAGGUGUUUUUAAAAAUCUGUCCCGUACGUCCCGAUCCCGACAAUUUUUUUUUUUUUCAAGAACAAAUUAAUUGAUUAUCAAACACCACCACAGGUGGAAAAACGGGUUGAGAAACUCCAAGCAUUCAAAUGCUCCACCACAAUUGAUCAGUGUAUGAAAUUUUCGACAUUUUUUAUGCUGUUUGGAACAACAUUAAUGAAAUUAAUGGAAAAAAAAUAUCCAAAAACACAUAAACAAAAAAAAAAGAAAAAUUGAUGAAAUUAGAAGUACUAAAAUCAACAAGAAGAUAGGUGCAUAGGUGCUAAAUUACAUCCCACUUUAAAAGUACUAAACAUCCUACAUUAAAAAUUAACCCUCAAACAACAACUAAAAAUAUCCAAAAUCACACAAGCAAAAAAAAAGAACAUGAAUGAAAUUAAAAGUAUUAUUUUAGACCAAAUUAAGUGUGGUUGAGUGCAUUGUAACACCAUGCAACCUAAAAAAUCAAGUAUAAAAUGAAUAAAAUCAAGUAUUCUAAUAUUACGGGACGGGACGGGAUUUUUCAGGAUAGUCCCGUCCCGUCCCGUCUCGUUAUGGUAAUGUUAAAACGGGACGGGAUUGCUAUUUUCAAAACCUAUCUCGUCCCGUCUCGCUAACUUUCGGGACGAGACCGGUACGGGAUCGGGAUUCCGAUACUAAGUGCCCUGCCCUAAGUGGUAUAUGUGCUCAAGAAAUCUCCGGCUUCGUUGCCGGACCAGGUUAGGUUGCAGAUGCCUAGGUUUGCUUAGGAGUAAGAGUUUUACCCCACUUUCUCUGAACAUCGUCCAAAUCCUCAUGAAAGUGUUUCUCAUAACACACAUGAGAUCUUAUGACUGCUCUUAAUUGGUUGGUUUUGAAUUGCGAAAGCUAGACAUAGAUUUCGUUGGGUGAGUUUGAGAUUUUGAAUGAGGAUUUUUUUUUUCUUCUUAAUUUCAAUUGAAAUUGCUGUACCCAAUUCCUAUACUUAAAUAUAGGAAUCAAUUUUUUCUUCCUUUGAGCAUGAGAUUGGGAAUAAGCUUACCCUUCAUGGAUGGAAAGACCGAGAGAGAUUAUGGGUCUUUGUUUUGAGAUGGGUUUUUGAGUUCAUCAUAUCUCUGAAUCAAUUCCUCCAUCACAUUCAUCCCUUCAAUCACAGAUUGUGAUGGCUCUGUGUGUUCUCUUUUCGUUUUUUUUCCUUUGAACAAUUUGAACAGAAAAAUUUGUGGAAAGUCGCUCGACUGUCUAACCGUCUCACGAUCAGAUAAGGUGAAAGAUGAUCUGAUUUUGGCCAAUAAUGACAUCGAUUUGGUUUCAAGGUCAAUGGUUUCAAGGUCAGAGUGUUGAUCGACAAGAAACUGGGUUUCUGAUGAAGCCUUAGAUGAAUUUCAAUUUUUGAUGAAUCUGGGUAACAUCAGAGAGUAGGAGAAAAAAACAUGAGAUAAAAGAUAAAAUUACCCUUCAGUUCUCAGUUUUUUUAACGGAGGUAACGGCUCCAUAUACCAAUAUUCAGUCAGGGUAAGAACAUGAGAUACCGUUUUGAAGUUUUUCAAAGUUGAGAUACCAAAAUUUAGCUUCUAAAAAAGGUCGGAUACUGUUCGGACUUUUUUUUCCUAUUAUAUUCAAACUCCAAAUCUCCAAUAACAUCAAUCGGCUAGAAUUUGAAGAAAACAAAAAUAUUGAACAUACAUAAUUUUUUCAAAGUUAAGAAACUAGUAGAAGUACAAUAGCAUAAAAAUUAGUUUUUAGUCUGCAAGAUAAAAACUAAAGUUGAUAAAAAAAAAAAAUCGGUAAAUAGUACAUGUGAUUAUGACAGUAAUCGAAAUUUAGGUGAUGAAUUUUGAAAAAGAUGUUUUUAAUUUCUUUUCUUUGAUGCGUAGUAAUAGUGGAGAAGAGUUAGGUUUUAGGGAAGAGACAAUUUUUUUUUCCUUAAUAAUUGAUGGAUGUUUUUGUAAUUAAACAUAUCUAUAAAAUCUGAUAUGAAAUAUAAAAUAAUAGGGUGUAUAUUAAGAGAUUAAAUGUGUGUAUUUAAAAUUUCUCAUAUUGUUUGUGUUUCAUGUAGUUGAAAGUAUAAUUCCAUUGCAAAUCAAAUUGGAUCACAAAAUGAAAUUGAAGAAAGAGUUGUAGCCUUCCGAACUGGGUGUACGUCAAUCCUUUAAUUAACAGUAGAAAGAGGAUAUAGUACACAAUAACCUACUAGUAUAGGGCAUGUGAAAAUCGAGUUAAUUUUAACUUACUACUAGGAGCCCCAUAAACCAUAGAACCUCCAUUAAGUAAAAGCGCCUAUAUUUUAUAUUUUUUUUAUUAAUUAAGGACAAACCCAAUUACAGAGCUUGUAAAAAUAAGGCUAAAAAGUAAACCAACAAAGAGCAUAAGUCUCCAACUCGAUUAAACUAGAAAAAGUAAAAGAAGACAUACAACUCACUAAUCUAUGAACCGAAGGCCUUAUAUCUAGGAAAAAAAAAAAAAAUUGAAACAAUACUACAAAUACUACCACACACCACCAAUGAUUGCUAACAUUGUUGUCGCCUUCCAUGCCAACAACAGUGAGGUAGUGACCCAAAGGCAGUGAUGCCCGAAUACCUAAUGCCAAACGAAUCCCAAUGCACAAAUCUAUGGAAACCCACACCAUAGAGGGAUAGCUCUCUCAAAACGAUAUCAUACAAUCCACCAUCCAAACCCAAGCCAUGAAGGAGCUAAGGCUAAUGAGAGAAGACCGAGAACCAUAACCAAAGAAAAUCGAGGGUGAUGAAUCCUCGUGUGAGCACCCAUAAUCUAAAAAGUAAGUGCGAGAUUGCACUUUGAGCUUGCAACCACUCAAGCUCUCUUGAAGGUUUGCAAUGAUAGUUGACAUGUAGUUUUGGAGUUAGGAGACCAAAAAUUUGAAGAAAAAAAAUGAUGGGGUUGAUUAACAUUGUUAGGAACCGAGUCCUCCUGAGCUGCUAGUAUAAUCCACAGAGGGAUGAAAAUGCAUUAUAUGGGUGAAUUGAGCUCGUAACCAUGGAAUAAAUAACAUCAGUAAAGAAAAACUCAUUUUAGCAUAGUUACCUCAGCAAGGCCCGAAACCCAAACCUAGGCCCCCAAGAAACUAAGGCUACAUCUCAUAUGGGCAUAGCAAGCCCAAAUACCCUUGCUUGUAAUGGAGAAACCCAGACCCAUGUAACCAUGUUGCAGCACCUGUACAUAGCGUAGGGUUACGGAGCCCACCCAGCAAACCCGAUCGUCAUUCUCCCACCCCAACCGAACCACCACAUCGGAGCCGCCUUGCCACCGCCGUCCCCGAUGCCGCAACUGCAAAAUAGGGCUCCCGCUUCCAGCACUGGACCACCCUGCCAACCGAAAGCCACCCAGCCUUCCUCAGAAAGAUCCAAGUCUGCAUCUGGAGAUCUUAUUGUGGUUAGCGCCCUAGGAUCUUUUCUGGUCUUUACUGGUACUUUACGACUUAAGCAAAGUAGAUAGAUGACCUUGAAGAUAGAAAAACAGCACACACAAUUUUAUAGUGGUUCAGCCAAAACCCUAGCCUACGUCCACUUAUGUAAUCUCUCUUGAGAGAUCACUAGCACUAUGGAGAAUAACAACCUGAUUACAAGUACUUAUUGAAAUCCCUAUGCUAAUCCCCAACUCCCUGCUAGAUCUCUCUAUCACCCUUAGCUCUCGGUUUUCUGUGCUCUCUAUCUUAACCUUAGAAAACCCCCUGCAACUCCUAUUUCUAGUGAAUAGGGGCUGCUGAUACAAUAAGGUUUUAGGACUCCUAAACCUAGUAGACAAAAUCCUAACAGAUCUUGAAAGAUUACUUUCCUAGAACUUAUAGAAAAAACCUCUUUCCUUUCUGGACUUGGAUUUGCUUACUGAAUCCUAACUUCCAAAUCAUAUCACCGAGCCAAAACACAACAAUCUCCACCUUGGUGAGUUGAUACCAAAUGAUUGUUGCACCCUUCAGGAUAUCUUGAAUCUUCUUGAAGUAACCCUGAACAAACCUCCAAGAACCUUCACCUUGGCAAGACUCCUCUUGCCUUAACGCACCUCAAGUGAGGAGGCGCUCCACCACAACUCAGCAACCUGUGACACUGAGGAAGUCCAAGCAAUGCUUGAACUUCUCCCUGGCAAUGGUCCUGGUAAAACAAUCUGAAACAUUCUCCCUUGAAUGUGCUUCUUCCUCAGUUGUUAUCUUCCCUGAGCUGACCCAACCUUCGCUGCAAUGACCACAAACAUCAACAUGUUCACUCUCUGCUUGAAACACUUGAUUCCUUGUCAAAUUGAUGACACCAUUCUUCACCACAGCUUCUUGUUGAAUCUCAAACUCACUUAUUAACCCAUUAAGCCAUAACGCCUCUACGGAAGCUUCUGUUACUGCCAUGCAAUCUACUUCAGUGGUAGACAAUAUCUCAGCUGAUUCCAUAGUUGUUCUACAACUUCCUGAACCUUUGUUGCAAGUAAAUACAUUACUUGUUGCAGAUCUUCCUUUGUCUAAGUCUCCUGCCAAAUCCGACCUCUCAUGACCAGUAAUGCAUGUUUGUUCUUGUUGUCUUUCAAACAGAAAUUCAUGCUCCUUUGUGUUUCUCAAGUAAUACAGAAUCCACGUCGCUGCUUGCCAGUAUCGUCUACCCGGAUUCACCACAUACUUUGACACAAUGCUCAAUCCUUGAGUUAAACCAGGUCUUUUGAAGAUUCUAGCCAUAAGACAUCCCACUACUCUUGCAUAAGACACACAUCUCAUCUAACUCAACUGUAGAUGAUCCCCCCUGCACACUAAACUGAAAGUGUGCUACUAGUGGAGUAGACAUGGGUUCAGUCAACAGCCAUAAUUUUCCGGCUUCUCUGUCCCUCCUUACCUUCACUUCUAGGAUCUGUUGUGCAGCUUCUAGACCCUUCAUGUCAAAUUCCCUCCUUAGUUAUGUCUUUAACUUUGGAAUUCUAGACACAUCCUGACAUGUAGUUAACACGUCACCUGAUAGUAAAAUCACGCUAUCCUUGAACACAUGAUAAUAAGCGCAUCUAUCUGCUGGUGAGAUUUUGUCAUAAUUGACCUUUUCUUUAUACGCAUACUCCUUAGCCAAUACCCGAGCUUUGCAACUCAUGACUUCCUUAUCAUGCAUAUCUUCCCUUUUCCUAUAAACCCAUUUACAGCCAACUAGAUUUCCUUCUUUGGGUUUAGGAACCGACUCCUGAACCAAGUCCUUUGGUAUGGACUUCUUCUGUUCUAACAUAGCUCCCAUCCAACUUUCCCGUAUAUAUUUUGCUAUAGCUUCUUGAUACGUGGUUGGAUCUCCUGGACUGAAACUUAGAGCAUACUUGUCCAAUGCUAUGCUUCUCUGGAACUCCUGCUCAAGCGACUGACGAACUGAGUCGUAGGUUCGCAGUGCUAAUUGCUCCACCUGAGCUUGUAUUAGUGACUGUUGUUGCCGCUCUAAGACUUCUACCUCAAUAACCCCUUUAUCAUGCUUCACCUGCUCAAUUUGCUCCACCUGAGCUGGAGUCUCUUCCAUGAUCUCUUUGGUUAGAGGAACUUCUGUUGCUUUAUCUACAACACCAACAUCAGUCUUCAUCUUCACCUCACUUGUCUUUACUUCAUUAAACGGCAUAGUCUUAUCAUCAAUAACAUAUCUACUUAGAACCUUUUUCUUGCUGAUAAUAUUCCAUAACUUGUAGCCCUUUACUCCUUUCUUAAUAGCCAGAAAAUUUGGCUUGAGUUUGGUUUGCUUAUUGCUCGAAAUAUGAGCAUACGCACUGCUACCAAACAUCCUUAAGUUAGAAUACCCAGCUGGUUCUCUUGACCAUACCUCCUCUGCACACUUGAAGUCCAAGACCUUUGAUGGUGACCGAUUAACCAAAUAACACGCAUGGUUAACUGCUUCUUUCCAAAACGUGUCUGGUAACCCAGCAUGCAGCGGCAUGCCUCUUUCUUUCUCAAAAAAAGUUUUCUUCAUCCUUCUAGCAGCCCCGUUUUCCUGGAGAUUAUCCUUCACCGUGAUGCACCUUGUGAUUUCAUCCUUGUAAAACUGUAAGAACCCUUUCAUUCUAUAUUCACUGCCACCGUUGCUUCUCAAAUACAUGAUUUUUCUGCCUUCUAGAUUUCCUACUUUAUUUUUCCCUUUCUUGACCUUGAAGAGAACCUCAGAUUUCUCCUUCAUAAAGUAGGCCCAAAUCUUCCUUGAAAAAUCAUCUAGAAAAGUAACAAAGUACUUGAAGCCUCCCAUACGCCUUACUUGUGUUGCGCUCCAUACUUCUGAGUGAAUAUAAUCCAGCAAUCGUUUGCUUUUGUUCUCACAAUCUACCAACUUGAAUGCCACCUUCUGCUUCCCAAGAGCAUCAUCCUUGUAGAAGUUCAGUUUGCAAACACCAACACCUUCUGCCUUACUUUCCUUGUAGAGUUCCUGCAUUCCUCUUUGACUCAUGCGCCGUAGGCCUUGCUGCCAUUGCUCAGUCUUGUCAUUUACCUCAGCAGACAUUGCAACUCCACCUAUUAUGGUAGUCCCUUGAAGCUUGUACACGUUGUUAGGUUGAAUGUCGCCCUUCAUCACAACAAGUGAUCCCUUGAUAACUUUUAGUCUUCCUUCUUUAGAGCAUACCUAUAACCGGCCUUGUCCAAAGUACCCAAAGAUAUCAAGUUCUUCCUUAACUUAGGAAUAUAUCUGACAUUCUCCAGCUUUCUAACAACUCCGUCAUGCAUUCUGAUUUUCACUAAUCCAAUACCUAGGAUCCUACACGAUGAGUCAUCUCCCCUGAAAACUUCUCCGCUGCUACUCUCCUCAAAUGUGUCAAACCAUUCUCGAAUUGCACACAUGUGGAAUGUACAACCGGUAUCCAAAAUCCAAUCUCUGAAAGCGUUGGAGCUGGACAUUACCACAAGAAGUUCACAAUCAGCUUCAUCUUUUCUGAUGACUAUGUUGGCUAUGCUUGAACUCCCUGCCGUCACCUGUGUUUCCAUCCUCCCUUCUUUGCAGUUUCUUUUCAAGUGGUCUGUAGCACCACAUUUGAAGCAACCUUCCUUGUACUUCUUCUUGGAUUUUGUUGUACCCUUGUUACCAGAUUUAUCCUCUUUACUUGUCAACUGACUUGUCUCCUUGCCCUUGACUUGAAGGCCUCCUUGAGAGCUCUCGGUCUCGCUACUCAUCUUAAUAUAAGAUCGAAUAGCUUCGGUAAUCUCAUCGUACUUGAGAGAAUCCUUACCGGAAACAAGUGUGGUGAUGAACUGCUCGUAUGAAGCUGGUAAAGAUGUUAGCAGCAUAAGUGCUUUAUCCUCUUCUUCAUAUUGCACAUCCACCUCUGAUAAAUUNNNNNNNNNNNNNNNNNNNNNNNNNNNNNNNNNNNNNNNNNNNNNNNNNNNNNNNNNNNNNNNNNNNNNNNNNNNNNNNNNNNNNNNNNNNNNNNNNNNNNNNNNNNNNNNNNNNNNNNNNNNNNNNNNNNNNNNNNNNNNNNNNNNNNNNNNNNNNNNNNNNNNNNNNNNNNNNNNNNNNNNNNNNNNNNNNNNNNNNNNNNNNNNNNNNNNNNNNNNNNNNNNNNNNNNNNNNNNNNNNNNNNNNNNNNNNNNNNNNNNNNNNNNNNNNNNNNNNNNNNNNNNNNNNNNNNNNNNNNNNNNNNNNNNNNNNNNNNNNNNNNNNNNNNNNNNNNNNNNNNNNNNNNNNNNNNNNNNNNNNNNNNNNNNNNNNNNNNNNNNNNNNNNNNNNNNNNNNNNNNNNNNNNNNNNNNNNNNNNNNNNNNNNNNNUACUUUACGACUUAAGCAAAGUAGAUAGAUGAACUUGAAGAUAGAAACACAACACACACAAUUUUAUAGUGGUUCAGCCAAAACCCUGGCCUACGUCCACUUAUGUGAUCUCUCUUGAGAGAUCACUAGCACUAUGGAGAAUAACAACCUGAUUACAAGUACUUAUUGAAAUCCCUAUGCUAAUCCCCAACUCUCUGCUAGAUCUCUCUAUCACCCUUAGCUCUCGGUUUUCUGUGCUCUCUAUCUUAACCUUAGAAAACCCCCUGCAACUCCUAUUUCUAGUGAAUAGGGGCUGCUGAUACAAUAAGGUUUUAGGACUCCUAAACCUAGUAGACAAAAUCCUAACAGAUCUUGAAAGAUUACUUUCCUAGAACUUAUAGAAAAAACCUCUUUCAUUUCUGGACUUGGAUUUGCUUACUGAAUCCUAACUUCCAAAUCAUAUCAACGAGCCCUUCCAGACAUGCUAGCCGGUCGACCUAUCUCAGCCUUGUCUAGAUGGAUCACCUCCCCCAACAUAUUAUCAACACCAGCGGGAGAUCAAGCACUUCCACUCAGACUGGUAUGGCAGUAAUAGAAGUGGCCUAAUCUCGGAUCUACAAGUUAGUCGAAGGCAACCGGGGCAAGAAGGGUCUUACCGCAGAAAAGCAUCCCAUUAAGCCUCGACAUCCGGCCAAGAUGACUUAGACAAGAUGACUUAUAAAGCAAAACAAAUUAAAAUAAAAUAAAAUUGAGUAAACAAAUAAUUUUAAUUCAACUACGACUCCCUUCAAAUUGGAAUCUUCAUCUAUCCCGUAUUUUUCCAAACCUCAGAAGUGAUAUUAUAAUGUACAAUAGCAAUUCAGAUCUAAUAAAAGGAAAUGACAAUUCGAUAUGAGCACCUUAAUAUUUCAUGCUUAACAGCAAAUCCAGGUUACCCAUAUGGACCCGAACUUAGAAAGUCCUCGAGUAUUUCUUAAUUUCGUACAUGAUUGACGAUAUGGACACUAAAUCCUUGUUAAGAGUAGACCCACCAACAAUAUUCUUUAUGCAAUCUGAGAGCCUAGUAUAAUAGAGCAGUAGUUGAGUCAAUGCAGCUCUCAAGAUUUCCAUGCCACACAAAAAGUUGCUAAAAGAAGUUAUGACAUCCUUGUGCAUCAGCUCAAUUGCAGCUUUCCAUCUACUUGCAAAGUCCUUCACAAGCGGCUCAACCUCUGCACCAGUUAUAGGAUUCUCAGCAUUUGCACCUGGGUCCUCCGCUGAUAAGUGACAAGUAAAUUGUAGAUAAGUACACACUUGAUAAGCAGUUGUAAGAAAAAAAAAAUUGACUGGAAGUUAUAAGGAUAUUAAGAUGUCAAUCCAAUGUAGAAAAAGAAUCGUCUAAGAACUUACAAGCCCGGGUUUUGACAAACUUGAUUAAAUCACUAAAAUGCUCUAGUAAUAGUUCUUCCUGCAAGGGAAGAGGUAAAACAUUAAAUAAGGAAGCAGAUCACAGCUAAAACAUUACAUCUCUUUACAAAAAAAAAAAAAAAGAAGCUAUAACAUUUCAUAGUAUGAACCCACAAUGGCAAUUCUACUAUUCAUGUGGGCAAAUUCAACCACCGGUUGAAACAAUUUGGCCACACAUAAUCCACGUGCUAAGGCUAGUCCAACUACACUGGUGUGUUAUAAGUUCCAAAUCAGGAACAUUAACCUCUGCAUCAAAAUAUAUGCCUUACCAAGGAAAAAAANAACUUUAUAUGUCCUNNNNNNNNNNNNNNNNNNNNNNNNNNNNNNNNNNNNNNNNNNNNNNNNNNNNNNNNNNNNNNNNNNNNNNNNNACAUGAUAUGGCAUUUAUAAAAUGUCUAACAUCAUGUGAUCUCCAUAGCAUAGCCCAAGGUACAAAUGCCACAUUGACUGACACAUCAUGUAGACUAAAAGUGGAACAACAAAUUGUUAAAUGUGGUCUCUUCAGCAUCUCUCGUAACUCAUGGUCCCAACCGCUUAUAAGAUUGUAAUUUUUCAGUUUGCAACAUAACAUUUUCUGAAAGAUACCAGACACUUACCACAUAUAAUGCUGUGUUGCUUUUAAGCAGUUCCUCAAAGUGGAUUUGAAUUUUACCACCUUCCGGGCCAGCUUCCUAGUAUUGAGAUGACAAACAUUGUAAAAAAACGACAGCGAAAGGCAGUACUGCAACUAAUAUGACUAACCAGUCUCAGAUAUUUAGCCAAAACCCUCCAAGAAUUUUGUGCUGACUUCUAAUUGAGGUCCUUGAUUUACUUUUACUGUUUUUCAAAAAGAAAGAAAUAAGAAACAAGAAAUUACCUUCAAUACUGCAAUAGUCAUAUCGUAGUUGUUUAUCAGAAACACAGUUUGCAGUUUUGGUCUUGGAAAUGCUUUGGCAAGCUUGAUAAGCAAGUCAUCAACAGCCAUUCUCAGUCUUUCCAAAUUUAAUUCAAGCUGCAAGUCAUAAAAGGGUAUUUAAGUAAAUGAUGAUAAGUAGACUACGUGAUUAAACAAUCCUAAUUAGCACCGACUUUUUUGUAAGAAUUCCUCUCUAAAGUUCAUUUUCAUAUCUAACCUGCCCAUCUCCAUAUUCAACAUUGAGGUGGAUAAGUGAAGCUGUGAAUUCAGCAUAUCGCCUCAUGACAUAGUGAGGAUGAACAUCAUCUUCCCACAAUGUCUUCACAUUCGCAUUGCGCAGGCUGUUGAGAUGCAGGUCAAACACCAUCUUAAAACGAGGCCAAAGGGCAAUGUUGAUCUGUAAACAUACAUAAAUGAAUUAUGAUAUAUUCAUUUGUUGGACUAUGCAAGUCCAACAAACAUUAAGAAGCAUGACCCAAUGAUACCAUACAAGGAUUUUUUAUUUUUAUCAAACGAAAUCGUUAAUAGAGAUUACAAGUUCAACCGAAAGAUCUUUCCCUUAUUUUUAGUUCAAGUGAAUAGUCCCAAUAUAGUGCCGUUGCUGAUUAUAACCGUAUUUUCAAGAGCUGACGGUUACAUCACCAUCCAUGCAUACAACAUAGGGCAAGCGUGCACACACAUAUAUCAAGACUAAUCUGCAUGCAAAUUAAAAACCCACCUUGUCUAAGUAUGAAUCCAAGCAUGGGAUACGCCGCCGAGACAUAAUGAGCUGCAAAGGAAAAACAACAAAUUACCUUUCAGCUAUAGAGUUUCAAUACUAUUAUAGUAAGAAGUUUUAACAUGAGAAGACUAAGAGGUUUGGAUUGAAACUAAUAUUUCCAAGUUGUUGCAGUCAAUCAUUCUCUUCCACCAAUGAGGAGAAAGUAUAAUUAUGUAUAUAGAAAGAUGGAGAAAGGAGAGCCAGAUUCUUGGGCCGCACAGCUGACAUCCUUACCUUUGAAAGGCACCCUAAGUUUCUCUAACAUACAAUUUCUGAAGGGUUUCUGGAUUGGGUUUUAGCACUCCCAUUUCCACAAAAAAUAAAUGGGCACAAACAUUUAAUGAGUUUGUGUGGAACAUUGGCAAAAAUUGUUGGCAAGGUAUCCUUGCAUAUACAAGUAAAUAUGCGGCUAAUGCUAUCUGAAAAUGGACAUAUGGUGUAUACAAGAUUAUAAAAAAAUAAUAAUAAAAUAAAAAUAAAAAACUUUUUUAGCCAAUGUUCAAAUGUCAACCAUGAUUACUUGAACAAUUAGAGAUCAUUCAGAUUUUCCGCCAAGGACAUCCUUCAUAGAAUGGCCACACUUUAAAGAAAGUGGUAAACUAUCAACUACUGAGAAAUUAUCAUACCAAAUACAACAGCUCAAAUCUGUUUCAGUAUCAACACUCUUUAGUCGUAAUCACACUGACAUGUCAUAAGCAUCCAGUACUUUCAAAUAUGUUUUUAAUUCACUUGGAAUCAUCAUUAAAAGCGGUCAUGAAAAAGAAGGGUUUGCACGCCACACAAUAAGGAGGUCCAGCCGUCCAAAGACAAUUACUAGUUAUAAUUAAUCAUAUAUACUACAUGGCAUGUCAGUGAUAUGUCAUGUUUAUGCUAGGCCUCAAUCUUGGUGCAAUUAAUAUUCUUUUUAAUACAAUUUUGACUCACAGACAACCAUCGGAAUCAUCACUAAAUGUGCACAUCACACAAUAUCAAGUUUAUGCUAGGCCUCAAUCUUGGUGCAAUUAAUAUUCUUUUUAAUACAAUUUUGACUCACAGGCAACCAUCGGAAUCAUCACUAAAUGUGCACAUCACACAAUAUCAAGUUUUAGAAACUGUUAACCAGAUGAUUAAUUAUACAUAACUAGCAAAAAGCAUGGUCCGACGCAAGUAACUCAAAUACAAAGUUAGAAGGUUGGAACAUUACCUGGUGCUGGUGUAUAAUGCGGAUCAUAAGCAUUACACCAAUAGCAUCAUAACAAUUUGGGAGUAUUGAAUUGAAGUGUUCAUCAAUUACAGCAAAUGGACCUGGUGUCAAAAAGCAUACUAAAGUCAUCAAAUGGAGCCUCUUUUUCUUUUUAUCCUUCCCUAAAGAGCGAGGAUAAAAGCAAAGUAAUGAUCCUUUCCAAUCAAGUCACAAGUAGAUGAGCACAAAACAUGCUGAAAACCACAAAUGAGCUUUCUGCUCUUUGUAUUGGAAUCAGCACACAAUUUGGAAUAACCCAUCAUUGGCCAUAAGAAUCAAAAAAUAUCUGUCAGAAUUACCUGCAAAAAUUUCAUAGAAUAUGGAUUCUUCGCAAAAGAAAUCAUCACAGAAAUGGUACCUGCACAUAGAAAGGGAAUGGUUUUGAAACAAAUAUAUCAGUAUAUGGACAAUCUUUCAUUAGCAUGUAGAAAUCGAUAUGUACUAGUAAAUGAAAACGUACUCAGAAGUAGCAGUGUCCAUAAGCAGCUUGUGCAAGCUCCUGAAGAGCACCUCAUACGGAUACUUGAUGGAGCUGGCUUCAGCUAUAUGUGGAAUUAAUGCAGGUUCUUCAAUUUCCUGAUGAAAAACAGAAGUACAAACAAAUGAAACAAUGACAUGUGUUCUUUGCAAGAUAAAUAAAAAAAAAUAAAAAAAAAAUUUCCACGUCACAGAACUAACAUUAUCUGGUCUUUACAAAAGCUUCCCUUUUUACAUUCAUAAUGAAUCAAUGAUCAAAAGCUGUUCUACACUUCUACUAAUUGGAAUGUCUCUUCAAAAAUAUUCAUAUACAAAAUUGAAAUAAAUGAGUAGAAAAACACCCUAUUGAAUCUGAAAGCAAAUAAAGGCCUCAGUUUCUUAGGUGGCAGCCGCAGCAUAAUCUAAAUACUGAACACAACCCGACUGCCUUUAAACACGAUCAAUAAAAGCUAAAGUAUAACAGAGAACAUAGAAAACCAAAUACCCAGUACACAGAUUCAAAAAGCUAUGGAACGUAUCUCAUCUUAAGCUCCUAGAAAGCUCCAAUCUCUAGUCAUUCAAUAGCUAUAAUACUACUUCAAGGCUCCUAUCUGUAAUGAUUCUCUUUUUUCAUUGUCCAAAGAGUCAUAGGCAUGAGCUUAUCCCUUUCCCAGUGCACUACUUCUCCUCCCACUUGCUUCUCCCCUUUUUCUUAUCUAAAAGAAAAAGGAGAACAUAACAGCGGUUGUUCUGUUGUGUAAAUCUCAACUUGAUAAUGAAAGGCAAGAUCAUAUGAAAAGGCCCACAAUUUUGAAUAUAACCUACAUUAGUUAAUCGAGGAUUAUAAACCUUCCAACAAGCUUUUAUUCUAACUCCAACACAACUAAGCUUACAUGAACCAAGUAUUAAAACUUUUUACUGAGGAUAACACAAAUAAAGAUUUUUCCCAGAAUUUUGGGUUUAGUUGCACAGAGAAAAACAAUAUAAAAAUAGUACCUUUAAAAUUUUAAUCCUCUCUCCAAGAGCAAAAACAGCCGACCGGUUCUUCAGUGGUUCCCUUGCUCUUGAAAAUAGACUUGUAUUUCUCGUAUCCACGCCAAUUAAGUCACUAGAUGUGGCAAUAUCCAACUGUAGUUUCUCUAGUGCCUGAAUAUAAGCACGGAAAUGUGCACUUAGCACCUGCAAAACAAAUAAAUGAACUUAAUAAGCCACAUACAUUAUCCUAGAAUAUUUAUCAAACAAAUUACAGUAGUGCGUAAGGGCCACAAGUAAUGUACUAUGCACAAUGAAUGAGCUUUGAAUACCAAUGGUCUGAAACCAACUUGUUUCUCUCUAUCAUAGGCAUAUUCCAUACAGAAAGGCCUCCUAUAAAAUCCUUAUACAGGACUAGCCUAAUUGCAUAUUGAGAAUAAUUAUGAAACAUGACACAAGUAAUGUAUAAAGUAUGAACCAGCAAAACCAUAUGAAAACAUGACAUCAAGUUAUAAGUUUGUAAAGGCACUAAAAGAACCACUUUGAAGGAUCUACAUUACAUGAUGAUCAAAAUUGGAUUUCUCAUAUCAUGCCUGUUAACAAGGAAACAUACUUUUUGCUGCUAUUUAAACAAAGAUGCAGCCAAAAAAAAAAUUCAGUAUCAAAUAUAUAAUAUAUAAUAUUUCCUCAAACAUCAAACCAAGCGAAAUUUGAAUCAGAUGAAGCAAUUACAAUUGUCUGCUUUAUAUUGUUUUGAGCUGACUAGGGAGGAGGGAGAUUUCACCUAGUAGAAUAAAAGCAGUAAGCAUAUGUUUCUAGGGGUUGUAAGUGCCCACUCUAAAAUUAGGGCUUUUUCUUUUGACAAAAUAAUAAGUUAACAAGAUACACAAUUGAAAAAAUUAAACAAGUAAUCAUUCAGAAAAAGAGAAAACAGGAAACAGAAAGUAUAUUAACCUAAAAACAAUAUUCCAGAUCUUCUAUAUCAUAAUUCAUAGAUAGGUCAUAGAUCAUCAGUUCAUAGUGUUGACCUUGUUCAUUGUGUCGAUGUAUGCUCCACGAACUUCAAUGUAUACCUCCUUUCCAUGUUCCUUGAGGAAUGAAAUAACAUACCUGCAUUAACACACUCGAAUCAACAAAAUAUAAAAUUUAAAAACGAGGAAAAAAAAGGAAAAAACUAACCAACAAAAAGAAAGGAGCCAAAUCCCAAAAUCACUCCAAAUAUAAAGUCACAGUAGUAAGAAAAGGUGCGAUUUCCAUGUAGCCUUUACUAUUUAAAACUAGACCUGGCAUUGGCAGAAAGAAAAUACAGGAAAUUUUAUUUUUUGAAUUAACUAAAAAAAGUCUGAAUGGAACAUAAGCUUAUCUUUAGUUAAUGUCAUACAGACAUAAACUACUGAUACAAUACUGAAAAAAUUACAGGUAUACAGAGAUACAAUGUGAUCUUCAAGCAUAUGCUUUCAGACACAUGUACAUUCCUUAUUUAUAUCAUUCUCUCCUCUCCUCUUUCUAGUUAUGUACUCGUCAUUCUGCCAUUUUUUUGAAACCAAAAUUAAACCUAUAUUAACCAAACUAAAUAAAAAAAAAAACAAAAAAAAAAAACCUCAAUAUAUUCUUCAAACAUCUAUCCCCAUAAUAGACGUGUUAAAUAGACUCAAAAUAUCUGCAACCACAGCUGUCAUUGGAAUAUUACAAUGACCUGAGUAAGCAAUUAGACUAUCAAUUGUGACUGCUACACAGGCUACUCAUUUGAAUGCUAAAGGAGCAUUCUGUUGAAGGAUCCAGAUGUUAUGAUUUUAAUGAAAACCAAUUAGAAUAUUAAUUAAAACACUAAACAAGCUACUCACUUGUACUUUAAGAGAACAUUCUGUUGAAGAAUCUGGAUGUUAGUUUUAGGUUUUCUCAAUGCAUAAAGCUUCUGCACAAUGAAGUCAAACACCUGCAGAAGACAGAUAGACAGAUUGGAAGUUACAUAGUAUUCAAGAAUGCAAAGCAUAUUAACUGAAAAAGAAAAGCUUGUUAACUAAAAUGAGUUUCAAGAUGUGGCCAUUGAAUAUAAUGCAAAAUAAGUUACAAUGGUACUUAGUAAUCCAGAACAAUUGAAUGGAAAUCGUCCCCAUAACAUGUCGCUGCCAUUUACUCCAUACCUACCACGAGACCUAUCAUGUAUCAGAUAUCCUGUGCAUAAAGCUGUAGAGUCUGACAUACAAUAUGGCCAAACAUAUUCUAUCCACUUCAGACUUUGGUAUUAUGUAUCGUUUCAACUCAUAACUAUAAACAAGGCAUACAGGGGAAACUUGGGGUAUUGAGAGUACUAAGUCCCUCCCCUAAAUUGUUGCAAGUUACUAGACACACUCAUAUUGUAGAUUGUAGUCCAUAAAGCAGAAGAAACUACCAUGGAUAACUGUUUCGCUGACAGGACUUCCUAUAUUUGUCGACUUGACUCGUACAUAGAACAAGUUAAAAGGAAUAUAUUUAUUGCUGGCACAGACCCGGUGUAUGUGAUGUGUACUAUAGAAUUACAUAGAGCAAUUAAGUGAGCAACAUUAGCUAACUCUGAUAACAACCUUGGAGACUGCUUUCUGUCUAAGUUUUUCGAGCUCAGGCUGAACAUCUUUUAAAGCUUUUGCAGAUUUAACCAUAAGAUCCGCUUCAACAAACUUCAGCUUCUUGCUAAGACUCUCUAGAGUUCUCAUAUAUUCAUCGUUCACCUGGAUAACAUUUCAGCGAUGAGUGUGGCAACAGCAAAGUAAAGAAGAAAACAUAAUGAGAUGAAAAUUUAAUAAGCAAAAAGGAGAGCAACAUGUUACUGUCCAUAAAGUACUAACUAAAAAAAUUGAUACUGUUUGGGAAAUGAGAAAAAUUAAGAAAAAUCAACAAAAUAUAACGGAUGUUGGAAUGGAUUAACAUCUGCUCAUUGCAAUACAGCAAGUAUGAUUUAUCUAUCAACAAGGGUUUCAACUUCAACAUGCAAAAUUAGAAAAAAUUAUUGCUAGUUCAAUCAAAUAAUUUCCAAAGUAUUUAAGGGAAGUAAUAAAAGCAAUAAAGAAGAAACAAACCUCGCCAUCACCAAUUAUAUCUACCAUCCUUGGAGGGAUUAUAAUGUCUUCAACAAAUUUUGCCAAAUUUGACUCAGCCACCUAUUACCAAUCAUUCAAGGUGUAUCAAUAUGUGCAACCAAUACAUAGACAAAUAGAAGCGAAAAGAAGAAUACAAGAAAAUAAGGAAGAAGAGAGGCGACAAAACAUAUUUAGAAACCUUUCGGACAACCAGACAAUCCAGUAAUCCAACAAGGAAGUUUUAAGUGGUCUGGAGAGAGUAGGUCUUGAAUAAGGGGUGAAGGAGGAGGUUUGGGCGACUAAGGUCCUCUCAGCUUCAGGGCAAUCUGUCUCAAAGAUUUUACACAAAAUAUUUUUACGCUUCCGUUGUGUUUGUUUAAAUGUUUUAUUAAAUAAACUGCCUAGCGUUUCUCUUGGUUUUCGUUGUAGAGACUCGCAGCAUUGUGACGUGCCUAUGCAGUUUGGGGUGUUACAGAGAGUAGUGGAAUCAUAAAUUACACUUUCUUUGAUUAUAGAUUGAAAGGCAUCCCUAGGUUAAUUUUGUCUUCUAUAGGUGGUCUGCUAGCAGUCUAAUAGCUUUUGUAUUUUUUUUUUCUCUUUUAAUGUUUUCUGUUGUUUAACCUAUCUCAUCUCAUGUGAUCAAUUAAAAGUUUCUUUAGACAGAAAAUAAAUAAAACAAUACAUGAAUUAACAUUCCACCAUUUACAAGAAUCGAGAAAGCCUAGUUAACACCUAAAAACUAUUCUCAGCCUCAAAAAUACCAAUGAAAUGGAAUUGUAUACAGAGUCUAGAGACAAAAGAUACCUUGCGAUUCUUCAACUUUAAACCCAUAUCCAUAGACUUUUCCUGGAGAAUUUUGAUGUCGGAACUUAUUGAACCUAUCUCUGCCUGGACAAGAGUUGCUUAAGUAUUACAGGAAAUUGAUGAUAGAUUUACAAUGUCAGCAAGGAACACUCCAUUUGUUGGUGAGAAAAUGAGAUAAACAAUCGGCUAAGUCAUCGUGCAGGUGAAAGAAGGUAAUGAUGGCAAAAUAAUGAAGCAAGGAGCAACAUACCUGAAAUCCACUGAGAAGAGUUUCCAUCUGUGACAAGAUGCUGUCACAAUCACGAAUUUCAUCAUGAAGAGAUACUAGUUUAUCACUUUCUUUAAUAUAAUCCUGCAGUAUUGGACAAAGUAAGAUCCUAAAGUUCCUUAUAACGGUUCCCAGAAACCUACCCACUAAUAAAAUAAGGACUGGUGUUGGGAACAAGUAAUUAACAAAAGGAAAUACAGACCACAUGUGAGUAUGUUCCAAUACAUAAAUGGCUCAUAAAGUCAGAGAUACAUAACCAUGCAACAAGAAAAUUUUAUGUUGAAACAAAAUUAAAACUCAAACAUCAUUUCACAUUAACUGCCACAGUGCCACAUGAGGUGUGAAAUCCAAAAUCUUUAUGCCUUAGAAAUUUGCCCACCUUUUAAUCAAAUAAUAUAUUUGGAUCACAAGUUCAAAAGUUGGCCCGAGUAUAGUAGAAAAUGCAAUCAAUUCCAUCCUACAUUUAAGUUAGUAAUAGAUCAUCUUCAUAAAGUCACUUAGCAGCCACAAAACUAUUCAGUGAGGGAAAACAUAGUUUUGGGUACUACAAAGAGGGGAUCCAACCUCUCAUCCUAAAACAAAUAGCUAUAUCUAGAUGGAUAUAUGAACUACAGCGUCCAAGAAAAUUGUUCCAGUCCAGCAAAACAUACAUCUUGAUAUUAUAGACCUCCUAACAAAUGCAUGAUGAAUCGAGAACCCAGAAAACAUUAGUUCACCAUGACUAAACAUGCUUAGAAAGUCAAUAUCGAAAUCCCCCGGUAAAGGUAACACAUUUUGCAACUGGAAGAGUAGGAUGAAUAGUUUCAAAGGAGACCAAACGAAACAAACAAAAAGCUAACACAGUAAAAGACACCUACUCGUGUCCCUAACCAAAACCGGAUUGCCAUAAAACUAACACCUCAAAAAUUAUUCUUUUCCAGGCAUAAAUCUUGCAAUAUGAAUUAAAAAUUCUGGAAUACCCAAAAAAGGUAAAGAGAUUUUGGAGGAACACAAUACCUGGAUUGAGUCCAGUUCAACUUUUCGUUUGUUGUUCUCAACCCCCUUUGUAUAAUCCCGUAGUUUCGUACCCUUAGACAAAAUAUCCGCAACAUCCUGCAUUAGAUAAUAGAUAGUAGAGAGAUUAAAUAUUUUGAGAUAAGGCCUAUAUACAGUAUAUUUGCAGCUACCUUAUGAUGAAUGGUAGCAAAAUUGAUGUAGUCGAGUAUUUUAAGUGACAGGAAUUUACGUAGAAAUUACAGUAUGCAUGAAUUACAGGCGAGUGUAGAAACAGGACCAGUGGUGUACAACAUGUAUGGUUACAAAACUGACUAGAAUACUUUUUAAAAUAAAAGUAGAUAUGCACAUGUCAAUCCUCUCACUUCAAGGAAUUCCCUUUAGCAUAAAUGAACAUGUCUAUCAUCGGGGGAUCAAUUUUUACAUCAUGCUUGAAAGCAAUAACAUGAUGCAUGGAAAUGCAGAAACACGGAUUUUCACAUACCUCCAGCCCUCCUCUUCCCAUGACCGCCUCCAGAAAAUAAUAACUAGUCUAAAAGAAAUACAACUAAACCGAGUAUGGGAGCUUCAAGGAAAAGCAUCGAAAGUAAGAUAUGUUACUUACGUCAUCACGUUUACAUUCUUCUAAUUCUUGUUCAAGUCCUUCCAAUGAUAUGUCAUCACUGAGGAGGAAAAGUUACAGUUGAAUAACUUGUGAGAGGCCGUAUGAUGUAUUCGGCAUUGUAAUCAUUUUAAUGUGCAUAACAUGGUGUAGAAAGACCAUGGAGAACAAACCUGCUAGCAUCCUCCUCAACAGUCAAGUCCCCAACAAAAGCACCCAAAUCAAAUACAGAUUUGUGGGCGUCAUUACUGUCAUCAUAAGAGUGACCCUGCGCCCACCAAUUUUGACAAGAAAGAAACUCGCUCAAUAUUCAAAUUGGGCUCUUGGUUGAUUAAAUUGACCAAAUUGUAAUUACUCUAAUUCUUUCAAGCCUGCCCAGAUUUGUAUUUUAGUAGUAGAUAGAAAUAGGAAGAGGAGAGAUGCCUGUGUGUUGUUGGUUGCAAGAAGAGCCAUGCCGAUUUAACAAGUGCAGGUGAUCCAGGUCCGCCACCUACAUUGAAAUUUCAAACGAAAUCGUUAGGGGAUGCGCAAUCAGAUCUAUUAAACAAGCAGUGAAUCAACGAGAAUCGCAGACCUUACAACAGGCACUGGAGCCUUCUCUCUCGUCGCCUGAUUGGGUCUGCAACUAGUCGGAGAUCACUUCCUUGAGUCCUUCACUUAACCAUAAGUAUAGACAGUUUGUGAUCUCGGUAGUUUUUUUUUUUUUUUGCUUUAGUUUGUGAUCUCGAGUUUCUUUUCUUUUAUACUAGCUUUUUUUUGGCUUAAUAAUCCAAUUAUUCUCUCCAGUUAUAAAACUCAUUACCCAUUUUCUCACCUUAAUUAUCUUUUUUUUAUUUUUAUUUUUUUAUUUUGUUAUUUACCAUAAUAACCUUUUUUCUUAACGGUAUGAACUAAAUUGAUAAGGAUAAUAUUAACAAAACAUAAUUUGAUGAAUUUAGAGACUCCUCAUUUUAUAGUAAUAGAGGUUUGUCAAACGAAAAACUAUUUUUUUUAUCAUUAUAACAAAAAGAAAAACAACGAAAAACUAAUUGAAAAUUAAUGACUAAUAAGAAGAGACUCCUUAAAUAAACUAAACGGAUAGGCUUGAGCUAAUCUCGCGUCUCAUCUCAGAGGUUAAAUUCGAAGAGGGAAAAUUUUAAGAACAGUAUAUCAACUUUCCUUCACUGAUAAUUAUAGCUUCUUAACUAAACUCGACUUCAUUUUUAUACAUGACAUUAACUCUUCCGUGACAUGAUAUGCCAUUAUCAUUUAAGAGAGGGUAAAAUUGUAUUUCGACCUCCAAUCUCUCAUCUAUUUCCUAUGAACAUCGUUAAGUUCAUAACAUGUUUACAUCUUUUUUCCAGAUCAUUAGCUAUUGAACUUGAUUCUUUAGCCAUUGAAUUUGAUAAAGAGAAAAACCAUGAGGGCUAGGUUACAAGUUUGAAUAUCGAUUACAUUCAUGGGAUAUGCAUGUGGAAUAAACUAAUAGCUAAAAUAAACAAAAUUUGGCACAUACAGAUUUCCAGAAUUGUGGAAUUAACCCUGGAAUUUGGCUUGUCUGCUUAGACAAGCUGUGCUUGGAUCUCCAAUGCACAACAAUAAAAGACUGCUUACAACUUUUAAGCAGCCACACCAAAUCAUGUCAAAUGCAGUCUUCAAACAAACAAACAAACAUGUUCUCUUCUCUUCCAAAUUCAAUUCACGUUGACUGUAAUCAAUCUGUUCUCUUGUGCCUCGCCAACUAAUCUGGGUCUCAAUUUCAUGAAGUUCCAGUACGCUGACCCAAAAUUUACUUAUUUACGACUGAUUUUUGGGCAAUUAUCUAAUCCAGAUUUGGUUCAAAAUCGCAAAUCUCCAAUCCCAGGGUGGUUAUCAACCAAAAUCUUAUUGGUCUGCUUCGAAUCUUUCGAAUUCAAUGACUAUAUCCAAUGGCAUUUCUUGGCCGGCUAGAUUAUGAAAGAGGAUUAAUUUCUAUUGUUAAGCAGAAGAGAGAGCCCAAAAACAUUAUAUGUCGUCUCCCAAACUUAAGAAGCAAUGAAGGACUAGAAUUAACUUGUGUUGUGGAAGACAUGGAGGACAUGGACUCAUAAAGAGGAGAGAUCGAUAUGCAGGUGGUCUUGCGUUGUAGAAGGCAUGGAGGACAGAGAGGAGACUCAGGAGAGAUCGAUGCAUAUGUUGUGGAUGGUCUAAAAUUGCCUCUAAAAUUUAUGUUGGGAGACUUUUAACUUUUGGCCCUUUGAUUGAUUUCUGAUGACGUGGCAACUUAGUGUUGAAGUCCAAGCAUAUCUGAGCAAAGCUUGUCCAAGUAGAGAAGCCAAGUCGUUAACGGAGACCCUAAAUAUGGAUGAAGAACAAUUAUGGUGUAUCAGCACUGCAUGGCAAUAAAGAAAGCAUUUCCAUGGCAGUGGAGGUAGAUUAUUGGAAGUGCACAUGGUGCUGAUCUUAUGACCACAAAUCCCUUUUUAAACUAACCAUGGAAGAGAAAAUAAACUAACGGAUUAGCUAAUUACAAAUCAAACAAGAUCAAGUGUCAAAUAUUCAUUCAAAAAGAUAAGAACAAGCCUAGAUAUCAUGGUCGGAUUUGGCCCAGUGCACCUAGUGCUCUCGCACAGGGACCGAGACAAAAGGGGAAAAUAUAACUAUAUUAUGUUCAUUUAAUUAUAUGUAUUCGAUAGUUUCAUUAAUCAAGGCUUAAGGGUAGCCGCACCAGCCUUUUACUCAAAAAAAUAUUAUAUGUAUUCAUUAAUUAUAUAUAUGAUUAACAAAAUCCUUAUUUUCUUUUUGGAUACUAAACUAAAAAAAUUGUUCCUUUUGGAUUUUCUGGAGUCUCUUCUUAUUCAUUAAUUUUCUCUCGAAUUGAUAUACAUAUUGUGUAAAUUAUGGAGAAUAUUUGUUAUAACAAUAAAGGAGGCUGAUUGGCAAUUGAUUUUCUCCAUAAUAACAGAAAUCUCUAUAAAUUUUUCACAAUCUUCCGAAACAAAAAAAUAAUAACAAUUAGAUGCUCGAGUUCUCAUGUUUCCUUUUGUUCCUUCUAGGCCUAAUUUUUCUUUUCGCACCGGACCUUAAAUCCUUCAGGACCGGCCAUGCUAGAUACAUGCAUAUCCAACCAUGGCUAUGUAGCUCUUUCUCUCUUUUAAGAGGCCAUGGAUGCAAAUCGAACCUUGAUAAAAUGCAAGCUACCUUUGGGCAUCUACACCUAUAGCCAAUCACAUAUCCAGCUCAACUCUAUGAUUCAUACCCGCUCGAAUCGGGUCAUCACUAGCUCCGACGACAACGACACCUAGCGUCCUAGCCACUCGCCGCCGCCGACAACUCGACAAGUUUAGGUUCGGCCUUUACUACUUGAUCCUCGCCACUGGGAGCAAACCAAUAUCAGAUGGAAAGGAUUAUGAAGCGAGAUACAUAAGGGGUUGUGAAUUCUAAGAAGAAAAGCUGGGUCUGGAGAGGAACUUGUGCGGUGCCCAUACCAGUUUUGUCUUAUUUUGUUUCAUGACUAGUGAAGAGACCGAUUUGCCAUUUGAAAAUGUGACAAAAAAGACAAACUAACAGUGUUACUGACGGUAUGUACAAAAAGUGAGUCGGGUUUGUUAUUUCAUAUACUAAUGUGCUAUUUCAGAAAGUUGAAAAACCUUAAUUAUCUGUGGAACAAAGAUGAUGUGUUGUUCUUAAAAUUUUCCCAUUCAGAAAAUGACGGGACGGAUCUUUCAGUUUUCAAAUUUGAUCCCGACCAUUCCCGAUCCCGAUUAAUAUCGGGACCAGAUGAGACAAGCCCAAUUCCUAACUAAAAAGUGAAAACACUUGAAACAACAAAAUUAUAACCCAACUUUAUGAUGAGUUUGCAACUUGGUAAAGUCUGUAAUAUGUAAAUGCAAGGAUACAAUACAUAUGUACGAUGUUCAUACUCUGCAUUUUUUACUCUUUCAAUGAAAAAAUUCUUGCAUGGUUCGCAUCUCAUCAGGGCCUGUCCGUCGUGUUUAGAGGCCUUGUGCGAGAUAUAAAAUGUGGCCCUUUAGGUGCUCCUAAUAAAAGAGAAACAAUACACCAAAACUAGAAGUAUGGUAUCACAAAUAGGCAUGUAUAUAAGCAAAUCAAACAGCAAACAAAAAAGAUGAUUUCAUGACUACCAAAUAGUAGAUUUUUCACAAUAAGACGAAUUCAGAAUUAGGAAAGCUGGAAAGGUUACCAUGAUAUCAGCCCCUUCUUGAGAUAUGUUGCCAAUGUUGGCAUUCUUUCCUCUCAAACGCUGAAGAGCUGCUUCAAAGUCCCUGUGCUGACCAACUUUUGCCUACAGAAAAGUACUGUAUCAAUUUACUUGAGCAUUUUAGUUGAGAAUUUCACCAGCUAUUCAAACAAUCAAACUAAAACAUGUAACUAAACAAACCUAAAUCACAGGCUCACAGAGUCAUAGGGAUUUAUCAAAUCAUGUUUAGAAAUCAAGAAUGAUAAACAAUACUACAAUAGAAUCAUUGAUUCAUUGAAUUGGGAAACAUCAAUAACAUCUUAUAUCUAGUAGAUUACCUUUCAAAAUCGUUGAUCUUGAAUAUAUUGUUGGUUGAAUGAUUGAAAUUUGGGGCGGAAUUGGACGCCGAAACCCUAAUUCUUGUGCAGUGCCGCCGGCCGUGGAGAUUGGAAUCGCCGAGUCGAGAGGACGAGUUGAGGGUUACGAAAGUGAGGGACUGAGGGUUACGAAAGUGAUCAUGAGGAAAUUCACCCAGAUGAAGAAGGGAGGGAGGGGGGGGGGGGGGGAGAUAAUAAGGAAAUUUAACCCCAAAAAAAAAACACGUCGGGUAAAAAAUUCAAUUUACUCAGGGAAUUAAAAUGUGUGUGUGGAGAUUCAAAUUUAGGUCUCCAAUACACAGAUCCAAUGUAAAACCAACCGAACUACAACUCCAAUUGGUAAUUUGCUACAUCUUUCUACAUAAUAUAGGUGUACAAUUUUUUUUUAAACCCUCCAAAAUUGGAGGCCCUGUGCAACCGCACACCUUGGCACAGCCCAUGGGCCGGCACUGCAUCUCAUAUGAACCACGGUCAGAAUAAGAAGUGUGUCACUAAGGAUGUAUUGGGGGGUUGGUUUUUGUUGAAUUGAUGCAGUUAGCUGCCGUUAAGGGAAUUAGACAGAAUGAGUUUUCGGGGAGGAAUUUUGUAGUCGCUUGACAUUUUCAAGCCGAAUUCCUUGAUCGACUCUCUCAUCGGUGGGCUGGUAGUGACGUUUUGUGGCAUUAGUCUAAAUUGCUAAACAAUCAGGAGUGCUGUUCCAUUAGUUACCAUUUUACUAGUAUAAAAUUGAUAUGUAUCGUAAUAAUAUUUUGUCUAGUGAUAUAAGUCUCACAUUUUAUUAAGUGAGAGGUCGAGUAGAUUAGUUAUUGUAUAUAGUAUGGACUGAAACGAACGGAGUGCAAAGCCACUAAUUAAAGAUCUAAAGCCGAUCAUUUGUUAUAUUUACUUCUAACUACAAGUGGGUUAACUAUUAAUAGAUAUGCAUUGAGAUCAUGAUUGUAUUAAAAUUGUCGGUGUGUUGUUGUCUAGUUGGUUAAAUAACUUAACUGACAAAGUUGAAGGCAUUGAUUCAAACCUAACUGACAUAUAUAAAGGCAUGUGAAGCUGCCAAACUCUAAAAGGAAAUUCACAAUCCAUUAUUGAUUUCAUCUUCCAAAGCUUGAGAUAAACCAUACUGUACACAAAUUAAAGAGGUGUAGCAACUUAAGAACAGACUUGUAAAAAUAACAUAAGCAAACUUUGUAUGCCUAGAUGCACACAAAACAUGUAUUAUCCCUAAUGACCCCAAUGCCUAAAUAAUCCCCCAUUAAAAUGUGUACCCUAGAACUCAGCAAGCAAGCUGCUGCUGCUCAACUCAUUUUGUCCACUUGUCGAUCUCUCUUGUAGUAGCUCUGACCAGUUUCUUGGUAUUAUCAACAAGCUCGUCAACAAGAGCGCCUAUUUCAUCCCUGUUAACAUUAGAGCACAAGAGAUCCAAUCAAUCACACAGGAAGAAAUACAAAAUUAUCACCAGAAAUCGAUAAUGUUGUUGUUUAAAGUAAAUGAUUUACAGGCCUCCUCCUAGAAGUGUGUCCUAAUAUCAUCAUAUAUAUGCACUUCACAUUCCAAUGAGUUGGGACUUACUGGGAGGUGGGAUUUCCAGAACGACUGCCAACAUUUUCACCAUAAAAGAGAUUGCCAACAUUGGAGUACUUUCGGAUGUCAUCACGAGCGACGCCCUUGCCAGCGCCGUAGCCAAAUCCUAACCCAACUCCGCAUCCAGCACCAACGCCAAAAGCAACUUGCAUGCCGGGAAUCCCAGGACCAAUUCCUACGCCUAAAGAUGAUGCCAGUUCAUGUCAGCUAUAAUUACCCAAUUUCAUAUAAAGAAUAACAACACUGAAUGAAGAGCAAAUCUUGAACGAAUUAGCUAGGUUUCAACUGGAUGGGCAUGCCUAAGAUUAAAGAUGAUAUCGAGGGGAAAAAGGAAGGAGGGUUACCGCCGAGGAGGCCGAUGCCGAUUCCGACACCACAGCCAACGCCGAAGCCAAAGGCGGGACCCAACUUGCCGAGUUGCUGGGUUUUGAGGACUGGAAGCUUCCACAGCAAACCCUUGUUCUCUCCAUCCCUCCUACUCGCCAUCUCUUCAACUUUUGAGUGACAGCCAACCCUUUGACGUCCUCGAUCGGCUUUGGAGGAGGAAAAUGGGUUGGGUUGGGCCUUCAUAAUUGGGCGGGCCGUUUUGAUUUUAAAAGAGAGCUUAUCCAUUCGGCUGUGGCAUGAAAGAGCAGAAUAAUGAGCGACAGUAUUAGGAGUUUAGGAGCGAACGCCAACCUGGUGAGCCUGUGCCUGGCGACGACGAGGAAGUACAACAACAACAAGGUGUAUUUCUCUUGCACCACCGCCUCCGCCUCCCACUGCUGCUUGGUGGCCCACGCCCACCAUCAUCCUUCAAGAGUCCAGGACGAUCUCCCCUCAUUGUUGCAGAUUCUUCCGCAUGAUUUACAUGACCAUCUCCUCAAUGAGUCCAGGAGGUCUCAACUCUUAGAGGUCAUUCACUUUUCUCUUUCAUCCACCCAAGCCACAACUUCCUUAGCUUUUGUUUUCCUCAACAAAAAGAAAUGAAAGAUCUAUGUACAAGGAUUACUCAUGUAUUGUAUUGGAUUUAGGUGAUAUUGGAUUUAGGUCGCUUUCCGGAAGCACGCUAUGUUGGUGAACCUGGUGGGCAAUAUCUCAGGACAACUGUGGUAAAUUAAAGGCAUACUUACAAUUUUCUCUUUCCGUUUUAUUUAAAUGGACUUUCUAGAGAUGUAUAGAUUAAACUGAAAUGAUACAUGACACAGAGGAUUGGGAAAAUAACAAUCCAGUAAUGUGUCUCUUGCCUAGGUUUCACUGCAAGAGUUGGAGCAUGCUCAAGAAGCUGUUCGAGAUUUUGGAGGUGACAACAGAGCUGGCAUUGAGGGUACGUUGCAUAGAAUUUCCGCUAUUAGGAGUAGGAAUGGAAUGAUUGUGGGAUUGACUUGCCGAGUCGGAAGGGCAGUCAGUGGUCACAGUGACAUGGUUUUUGAUCUGCUUCAAUAUGGGAAGAGCAUCUUGUUUGUUGGAAAGUAUGUCAUCUGAUUGCUGUUGAAAUGGUUUUCCUCCUAGUAAACAUGUCAAAUAGUAGCAAUUCAGAUGUGACUUUUACAAUGUUAUAUUAAACCACUCCUUUGCCUCUUCCACAGUACUCAAUGUCUAUGGCUUGUUUAUAACGAGUGUAGUUUAAAACAAAUUAAGUAGAUAACUUUGAUCGCAUAAGCUUCCUCACUAAGUACUGUUAGAUAUCACAUUAUGCGAUCUUAUAAUAUCAAUAUAUUUCUGGUGUCUAUUGCUGCCCAUGUCAAAAAAUGCCUCCCUUGGAAUACUCUAACUAUGGAGAUUGUUGUUAUCAAUUUCUUUGCUACUCACUAAAGAAGAUCACAUUACUAGCACGUAACAUAUCUGAGCUAGUCGUCACAAUGUCUUAAUGAUGAUGUCUUUCAACUUGUGAAGGCCUGGGGUUGGCAAGACCACUAUUUUGCGAGAAAUUGCUCGAGUUUUGUCAGACGAAUUUCACAAAAGAGUGGUAAGUUGUUUAUUUGUCUAGUCUCUAAUAGUGUGAUCUCUCUCUCUCUCUCUCUCAUACUCUCUUGCUCAUAGUAUUUCAGUUAGUAGUUCAACACUUGUUUACCACUGGAACAGGUUAUUGUAGACACAAGCAAUGAAAUAGCAGGGGAUGGAAAUAUUCCACAUGCAGCAAUAGGAGGUGCUCGGAGAAUGCAGGUUGCAGAACCAUCCAUGCAAUACAAAGUCAUGAUAGAGGCUGUGGAGAAUCACAUGCCUGAGGUCAUCAUUGUUGAUGAGAUUGGCACGGAAACCGAAGCUCUUGCAUGCCGCUCAAUUGCUCAGAGAGGGGUCAUGCUUAUUGCUACUGCUCAUGGACAGCAGAUUGAGAAUAUAAUAAAGAAUCCUACUCUAUCUGACCUGGUUUGUUCUGAUCUCUAUAAGAUACUAAACGUUGAAUUUUUUGGAAUUUGGAUUGCCUUCUGCUUGCAAAUCUUAAUUUUGUGUUGAUGGCAUAUCACAGUUUCCAGAUAAUAGCUAUGAAUAUCAGAGUCCUUUUAGUAAAUUAGAGUAAUGAGGAAAACUGUUGAUGGGCCAGUGGCCAUUGUUCAGGGAUUAGUACAACAUUUUCCAGAUAUUUCAUAGGAUCAGUACUUGAGCAUGUCAAUACUUAAUAUCUUCUCUUUUUUCAAUUUACUUAUGCUGAGAAGUUUUGAUCUGGAUUUUUGCCAGUUUUGCACUGAGAUGGAAUCUAUGAAUAAGUAGGAAUAUUAAACCUGCAUCUAUGCAUCUUCAAUGUGUGUUUGAAGAUAAUCUCUUUAGGCAGAGAAGGAUGAAAGGAAGAUAAUAUAUGAAGCCAGUCAUGAUUUACUUGAAUUGUUAAUCUGCUUUAAGGGACUUGUGGUGUUAUGCUCCUGUUCUUAAUAGUAUGUCCUGCAAGUUGAUUGAAUAUGUAGCCAAAAAAUUAUUAAGAUUGUCAACAACGCUAAUGAGAGGAACUUGUACUAUAGCUAUCAACACCGUUUUACUAUUCUCUGUGGAUUCCUUGUUGGAAAUGAUUAGGUAUUAGUUAUAUAAUAUACAUGAUAUUCUUCCGAUUCAAAUAUGAUAAAAUCUCUAAGAUACAAAUUUGCAAGAGAGUGAGGUGUAGAUAGUAAAUUCAUUUUUCAUGAUAUGCUAGUCCCUAAUUAGUUGUGCCAUUAGCUAUGUGGCUUUUAAAUUUUUUAAGAAGGAAGAGCACACGCCAAAUAUGAUUUUAUUGUUUCUGAUACUCUGUGUCUCUUUUGCUUAAGAUAGUGCAAUUAACGCCAUGAUGCCUUUCGUCUAUUGUAUAUGGCUUAAUAUUUGGUCAAAGGUGCCUUUCCAAGCUUUAUUUUCUGUUUUCAGAUUGGAGGAGUAAAAACUGUUACUUUAGGGGAUGAAGAAGCCAAAGCUAGAAAACGCCUGAAAACCAUUCUUGAGAGGCAAGCGGCUCCAACAUUUGAAUUUUUGAUUGAGAUGAGACACAGACACUAUUGGGUUACCCAUCAGGUGUGUCAAUCUAUUCCUCUGUUUGUUUCGAAAUAUUAACCUUGACCUAAUUUUGCUCUCCUGUGUCUCCCCAUAGUAUGAAAGAAAAAGUAAAAGAAAAGAAGGAAACGUUUUUACUUGAUAUCCCCUCUCACCAAAGUAGGAAAUAGUAAAAUUAAACCCGGAAAUUAUAUUUGGUAUCUGGACUGUCGAAACAGCUUACUCAAUUGCAGAAGUCAACAUUGUUGAAGAAAGUUAUUUUUGUGCCUGUUUAUCCUCUACACAUGUCAGUCUUUUAUAUCUUUGUUUAAUAACAAACUUUAUAGCGGGUUAAGAAUGUACUGUACACAUAAUCUUAAACAUAAACCUGUCUGCUGAACGUUAUACCUUGUUUCCUAAUUUAUAUCAACCAUGCAAAAGGCGCCUGCUCACGUAAUGUUUGUACACCUACUUGUUAGUAUGUUAUACUCGUACGAAAGUUAUAGCAUAUUAGAUUGAGGCUUAGAGUAAUGAUCAUACUCCAAGUUUUCACCUAAUGGUCUUACUGUUGGUUUUCUGAUAGCACACCUGCUGUAUUAUGAGCAUUUUACUAUUUUAGAUGAAAAACUUUUCUCAUUAGGAUAAAGGCUUCUAGCAUGUGAGUAAAUGACUUUGUAUUAAGUUAUUAACCUUUGAAUUUAAGUCCAAUGUUUUAGACAAUCAAAAUACUAACUGCUAAGGUCCAUGUCUCUUUCCAAGUAUCCAUACGUGUGUGUGUGUGAGAAGGAAGAGGAGCCAGCUUCAAAAUGUUGACAGAUUUGGUUCCUGCAGUAACUUCUGUGCAUGUGCGCUAGUGUUUUUUUUCCCUUCCAUUCUGCAGUAACAUAUUUAUAUGUUUCUUUUUUCUUCCAUUCUUAUCUGCAGACAGAAAAGAGUGUAGAUAUGUUGCUUCGUGGCAAAAGUCCACAAGUUGAGGUAAAUAUCUGAGUAAUUGUAUGUUUCGGUUCUAUAUUGUUUGCAGAUCGCAAGACUGUUUGAAGUUCAGAACUUCUAAUAUGUGAUCAAUUCUUUGUUUUAUGGUACAUGAUAUAUCACCAAGAAUUUACUAGUUGACAAAGCCAAGACAUAGAAAAGCUUAAGGACUUGUCAUUUGAUUUAUUUUCUUGUCCCCCUUUCUAUCAGAAAAUUGGCCAGAGAAUAGUUGGUAGGUUCGUCAAUCCUAUAACUUUUCAUGUCUGCAUAUUGGUUAAACAAAAAUUAUUCUUGUUAAGAUUUUCCUGGCCAGUAGGUCAUCUGCUACAAGCAUGCCAUCUAUUAUUGAGAAUUUCAUUUUCUGUUGUUGACCACAAUCAUUUCAUAAUGCAUUUUGGAUUUCAAUACUUCUAAUAUCUCCAAUAAGUGAUUUGAAUCAGCAUAUUGCCCUGAACAAACACCAGGACUAUGUAACCAGUAGUAGUAAUUUAAAUUCGGUAUAGUUAUGAAAGGGAUGCACAUUGAACAGAAUGAAGAAGCUUCCAUCUUGUAUUCUGGUGUCAGCCAAGAGUUAUUCAGCUGUUUUUUCUUCUCAUGCUUAAUUUAAUCAUUUCUUUUUGCUCUCAAUCUGUCUAGCAUGUAGCAAACUGGUAAAAAGAACAUUUUGGUUUGCAGGUCAGGACAAGGGAUGACAGCUUGAAGGUUGUAAUUGAAAGAUCAAAGGCAUAUGAUAAAUGUGAUGCUUAAUAUUUCGCCAGCCCAUUUGGGCUUCAUUUCCCUAAGGUUGAUACGAUAGCUCUUUAUUUAGUUUGUUGUUUAGCACUAUGUGCUAUGCCAUAUAGCACUUACAGAGUUGUUAUUUUCUUACUCAGAUUCAACAAAACUUGACUUGGGGAAACCCUUGUUUUGCUUUUCAGAGGACAAUAAUAGUUCGCGUUGGCCAAAGAAAAAUGUGGGAAGGAAAAGAAGGAAGAAGCCAGAAGACAGAUGGUGUGCUUUAAGCAUGCAGUCAAGCAGCAAUUGGAGGGCAUUAUUAAUGGAUGGGGGAGCUUUUGACGGUACACGUUUUCGUAUAGAAACUAUGAUAAUACCUUUACUGUCAAAGCCUACUUAUAAACUUUUAGUUCAUCGUAGUUUACUGUUAGUCAUAUCAUAGUAUCUGUAUGUGUAAAAUAUUGUUUUGAAUUCAAGAAUGUGGUACUGUAGUUAUUUAACACUAGCCUCAUACUUUCGUGUUGCACGUGGGUGGAAAUUCUUCAGUAUAAUUUGAAAAAAAAAAAUUGUAUGCAUGUUCUUUUUAGAUGGUUUCAUUAUGAGUUUUAGACUAAAGGGUAUCUUGGACUAUUGAAAAUUAAGUGAAGCUUUUGAGAUAGAUAGAAUAACAAUCUUGCAUGCUAUAUAUAUUCCCUUUUUGUUUAUUGCUGCCCGCAUCUUAAAACAUCAGUGCAUUUACUUUCUUGUAGUGUGUUAGAGUUGGGUCAGAGACUGAGUUUCACAAUACAGGCAGGCUAUUGGUCAUGACUUAGUUCCCUUGGAUAUAUUGUUGUGAUUGAGUUAAAAUCAGUUUUGUCCUGCAUGAUUGGAUGCUAGUAGUACUGUUGAAGCUUUAAUGGACAAGGCAAAUGCCUAAAAUUAAGAGUUCUGAAAAGCCAAUAACGAUUCCAUGCAUGGAGAGAUGCAAAUAGAAUUUCAUAUUUCAGAUAAAAACGCAUGAGCAGGCUUUGGACCCUUUGGUUGGCCGGCAUGCAUAUAUUGACAUCUUGUAACUUUUCAAUUAUUCAUGCUUUUGUGCAAUAUAUGUAUCUCCCUGUGUCUUCUUUGCUCUCUCCAACCUAACCUCUUUUAGUUUUUAAUAUCAUGCAAACUAGUUUUGUCACCUUUCAUUUCCUUGGCAUUUUGAACCAUUAAAUAUGUGGGAGGAGUUUAGCUUUGCUCAACUUCCAAUUUUUAAUCAAUUGCCGGCCACAAAAUAUCACCCUUACAUUGUUCUCCUCAUCCGUUUGUCCUCAAUGUACCACAUUAUUCUCAACUUAAUUUGUUCCAUUAAAAUCCACUACUGUUGUUUCUUUAGCUCCAUAGCAGCUUUUGAAACCAAGAAACCAAGCUAAUGGCAAUAUCCCUGAGAAACCAAUUCCCUCAGUUCUUUACAUUCAUGUGCAUCCUUUUGCCUUCUUUAGCUGAACCUACAGACGAAAUCACUUCUUGUUUGACUCUCCACAACAUCAACAACUUUACUACAUUCCCCAACACAGAAAAUGACUCUGAUUCUUACUUUAAGUUGCUCAACUUUUCUAUUCAGAAUCUACGGUUUGCUGAGCCCACAGUUCCUAAGCCAAUAGCCAUUAUACUCCCUGAGAGUGUUGAGCAGAUAAUAAACUCUGUAUACUGCUCUAGAGAAGUGUUCUUGGCAAUCAGAGUGAGGUGUGGUGGACACAGCUAUGAAGGGACAUCAUCUGUUGCUGCUGAUGGAGCUCCAUUUGUGAUUAUUGACAUGAUGAAUUUGAACACGGUUUCUGUGGAUCUGGAAACCGAAAUGGCAUGGGUGGAAGGAGGUGCAACACUAGGUGAGACAUACCAUGCAAUUGCCAAAGCAAGCAGUGUUCAUGGUUUCUCAGCUGGGUCAUGUCCAACUGUAGGUGCCGGUGGCCAUAUUGCUGGUGGUGGAUUCGGACUACUUUCAAGGAAAUAUGGACUUGCAGCUGAUAAUGUGGUGGAUGCACUUCUUAUUGAUGCCGACGGACGGUUGUUAGACCGACGCGGCAUGGGAGAGGAUGUGUUUUGGGCUAUUCGAGGAGGUGGUGGGGGUGUUUGGGGGAUUGUUUAUGCAUGGAAAAUCCAAUUGUUAAGAGUUCCACAAACAGUAACAGUGUUUGUGGCGUCCAGAGCAGGAAACAAAAGCCAUGUAGCAAAUCUAGUAGAUAAGUGGCAACAUGUUGCACCUUACUUAGAAGACGACUUCUAUAUUUCCUGUUUUGUUGGUGCUGGGUUGCCAGAAGCCAAGACCAGUGGUACUACUGGUAUAUCAGCGACAUUUAAAGGGUUUUAUCUGGGUCCAAGAAGCAGUGCGAUGUCUACCCUAGAUCAAGUUUUUCCUGACAUAGGUAUUGUAAAAGAAGAUUGCAAGGAAAUGAGUUGGAUCGAAUCGACCGUAUUCUUCUCCGGCCUAGGUAACGGAAGUUCUGUCUCGGACUUGAGAAACCGGUACUUAGAAAACAAAGGUUUUUUCAAAGCCAAAUCCGAUUAUGUGCGGACCGCAAUUUCUCACGCAGGCAUAAGGGCUGCAGUGGAAAUACUUGAGGAGGAGCCGAAAGGGUACAUCAUCUUAGAUCCGUACGGUGGGAUUAUGCAUCGUAUAAGCAGUGAAUCCAUUGCUUUUCCUCACAGAAAAGGUAAUCUCUUUACAAUUCAGUACCUGGUGGAGUGGAAGGAAGAAGAAAAUUACAAAAGAAACGAGUACGUAGGUUGGAUAAGAAGAUUAUAUAAUUCAAUGACACCAUAUGUGUCAUGGGGUCCAAGGACCGCUUAUAUUAACUACAUUGAUCUAGACCUCGGAGUGAUGCGUUUGGUUGAGACCAGAGUUCCUACGGAGAAGGAUAAGGAUGCCGUGGAGAUUGCCAGGGUUUGGGGUGAAAAGUACUUCUUGAACAACUAUGAUAGAUUGGUGAGAGCAAAAACAAUUAUUGACCCAAGAAACGUUUUCAGUAAUCAACAAGGCAUUCCACCAGUGUCAUAUUUGAGUCAAGCUAGUAGUACCGCUGCGAGUUAGAGGCAUGUAAACGUACCAAUUCGUAUGCGGAACUUGUUUCAAAUCAUUCCUUUUUUUUUUUUUUUUUGAGAAGAUGUUUCAAAUCAUCCUUGUUUCGUGACAGAAAAAAAGAAUCUUUGCUCUUUUGUUUUUGAGGGACAAAUGACUUCAUUGCAGAAGGUAAUAUACCAAACAAAAUAAGUGUCGUAGUAGUUUAUUCUACACGAUCCGAUUGUUAGGGUUUGCCUAGUUGUUAGCCUCUCAACGGGUUGGUGGCUACUAGGGUUUGCCUAGUCAUCAUCCUCUCAACGGGUUGGUGGCUACUAGGGUUUGCCUAGGCUGAUGGUGGUGACUUCUUAGCGGAUGUCAGUUAGAUCGGGUCAAGCACGCUCAAGGUCUCAAACUUCCUACUUUCCAGUUUGGUGUAGAUAUGUGAGCUGUGACUCCGAGAAAGAUGGCGUGCGCGGUGCGGUUUAGGGGGUGAGUUGAAAUUUUGAUAUGUCGACUUUCGACUCGGUUUAGCUAUACCGAUAGACUUCAUUGGGCAUUGGUAGAGGCAUUUUUACUUCAGUUUAGUACGGGAUCCACCUUUAAAUAUAAGUGUCAAACAAAGAGAUAUUCUUACGUACAACUGACGUAUCACGUGACAAGUAUAAUAAGAAUUGUACAUUAUAAAAACAGAUCUAACUUUGAUAUCAACAUAAAAUUUCUUGCAAUUCUAUUGACGUGUCCCACCACCACGUAGUAGAGAAAACCUUUGAGAGCAAUCAAUACAAUUGCAAUCAUUACCAAGUGAGAGCAGUUAGACCUCGUUGGCUCAAGGUUUUCACCUUUUAAACUUACAGACAUCCACAGUCGGGUCUCAAGAUGGCUCAGACUCUCUUGAAAGCUGUCACUUUUUACCGGCCGUCUAUGAGUCUCGCAGAUCUCCAAUACUUGCAACGUGAACCUACCAACAAGAAACAUGUGAUUGUUGGCGCUUGAACUUGGGUGAAAGUUUCACUCAAGCAAGUGCCUUCCCAAUCUUACCAACCUCGUCAGUGUGUAGAACCGUUCAUAGAAAUUUUGCCAAGAAUUGAAUUUAUAGGGUCAAGAAUCCGAAAUAAAGAUGAGGUAUGUAAGGAUGGAAAGUGCACCCAAGAAAACUACAAAAUUGCGGUGGACACCGAGAAAUGGUUUGAAAAGAAUAAAAUAUAAAUUACAGAAGAAGAGCCACGACUCAUUUGGAGAGAGAGAGAGAGAGAUAAGGGAGAUGGCAUCACUGUGCGUUAAUAAUAGCUUUAUAUUAAACACCCACACCCAUACUCUACACCAGCUCUCCUUUCUGCCUGCAACAACCAACAGAAGAAGAAGAAUAUCAGUGACCAUAGCAGCAGUCUCUUCUUCUUCUAUGGCUACUGAAAAAUUGGGCAUCAAGAUUGAAAAGAAUCCUCCCGAGUCCACUCUCACCCAACUCGGCGUCAGGAAUUGGCCAAAGUAUAUUUCUGUCUCUCAUUCCUUUUGCUUUCCCAUAAGAUAUCGCUCUCGGAGGAGAUAUGAGUAAACUGUUUCUCUUGCAUGCAUUAGAGUUGAGAACAAGACCAACUUGAUCAUGAGUUCCAUGACAUCGUUCAUCUUUGUUCCUCUGAUGCUUUUCUUUUUCUUGUUAGAACUUUCUGAAACUUUAUAAUUAGUUGCAAAGUUUUAGAACGUAUUGCACAAACUUCAUGAGUUUGUUUAACUGCCUCUGUUUCUUAAUUUGUUGCAGGAAACUAAUUUGAUAGCAGUUUUGUAAUUGUUAGCAUUAUUCAUGUCUUUUAUACCGGUACUUGUGAUGGUACUUAGUUUAGGCAUUCAUUCUUGUUCUCUAAUUUGCAAUUUUUAUUCAGUACUUGGUUUAGGCAAUGCUUAAAACUGUAUCAAGUGUUUUCUAGAUUUAUUUACUUAAUUUAAAUGCAGCAGCAAGCCAGCAAACACCAUGUAUUCUAACUUUAAACUGAUAAGAUUAAGCUUAAGGUGUGGACACAAUCAGCUGAAGUUUUUCUCAUCUUUGAUUUGAAAUUUAUACAUCAAUUCUACAUAGUGAUGAUAUUGGGGUUAAGUUUACAGGUGGAGUUGCCCUCCGAGCAAGUUUCCAUGGACGUACAGUGAGAAAGAGACUUGCUAUCUGCUGGAAGGAAAAGUGAAGGUCACUCCUGCUGGAUCAAAGGAGUCGGUUGAGAUUGGUCCCGGUGACUUGGUUGUAUUUCCUAAGGGAAUGAGCUGCACAUGGGAUGUGUCAGUGGGUGUAGACAAGCACUAUAACUUCGGCUAGGUCAAUUGAGAUUAGAUCGAACUAUACAUGUCAUUGGCUGUACGUGUAUUUCACUCCAACCUAGCUAUACAUAAUACCUGGCAGUCUUGGUUGAUGAAUGAAUAUUUUUGUUGUCGUUGUUGUUGAGAGGGGUUUGGAAGCCAACCGGGAGGCUCUCCAUGUCCGUACGUACGUGGUUAUGUUUAUUUACAUAAGACUUGCCUUUGGGGAUGUUGUACGUACCAGAACUCCAAGCUAGAAUAAUACCUAGUAGGGCUUGUUGAUGAAACUACCCGAGAGAAGUGUGUGUUUUUGUAUAUGUAUAUUAUUUUUCAUUUUCUAAACAUGGGAGGGGAUGAACUUCCCGGAUAUGAUUCUCCCCCUCCCCCCAAAAAAAAUCGAGCUCCCGUCUCCCCAAUUUCCUCCCAAAGUUUCGUUAUGGCCGUUGAUGGCAAAUGAAUGCAAUAAGUGAUUUCGUGUUAAGUAUGACAAUCAUGACCGCGGUAAAUGCAAUGCGGAGCGGAUGCAGUACACCUUGGUGCACUUCCCCCAUAACAGAUUUAGCAAACGUCCGUUACUGACAAACACAACAAGGACCGCAGAAAAAACCCAGAUUCCCAAUAAAAACUUUCCUCAUCAAAGAACACUCGGGCAAAACUUUCCAGCCAUGCCUCAUAAGUUCGACCCCUCUCACAGGUCAUCGGCGUCUAUGUCCGCGUCAUCGGAGCGAGGUCGGCGCCGUCGGUCUCUCCCCCAAGAGACCGGAAAAAGAAAUAUCGCCAAUCACGCCAUCGACAUUGCUAAGAUCAUGGAACACCAGAUUUGUUGUUGGGGAGAAGAGAAAGAGAGUGGAUCUUAAUAAGAUGAAGCUUUUCGGGUGGAUAGAUUUGUGGUGGAAGCAAUGAACCUUGAGAGAUUUGACGAGCUUGAAUUUGGUUCUGGUGAUGAUGGUUCAGCGUCAGCCAUGAAUGCAGUUGGUUUUGGAUUAGAGUGAUACAGAAGAUAUUGUGGUCAUUGUGGAAAGUGGAUACUAAAUUAACUAGAAGGAAUCAUGUGGGGUGUCUAUGAUAGGAAAUUUGUACCAAUAGUGUUAAUUCUUUGAUUUAAUCUCAACCUCAAGAUCUUUACAAGCUGGCUGUCCAACUUUUUUUUUAAAUUANNNNNNNNNNNNNNNNNNNNNNNNNNNNNNNNNNNNNNNNNNNNNNNNNNNNNNNNNNNNNNNNNNNNNNNNNNNNNNNNNNNNNNNNNNNNNNNNNNNNNNNNNNNNNNNNNNNNNNNNNNNNNNNNNNNNNNNNNNNNNNNNNNNNNNNNNNNNNNNNNNNNNNNNNNNNNNNNNNNNNNNNNNNNNNNNNNNNNNNNNNNNNNNNNNNNNNNNNNNNNNNNNNNNNNNNNNNNNNNNNNNNNNNNNNNNNNNNNNNNNNNNNNNNNNNNNNNNNNNNNNNNNNNNNNNNNNNNNNNNNNNNNNNNNNNNNNNNNNNNNNNNNNNNNNNNNNNNNNNNNNNNNNNNNNNNNNNNNNNNNNNNNNNNNNNNNNNNNNNNNNNNNNNNNNNNNNNNNNNNNNNNNNNNNNNNNNNNNNNNNNNNNNNNNNNNNNNNNNNNNNNNNNNNNNNNNNNNNNNNNNNNNNNNNNNNNNNNNNNNNNNNNNNNNNNNNNNNNNNNNNNNNNNNNNNNNNNNNNNNNNNNNNNNNNNNNNNNNNNNNNNNNNNNNNNNNNNNNNNNNNNNNNNNNNNNNNNNNNNNNNNNNNNNNNNNNNNNNNNNNNNNNNNNNNNNNNNNNNNNNNNNNNNNNNNNNNNNNNNNNNNNNNNNNNNNNNNNNNNNNNNNNNNNNNNNNNNNNNNNNNNNNNNNNNNNNNNNNNNNNNNNNNNNNNNNNNNNNNNNNNNNNNNNNNNNNNNNNNNNNNNNNNNNNNNNNNNNNNNNNNNNNNNNNNNNNNNNNNNNNNNNNNNNNNNNNNNNNNNNNNNNNNNNNNNNNNNNNNNNNNNNNNNNNNNNNNNNNNNNNNNNNNNNNNNNNNNNNNNNNNNNNNNNNNNNNNNNNNNNNNNNNNNNNNNNNNNNNNNNNNNNNNNNNNNNNNNNNNNNNNNNNNNNNNNNNNNNNNNNNNNNNNNNNNNNNNNNNNNNNNNNNNNNNNNNNNNNNNNNNNNNNNNNNNNNNNNNNNNNNNNNNNNNNNNNNNNNNNNNNNNNNNNNNNNNNNNNNNNNNNNNNNNNNNNNNNNNNNNNNNNNNNNNNNNNNNNNNNNNNNNNNNNNNNNNNNNNNNNNNNNNNNNNNNNNNNNNNNNNNNNNNNNNNNNNNNNNNNNNNNNNNNNNNNNNNNNNNNNNNNNNNNNNNNNNNNNNNNNNNNNNNNNNNNNNNNNNNNNNNNNNNNNNNNNNNNNNNNNNNNNNNNNNNNNNNNNNNNNNNNNNNNNNNNNNNNNNNNNNNNNNNNNNNNNNNNNNNNNNNNNNNNNNNNNGGAAGCUGUUGGAGUCGGCUGGGGUGGAGGCGCGCCCUCGCGCGGUGCCGUAAGGUGGCGAACGGACGAAAAUCCGCAUCGUAAAACGGUGCGAACGUCCGUAGCAGAGACGGACUGUAUAUAUAUAUAUAUAUAUAUAUAUAGGAGUAAAUACUUGUGACACCCUAUAGUUUACACCUAAAAUCAGUUUUGUCCCUCACUUUUUUUUUAAAACUGGUAUACCCCUAUACUUUGAAUUCUCGACUGAUUUGCCCUUGUCGUCAAGUGAACCCGUUAUGUAGCUGACGUGGCUAACAUGUUGACACAUGUAUGGGACCAAGGUAUUGAGAUGACAAUUUUACCCAUAGAGCAAUUCCAAACCCAUUUUGAAUCAUCGACUUCUAAAUCAGUCCACCAAAACAAAACCCCAGAUCGAAACUUAGCCACUAAACCCAGUUUCCUAACCUCAGUUCUGCAAGUAGAAGAGAUCAGAUCCAAUUCUCCAAUGGCCCAUGCUCCUCCGGCUUCAGCUCCUCCAUCGUCUCCGGCCUCUCCGGCCUCUCACUCUCUCUCCCACUUCUUCUCCCUCAUCUCCUCACUUCCCCACCGCCCAAACAAAAUGGAGGAGAAGAAGACCCCCAUCUCUUCUUUUUCACUCCCCUCCUCUCCCUCUCCUCCGCCGCCCUUGACCACCACACCCUCCUCCUCUCCCCCCCCUCCCCCUCCGGCCCCCUCUCUCUCCCAACCCGAAUCCUUUUCAGAAACAUCCGAACCCGACUCCGACCCAUCUUCCCCUCUCCCUCCCUCUCCACCACCUCGACGCCCUCUCCUCCAACCAAACCCCCUCCCAACUCUUCCACCUCCGCCUCCGCCGUGACUCCCUCCACUUCAACUCCCUCGCCUACAACCGUACCCGACCCGGCCCACCCUCCUCCGGGUUCAGCUCCUCCAUCGUCUCCGGCCUCUCCCAAGGCAGCGGCGAGUACUUCACCCGCAUCGACGACGGCUCUCCCCCCAAAUACCUCUACAUGGUCCUCGACACUGGCUCCGACGUCGUCUGGCUCCAAUGCGCCCCUUGUAAACACUGCUACUCCCAAACCGACCCGGUUUUCGACCCGAGAAAAUCCUCCUCCUUCUCCUCCCUCCCUUGCUCCUCCCCUCUCUACCGCCACCUCGACUCCCCUGGCUGCAGCUCAAAGUCCAAAACCUGCCUCUACCAAGUCUCCUACGGCAACGACUCCUUCACCUUUGGCGACCUCUCCACCGAAACCCUCACCUUCCGCCGCUCCAAAGUCCCCAAAGUCGCCCUCGGCUGCGGCCAUGACAACGAAGGCCUCUUCGUUGGCGCCGCCGGUGAGGCUUGUCGAAGGACCUGCAAAGCUGGAGAGCAUCGAGCUCGUCUCACAAAGCUGGUUAGUUCUUGGUUUUAAAAGUCACUAGAGUCAGGGGUAUAUUGGACAUAUUAUGUCGAUGUUGCAGAUUUCUAGCUGAGUUGGAAUCGCAGGACCGGUCAUCUCAACAACUUAACAGUCUUCUUUAACGGUCAAUUGACGACAAGGGCAAAUCAGUCGAGAAUUCAAAGUAUAAGGGUAUACCAGUUUAAUAAAAAAAGUGAGGGACAAAACUGAUUUUAGGUAUAAACUACAGGGUGUCAGUAGCAUUUACUCCAUAUAUAUAUAUAUAUUGAAAGCGUUAUAUAUUAUUUUAUUCCACGCUUCCAAAAUGCUCCCGCUUUCAAUAAAUUUAGGAAAAAAACGCUUCCGAGUGCUACCGCUUCUGCGUCCCCGCUUCCAAUUCCAUGUAAUAUAGCUCCUAGGUUCGACCCCUCCCAAGUCAUCCAGGUCACCGGCACGGAGGCAACGACGGCGCCAUCAUCUCCUACGCUUCCGAGAUCCGUCUUCUCGGUUUCUUCUCACAGAAAUAUCGGAGAAGACAUCACCAAAACCACAAAGGCCUCUGCGUCUGUGGUCCUUCGCGUCACCGUCUAGAACUGUCUCCUUCUUCUCAUCAAAAAUAAACAAAACCUCAAUACAUGGUUACUCAUAAUUAUUUUGAUAACGUAUGUAUGUAAGUUAGCAUACACAAGCAAGAACUGAACUAUUGUAGUAACGAUUGAUUGUCAUGGAUAGAUAAACGAACAUGUAUGUUGAAGUCUUUCCUUCAUUCAUUCCUCAUAUUACUAUGUCGUGAAAAUAUGGGCAAUGUCAAAUAUUUUGCUUGUCUUAUCUAUGUUUCAAAGCGCAUGAAAUCUUUACACACUCAUUAACAUGUUCAAGUAUAUAUAGGCAAUGUUGAGUGACUCGAGUCUUUUUUGUUUCUCACAUAAUGCAAAUUAGGAUAAAAUAGCAAUGCAAAAUAAUUGUCCCUAUGAUAUUCGUUUGUGUCACAAUCGACAUGAUCAAAUGUACUCUAUUAAAUAACGAUACUCAUAACUAAAAUUUUAUCUAAAUAAUUUUAUCACAUAACAUUUUAUUUAGAUAAUGUAGCUCAUUUGAAAAAUAACUAUAGAACAAAAUGGAGUUGGCUCAAUCUGACAAAAUGAAAAUAAUCUUAAGAGAUAAUUUUGAUUCAACUUAGGUUGACUCAUGUACUUUUUUCAUUCUCUUUAAAAAUGUAAUUCAAUUAAUUAGGUUAAUUUUAAUUGAAAAUAAAUUAUUUAUUACAAAUACAACAAUAAAAUUAUAAAUAGAUAAUCAUACCUAAUCCUAAUUCUAAUAGCAAAUUUUACACACCUACCCCUUAUAAGAGCACAUGAGAUCUAGAUCUACAUCAUUUCGAAUGGGUAAAUAGGUAAAUUCUAUAUUUAAUGCGUUUUAACAGAAUAAAUAAAGAAGGAUAAAAAGUCUCGCUAAAACAUUUAAAAAUCGUAUUAAUUACGUUUUGGAAUUAAUUGCCAAUUAAUAUUUACCGUAGCCUUACUUUUACCAUGUUCAUUCAAAUUUUUUUGUCUCAAUUCUUUUUAACAGUGUUAGUAUUGGUGUUAGUGUCAUGUAGUUGACUGCAUUAAAUGAAUGAUAGUGAUUGGUCAGUCAUAAUUGGUUCAUAUGCACCAUGAUGCAUACAAGAACUUUCGAUCAUGAUUGCAGACAUAAAAUGGGGUUAUGAUUACGCUUAUAAGUGAACAAUGAUUACACUUAUAGAUGAGGUAUGAAUGCGGUACUAAUUACGACAUAAAUGCGACUUGUGGCCCAAGUAGUUCGCACCUAUAUAAAUGGGACACGGUUUUAGGUAAAACAUCUCAAUCUGAUUCUUGCGUCAAAGGGUUUUAUGCAGGUACACUUCCCUCCCCCCCCCAAUCCUGGUCCAGUAGUCGAACGAACAAUCCAAGGCUACUCCCGCUCUAGCUCGUAUUAUUGGUGAGAGAAUCCCUUAUUCGAAAGUUUUCUGCACCAAUAAUUGGUGCCGUCUACAGGAAGCACCUUUCCCUAAAAGGUGAUGGCGGGAGUUGAACCUGGAAAAUCUCGUCUCUGUCGUUAGGACUUGGUGAUGGUGGGAACUGUUAUAAACCCGAACUUAGUAGGAGAUUUGAACGUCUUCCCUAAAGAUGAAACAUAAUGAGUGCAGUAGGAGCUAGAGUAACUACAUAAGAAAAGGCUUGCGAAGGCAAAGGGAAAGUUAUUCGCCUUCGAUUUGCUACCGCGAACACCAAGGAGAGGUUUGCCUUCGCAAGAAUGAACGCAAAGGAGAGAUUGUUUGUAUUCAAAAACGUGAGUGCGAAGGAGCCAAACAUGGAGGUGAGGUCCGCCCUUUGCCAGGCUAAAAAAAAAAAGCUUUUAGAAAGGCGUGACAUGGAAAGGCGUGUUACUGCAAGGUGCGUUGUCGUUAUUCAAUGACAAAAGAUACCCCGCAUAGGCGAACAAGAAUGACCUCGCUUCGACGAUCAUGAGAGAGACCUCGUGUAUGGAGGGUCAGACAAUUUGCGUAUGUAAGCGAGACACCCCUCGUGAGUGCGAGCUAGAGAGACCUCGCAUUGCCCAACGAUAGUGCCGACGUCUGCAAGCGAGAAACCACGCAUAUGCGAGUGAGAGAGACCACACGUUUACGAGGGAGAGAGGCCCCGCAUUUGUGAGGGAGAGAGACCCUGCGUAUGCGAGCACUGUGGAAAUUCGUCAGGCUCGUUGGCAAAGUUCAAAUUGACCAAGCUCUAAAUCAGGGAAGCUCACUUGACGAAGCUCACUGCGUAUGAGCAAGGCCCUUGAUUGAUGAAGCUCCCCCUUGGCAGAACUUAAUUAUGGUCGAACAGUUGUUGUCUUAAGAUGAAAAUGGUUUUUCCCCUUGCUAAGAGCAUCUUUAGUAAUGCUAACCAUUUUUGAGUUAAAUUUUAGUCAAAUUAGUUGUAGUCGGUAGUCGAUAAAUACCUCUCUGGCCCACGAUGUUAUCAGAAGCCCAGCAUGAGGUAGACCCAGUAGGCCUCAUCCUAGAGGUCAUAGUAGUCUGGGCCGGGCAGGAGACACACCACAGAAGGCUAAAUAAACAGACCACAAUAGCAUAUUUGUCUCAUAUCGUAUAGCAGACAAGAUAUAAGUCAACGUGGGGUUAUAAAUACAAUGCUAAAGUUAACCAAAGAGGUAAGAAAUCUCCUAGUAUUAAAUAUACUUCAUCAAAUUACACUAAUGACUUUUUCAUUGAGGAGAGAAAGACCGGAAAGUCCCGGUCGGUCGCUUAUUGCAGGUGGCAAGCUGGUGAAGUCAAAGGAGAAAGGUCUCACUGAAGCUUCUUCAAGGUCAACGAGAUCUAGCAGAAACAAUUAGCGCCAUAUGUGGGAAACUUUACCAAAGGCCAACGUGACUCGAUGGCUGAGUCGAGUGGGCUGGUUGAAGUCAGCAGAUCGAUGUUAGAGGACCAACGAGGUCCCGACGAGGAGAAAACGCUGAGGACUGCAGCGCGAAGUGAAGUAUCAGGUGAGAGGCAUGAUUGCACGACCGUAGGGAAUGACCAGGAAAGAACCCUGGACGGGAUGAUGCAUGACCUCACGCAAGAGGAAGUGGAAGACAUGGUUGAAAGGUUGAGGGCAAACAUGGCGCGUUUGGAAAGAGAAAGAACCCAGGACCGCCUAGAGGCAGCAACCCGAGAGAGGUAUUGGAGUUGUAGUCCGUGAUCAUAUAGGUUUUACAGUUGGUGGAGUAUGUUACAGGUUUGAUCACCUAGAUUCUCCGGAGAUAGUUAAAGCAAUAACUGGCAGGGCGGCUUGUGAACUUGCUGCUGAGUUCCAUCUUAAUCCAGUUAUUAUGGAGUCUGACACGUAAGCUGGCAAUAUUAGCAUUAGGAUCAGGAUUCUCUGGUCGCUAUGGUACUAUGCCUGCUGAGAUCAAUGGCUUUUUAGCCAAUGCUUGUAAUCUUUGAUUCGUCCUUAAUGAAUUAUUCACGUCCUUGAUAAAAUAAAAAAGGUACUAUAUAUCAACUACAUGAAAUAUAACCAAUGCAAACAGAGGAAUCUCUCUUUUGUAGACAUGGUUCUCUCUCUCAAAAGAGGCUUCAAUACGGCGACGGGAGUUCUCACUAGCGCGAUCACGCAUCUGCUUAGGUCUUGCUAAAUCCCGAUGCAUUAUGCCAAAAACAUCAUCAAACGACAGUUAAACACCGUCGUCUGACCAAAAAAUAUAUGUCGUCUGAGGGCCUGCCAUCUGAUAAGCUAUCAGACGACGGUUUUCCACCGCCGUGUGAAUGUUAGUCAGACGACAGAUAAUAAGUCGUCUGAAAUUUGACAAGUCUAGAAGGUUUCCGAACUUUAUGUCGUCUGGAUGAAAGACCAACAACAUUUAAAUGUCGAGUGAAAGAAGAAAAAAUGAAAGAUUUGUCGAAAUAGAUGUAGCGUGAUACAACCUUACACUGCAUGUAAUCGUCGACAUACAUAACCUACAACGACCAAUACAUUCACAUGAUGUGGUUAGAUGAGCUUUCUAAUGACAAUUUAAUGUCGUCUAAUGUUGUCAAAUUUAGAAAAUUAUUAGACUUUAUAUCGUCUGAAUGGAAAACCAACGACAUAUAUAUAUUGUUUAAUACGACACUUAUGUCUUCUAAUAGUUCGUUUAACUUCACUUUAUGCUGUUGGGUAGGAUGACUUAUGUUGUUAGAUUUUCUAUUGUACUUCAUAUUUUUGUUGCUUGUUAUAAGGAUUUAUGUUGUCUGAUAGUCAAUCAGUAUCAGACUUCAUAUUCAUGUGGUUUGUUAUAAGCACUUAUUUUGUUUCAUUGUGGAUUGAACUUCAUAUAUAACAAAACUAAGAAUAGAAAGUAACACUUCAUUAGAUGUUAAUUAUCCACUUCAAUUACACAAUCAUUUGAAGCGUAAGAAUAAGUUUUUAUGACGACAAUACAUAUUUAUUCUAAUCUACAUAAGACUGCAUCGUUUGCUUCUUCAACAACUUUGAGUCGCUUUCCUUUACUUCCUUGUUGUGACCAAAUUUGUUUCCAAAUCUGCCAAAGUUUCAUUCUCAUUGCAAUACCUUAAUGCUGAGGUCUGAAAAAGAGGUCAAGAAUUUAGAACAUGAUGCAAAGAACAUACUAUAUAUGGAUAUACUUAUUAACAUCAGGAAAAAAAAAAAAAGAAGAUGCCACAAACUUGUGAGAAAGGAAACAGAACUGAAGAGUUAUGAGUACAUACAAGUAAACUUUCCAGAGUUAGAACCUAAGAGAGUACAAUGCAAGAGCAUCCCUUUUUGCUAGUUCAACUAGAGAAAGGAAAAUGCAGAUAAAGCAAAAAGAGAGGGAAAACUAUCAUAGAGACGUCUUAUCAUGAUAAGAAACUCAUGAUCAACAUCUUUAAUUGAAUACAAUGAGGUUGAUGUUCUGCUAAUAAUGUGAGCAAUAUCAUAACUUUAAUCUACUGAUACAAUAAGGCAUAAGAAUGAUCAAGUAUGAUCAAGGACUGUACUUACCAACUAUGAUCACAUAUAUCUCUACUACUAUGGGCAGCCCAUAAGAAUGAUAGCCAGUAAACAAGGAUUCACUUUCUUGCACCAAAUCAGCACAAAGAGCAUCACGACAUCAUACUACCCUUAGAAGCAAAUAAACAAAAAAAAAAGAAAAAGAUAAGCUUGCAUGAAAGAACCUUAAGACAGUGAGCCCAAUUGGACCAACAAUAGAGCAAGAAACAAGAUUAUACUAAUAAUAAUAAUGUAAAGUGUCACAUCCCGAUCCGUAAAUUUUUACCUUAUUUACUAGCUUGAUUAUAAUAAGAAUUUUACCGUCUCCGUCAUUAAAGUUAUAGUUUAAUUGGUCCCUAGAGGGGUUUCGGGGACGGUUAUGCUCGGAGGAUUAUUCGUAGGAGGAAAAUAUGACGACGGUAAAAAUGGUAAAUUUUAGCUAGUAAAAGAUAAUUUUUAUUCAGGUAUUAUUUUUCGGGGUGUUUUAUUUUUGGAGUUGGGUUUGUUUUAAAUGGGUAUUAAGUUGGAUCGGUUUUGGGGGAGGAGGCCCAAAGCCAUUUUCUCCCUUCUCUUUUUUUUUUCUUCCCGGUUUUCUCUCUCCCCGAGAUCCUCCCGCUGCCCGGUUUUCCGGCCGUCCUUCCGCCGCCGUCCGGCCACCAACCGCCGCCGCACCGGUCCCGUUCGGUCGACCUCCAACCCAGCAACCUCCCUGGACCGGUGUGAGGAGCCCUAGCUCCGCCGUGAGAGAGCGGUGCCACCCGAAAGGUCCGACUGUCCAAAGCUUCACUUCGCCGGAACUCCCUCCUCCGGCCACCAAUCCGGGCAAGCUUGUUACGGUUUCGAAGGUCUCCAACCUAGCUACCUUGCCCUAAAAGGGCUCACUCCGGUUCGCUUCAGGUAAGGAGAAAUUAGAGGUGGAAGUUCUAGGGUGUUUUAGAUGUUUUUGCUCGUUUGACCUAGUUAGGCUUGGAUUUUGGGUUUGUGCUAGUUAGGAAAGUAUAGAGCAUGAUGAGAGGAAGAUGUUGUCAAAAUUUCAUAGGAAUCGGAGGUCGCCGGAAUUGGCCUCCGGCCGCCGUUGCCGGCGGAGCCGCCACUGUUUGGAAGAUUUUUAGGGUUUUAAAUUUAGAAUAUUAAGGGGAGUUUGUUGAAGUGAGUUAUGAAAUUUUUGGAUGAGUUUUGGAUAGGUUUAUGAAUUUCCGAAGUGUGGUAUUUUUGGCGGUUAAUUAAUGUAGAAUCCGGCCGUAGGAUUUAAGUCGUAUUUUUGGGGAGGUUGUAAUUACGGGUGCUGAGUAUGAUAUUUAAGUUCGGAUCGUUUCGAUUUAAGAAUAUCGAAGUUAGGCAAUGAUAAGCGUAGUUAUGGCUCUCGGUUAAUUUUGCCUAUUUUGUUUAAAUAUUGGAGUUUUAGUUGGGAAAUUAAUUUUAUAUUUGUGUCAGGGUUCGAGGAAACCUCUCUGGAGUGGCGAUUUGGAUUUCGUUGGGCUUAUGCCUAGAGUUGUGAGUGGACUUUUGUUUUUAAAUAAUAUGCAUGCUAUGGUUCAUGAAUGAACAAUUAAUCUCAUGGAGCAUUUUGACGUCAUUUUAAUUUUUGANNNNNNNNNNNNNNNNNNNNGAUUGCAUAGUUGAGGUUGGGCGUACAUGGGGAUGAGGCAUAGUCAUCAUAUAGCUUCCGCUUGUUAAUUUAUUAUGUUUUCUUUCUUCCUGUUAGAGUUGCUCUGAAUCUAUAAAUGGUUGGAUAUGAGAUUUGUUUAGAUUAGUAAAUAAUUUGGGUGGUGUUAUGAUUUGGGGAGCACGGAGGCUCCAGGAGUUUAAGGUUGGAUUUAAAUUUUCAGAAGUGUUUGCAGGUAUUAUUAGGAAGGGUUGUCCAUUUUCAAGGGAGGUUAUGCCGAUUUUUCGGUAAAAUUUUCCUUGGAGUUGGUCCCCGCACGACUUACUCUGGGUUUCAGGGUGAAAUUUGGGGUGGGUCAUGUCAGUUGGUAUCAGAGCACUAGGUUAUUCGUUUCCUUUCUCUUUUUAGUACUACCUCAUAUUCUUGGUCAUGCUCAGUGUCUAUAGAGUGAUGGUCCGACCGCGGCGGAUCUAUUAGCAUUAUAUGCUUAAGACACUAUGUGUUGAUUAGGGUUGUGAUGUAGUUGUUCUUCUUUUAUUUAUGGACAGUAGUGUGCCAUAAAUGUCUACAUCUCUAAGACUAUGCCUCCGUACGCUGACCUCUUGAGUGUUCAUCCUUCGAGUUUUGAAAAGGUGUAUAGUUUGCACCUAUUCCAAGGUUCAUUAAUUUAAUAUCUUUGAUAUUAAUUGUUGGAGUUGUUUUGCGAGUGGGGAACGGAAAAGCUUGUUAGCAUUCCUUUCAGGUAUCCAAUGAUUGAUUGGGUUAAUUAAGAUUAAGGUUUCAAAUUAAGAUGCUAAGGUGAUCGAGCAUCUUGUGCAAAUCUGUUGGGUGAAAUGUUGAUGAUUAAUGCCUUGGAGUUGUCCAUUUUUUUUAGUGGGCAAGAUUGGAGUCAAAAAUUGAUUGAUGGGAGAUUUUGGUAUUGAGUUACGUGACUUCUGAGAGAGUUGAGUUGGAAGGAAAGUUCGAAGUAGUGGUGUAUUCUAUUGAUGAAAAAGUUAGUUGAAAUGAUGAGGUGAGGUAUCCAAUGGUAAUUCAAAUGGGUACCUAUAUGAGUUGUUGAGGACCCUAGUCUUGGGUUAAUCAAGGUUUUAGGAAAUUUGUGGCUAGUGAUUGGGUGGUAAGGUAUUGCUGCAUAAAGAGCUAAAUGUCAAUUUAGAUAAAUCUUGAUUGAAGGCCAUUUUGUCGACAAUUUUAUCCGCAACAUAAAUCAAUUGGGAACAUGUUGGGAUAAUUUUGGUUAUGGCGGUAUAUGUUCUGGUUUCUGCAGUGCUAAUUAUGGAUAUGUUUCUAUCCUUAGAGCAUUUUAUCCAGAUGGUAGUGGUAAUAUAUUUUGAAAAUGAUGGAUGUUAGUAGUCGAUGAAUAGUAAGAUUUCUGAUGAUUUUGGUCUCUAUUGUGGGUUAGUUGAAGUUUGUUAAAGCACUAAGUAGAAUGACUUGGAUUGUUGGUUUUACAAAAGUCAUUCGUCAGUGCGUUGUGACAACUUGAUGUUGUGUCGCGGUCGGGGAAUUAUUACAAAUUGAAUGGUGUCAUCAAAAGUUUCGAGCUUCGAGCAAGCUUUAAAGCAUUGAGCGACUUCUGUCGGCUGUAGUAUUUUAACCGUGGGGCCAUUAUGGAUUCCUUCGGAAUUCUGGGUGUUGAAGUUUGGUUUCCAAAUUUGUUGAGUGUUUGGGAAGAUGAUAAAUUUAAAUGGAAUUGAAAAGUAAUGGUGGAGUAAGAGCGGGAUGGUUGUGGUCGCUUCGGUUUUACGACAGCUCAUGGUGAAAUUUUAAAUAAGUGUUGUCAUGAGUUUUUGUUUUAUAAAUUCUAAGGUAGUUGCAUGAAAUUGGUGGAAGUGGCAGCGGUAGAAUAGAACCCACUGGAUCAUAAAGCAAGAGUGCGUGGGUGUCCAAAGUAAUUUUUAAGCAAUGUCAUUCCGGGUGGUUGAUGUAAGUCUCAAAUUUGUGAUCGAAGUUGGUUUUGGCAUCACUUCGUCGCAAUGUGUGACUAACUACGACACAACAAUGGGAGGAUCUGUUCUCACCUUAUUUCUAAUUCGGUGAGAUGGAGUAAAGUUUUGGUUGUGGUGUGUGUGAGAAUAUUUAAAUUAUUCCUAUUGUAGUUUUUGGGUAGCAGCCUCAGAGCUUGAAAUUUUGGAAUGCGGAUUUAACGCUUCGAUUUGAAGGGUAGAGAUUCUGGUUAUUUUGUCGAAGUUUUGAGGUAAAUGAUAAAUUGGUAGUUGUGUCGUAGUCAUGGAUCCGGAAUAAAUCCAGUGGUGAUCCCAAGUGAGCUGGAGUUCAUUUAAGCAAUGAGUCUUGAUGCUGUAAAUCCUAUGUGGUAGUUUAAGAGUUGCAUGGUGAUGUUGAUUUGAUGGUUUGUGUCGUUGUAGGUAUAUUUCAUGAUGUAGCAUUAUGGAAGAGGGUUUUCCCCUGUUGACUCAAGAAGCGUCUAGAGUCAAGGUUUAUUAAGAGUUUUAAUAUUGAGAGUAGUAGUUUUUGAUAGGUUGAUCAGCGUCUCUUCUUGGGAUCGUAUUGUGGUGGGACCACUCAUUGAUCCAAGUAUGAUUUGGGAGGUCUUGUAUAAAAAUUUGUCUUUGCUUUUGUUAGUCGCAUGUUAUUGCAAGCUCGGUUUUCAAAGAAUCUUUUUGGUGGGAAGUCAUGGCCCUGGGAUGUGUAGGAGACUUGAGCGUGUCUGAUUUUUCAGAUCGUCUUCUUCUAUCAGAUUAAUUAUUUUUGGAGGUAGAAAAAGAAAUGUGUUUGUCGGAUCCAAAGGUUUUGGCAUUUAGAAUCAUUCUUAUGGAACGGCUAGAGUGAGCCGUGUGUUUUUUUUAAUGAUUGCUUUUGGGGUCGCAGUUGCACCCGAAUAAGUAGCAUGGCUGGAGAUGUAAAUGUUGUCAAUGCUUAAAAGAAUGUGUUCUUUUUACGUGGAUUUCAACGUCAAGUUAGCAUCAUGAAUUGACUGUGCCAAUCUUCGUGGGCAUUAUUUAGUUUUUUUUUGUUUAUGGCGAGCAAGGAGGAAUAUCUAGUUUCCAUGUGUUAGUCAUGCUUCAGAUUAUCUUCUAGUUUGUGGUAAAUAAUAGUGGAGAUAGCAGAAUCAGGAGAGAGUUGGAAAUUCCCAGAAGUUGCUAGUUUGUGGUGCAUAAAAUAGUAAUGUAAUAGUUUUGGUGGAGAGAUCUAAGUGUCGUGGUAUUGAUCUUUUCAUAAUGUUAUUUCGGCAAUCGAGGUUAUCAUAUGUUGGUGGACUGGUCAUUUAGGCAGAGCAAGGUUAUCUUGUGGACUUGCGAGAGCUUUGGCUCCGCGAAAGACUCUGCGAGGUGUCUCAGUAGUAGGAGUGAUUGUUGCAGUUAUGUAGUGUCUGCAUCCUUAAAAAUCUGUUCAAUUAGCGGGUCUUAAUUUUGACCCCUAUGAGCAUGUGGGAAUAUGUGAACUUUAGUUUCCUAGCAAGUGGGCUUCAUUGUCGAGUUGUGAGCAGCGUGCUAUUGAGGUUGUUGCGUGACGUUAGGAGAUUUGAGCCCGAUGGUGAUAGCAAAUUUAUGCGUUUUAUUUGGGUUAGCUAUUUCCAUUGCUCAGGAAAGAGUGUGCAUACCUACGGGUACUCGUACUCUGGAAUAGGUAUCACUGAACUCACUUACAUGUUAACGUUAGUGGUAGUUCAACGAAGGACUUAGAGUCCUUGAGAAGAUUUAAAAUAAUGGGCCAAUUACAUAUAAGUCCACUUUGAGACAUUUUUUCCCACAUAGAUCCACCCCAACAUUUUUACCCACAUAAGUCCACCCAAGUCUAAAUAAAGUUUUGUAUUAAGUAUUAAAGUUCAACAUAAUUACAGAUUGCCAUCCAACAAAAAAAAUUAAAUUUUCUCCUUUAUAUUUACAAGAAUGCCACUAGUAUAAAAAGUCAACAACCACUCUCAUUUCGGAACAGUCUCCGGCGGACCUUCGGCGAGAUUUCCAGCGGACCUCCGACGAGGUUUCCGGCCGACCUCCGGCGAGGUUUCCGGCGAAGUUUCCGGCCGACCUCCGAUGAUGACAAAAAUUACUACUACCAGCUAAAAAAGCUACUACCACCAGCUAUAAAAGCUACUACCACCGCCUACAAAAGCUACUACAAAAGUUUCCGGCCGAUCUCUGGCGAGAUUUCCGACCGACCUCCGGUGAGGUUUCUGACCGACCUCCGGUGAGGUUUCUGACCGACCUCCGACGAUGACAAAAAUUACUAUUACAAGCUAAAAAAGCUACUACCACCAGCCACAAAAACUACUACCACAAGCUACAAAAGCUACUACCACCGCCUACAAAAGCUACUACUUUGAGGUUUUCGACGAACACAAAAACUACUACCACCAGUCACAAAAGCUACUACCACCAGCUACAAAAGCUACUACCACCGCCUACAAAAGCUACUACUGUGAGGUUUCCGAUGAACACAAAAGCUACUACCACCAGCCAACAAAACUACUACCACCNNNNNNNNNNNNNNNNNNNNNNNNNNNNNNNNNNNNNNNNNNNNNNNNNNNNNNNNNNNNNNNNNNNNNNNNNNNNNNNNNNNNNNNNNNNNNNNNNNNNNNNNNNNNNNNNNNNNNNNNNNNNNNNNNNNNNNNNNNNNNNNNNNNNNNNNNNNNNNNNNNNNNNNNNNNNNNNNNNNNNNNNNNNNNNNNNNNNNNNNNNNNNNNNNNNNNNNNNNNNNNNNNNNNNNNNNNNNNNNNNNNNNNNNNNNNNNNNNNNNNNNNNNNNNNNNNNNNNNNNNNNNNNNNNNNNNNNNNNNNNNNNNNNNNNNNNNNNNNNNNNNNNNNNNNNNNNNNNNNNNNNNNNNNNNNNNNNNNNNNNNNNNNNNNNNNNNNNNNNNNNNNNNNNNNNNNNNNNNNNNNNNNNNNNNNNNNNNNNNNNNNNNNNNNNNNNNNNNNNNNNNNNNNNNNNNNNNNNNNNNNNNNNNNNNNNNNNNNNNNNNNNNNNNNNNNNNNNNNNNNNNNNNNNNNNNNNNNNNNNNNNNNNNNNNNNNNNNNNNNNNNNNNNNNNNNNNNNNNNNNNNNNNNNNNNNNNNNNNNNNNNNNNNNNNNNNNNNNNNNNNNNNNNNNNNNNNNCAAAGCUUGGUCCGAGAUUUAUUGGUCCUUGUGCGUUUUUAGAUCAAGUUGGCUCUCUUGCGUUUCAGUUAGUUUUGCCUCCAGAGUUAUCCAGGAUACAUAAUGUGUUUCAUGUAUCCAUGCUUCGCAAGUUUAUUGCCGAUUCCUCUCAUGGGUUGCAAGAGCAGCCGAUUAUUUUGUAGAAAGAUUUGACCUUUGAUGAGGAUCCGGUUCAGUUUUUAGACCAGAGGGAGCAACUGCUUAGAAGCAAAUCUUUUCCUCUUGUUAAAUUCUGUGGAGGAGUCACCAAGUAGAAGAAGCUACUUGAGAAUCAGAGGAGCAAAUGAGGUAGCAGUAUCCCUAUCUCUUCGAAUGUCAGGUAUGUAAAUUUCGAGGACGAAAUUUUUAUAAGGAGGGGAGAAUUGUCACAUCCCGACCCGUAAAUUUUUACCUUAUUUACUAGCUUGGUUAUAAUAAGAAUUUUACCGUCUCCGUCAUUGAAGUUAUAGUUUAAUUGGUCCCUAGAGGGGUUUCGGGGACGGUUAUGCUCGGAGGAUUAUUCGUAGGAGGAAAAUAUGACGACGGUAAAAAUGGUAAAUUUUAGCUAGUAAAAGAUAAUUUUUAUUCGGGUAUUAUUUUUCGGGGUGUUUUAUUUUUGGAGUUGGGUUUGUUUUAAAUGGGUAUUAAGUUGGACCUGUUUUGGGGGAGGAGGCCCAAAGCCAUUUUCUCCCUUCUCUUUUUUUUUUCUUCCCGGUUUUCUCUCUCCCCGAGCUCCUCCCGCUGCCCGGUUUUCCGGCCGUCCUUCCCCCGCCGUCCGGCCACCAACCGUCGCCGCACCGGUCCCGUUCGGUCGACCUCCAACCCAGCAACCUCCCUGGACCGGUGAGAGGAGCCCUAGCUCCGCCGUGAGAGAGCGGUGCCACCCGAAAGGUCCGACUGUCCAAAGCUUCACUUCGCCGGAACUCCCUCCUCCGGCCACCAAUCCGGGCAAGCUUGGUACGGUUUUGAAGGUCUCCAACCCAGCUACCUUGCCCUAAAAGGGCUCACUCCGGUUCGCUUCAGGUAAGGAGAAAUUAGAGGUGGAAGUUCUAGGGUGUUUUAGAUGUUUUUGCUCGUUUGACCUAGUUAGGCUUGGAUUUUGGGUUUGUGCUAGUUAGGAAAGUUGUAAAGCAUGAUGAGAGGAAGAUGCUGUCAAAAUUUCAUAGGAAUCGGAAGUCGCCGGAAUUGGCCUCCGGCCGCCGCUGCCGGCGGAGCCACCGCCGGCGCCGCCAUUGUUUGGAAGAUUUUUAGGGUUUUAAAUUUAGAAUAUUAAGGGGAGUUUGUUGAAGUGAGUUAUGAAAUUUUUGGAUGAGUUUUGGAUAGGUUUAUGAAUUUCCGAAGUGUGGUAUUUUUGGCGGUUAAUUAAUGUAGAAUCCGGCCGUAAGAUUUAAGUCGUAUUUUUGGGGAGGUUGUAAUUACGGCUGUUGAGUAUGAUAUUUAAGUUCGGAUCGUUUCGAUUUAAGAAUAUCGAAGUUAGGCAAUGAUGAGCGUAGUUAUGGCUCUCGGUUAAUUUUGCCUAUUUUGUUUAAAUAUUGGAGUUUUAGUUGGGAAAUUAAUUUUAUAUUUGUGUCAAGGUUCGAGGAAACCUCUCUGGAGUGGCGAUUUGGAUUUCGUUGGGCUUAUGCCUAGAGUUGUGAGUGGACUUUUGUUUAAAUAAUAUGCAUGCUAUGGUUCAUGAAUGAACAAUUAAUCUCAUGGAGCAUUUUGACGUCAUUUUAAUUUUUGACAAUCUUAUUUCUCUUGGAGAGUUACCGAAAAUGAGAUUUUCGGUGGAUAUAAAUAUGUAUUUAUGAGAGAGAAUAUGUAUAUAAAAUGCUAGCUAGCCAUAUGUGUCUGUCCACCUUAAUGGCAUAGCAUAUAGCCGCAUUAUGGUGUGACGUGAGCGUUGGACGCGAGUGUAGUAGCCUUAUAUGAGUGUUUAAUUCAUAUAGGGAGUAUGAGCACAUAUUUAUACACCCGUCUGUCAACCUUAAUGGCGUAGUGUAGCACCGCAUUAAGGCGUGACGUGAGCGUUGGACGCGAGCGUAGUAGCCCUAUAUAGACCCAUGAAUUUAUAUAGGGAGUAUGGACGUGUGUAAAUACAUACAUAUAUUAUAGAGCCUGAGAGUCUCGACAUUUAUAAGAUAAAAGUUUUAUCACUUGCAGCAUGCAUUCGGUUUUUCUUGGAAAUUGAUUUGGGGAAACAUAAAUAUUUUAUUCGUUAAUUUGUUUUUGUCCACUCACUCUAACGUGUUUCAAAUGUUUUCCCCUGGGCUCUUCGUUUUAAAAAUGCCCAGUUUGCAGGAUUGCAUAGUUGAGGUCGGGCGUACAGUGGGGAUGAGGCAUAGUCAUCAUAUAGCUUCCGCUUGUUAAUUUAUUAUGUUUUCUUUCUUCCUGUUAGAGUUGCUCUGAACCUAUAAAUGGUUGGAUAUGAGAUUUGUUUAGAUUAGUAAAUAAUUUGGGUGGUGUUGUGAUUUGGGGAGCACGGAGGCUCCAGGAGUUUAAUGUUGGAUUUAAAUUUUCAGAAGUGUUUGCAGGUAUUAUUAGGAAGGGUUGUCCAUUUUCAAAGGAGGUUAUGCCGAUUUUUCGGUAAAAUUUUCCUUAGAGUUGGUCCCCGCAUGACUUACUCUGGGUUUCAGGGUGAAAUUUGGGGUGGGUCGUGCCAUAAAGAAAUUCAAUGUCAAACAAAGCAAUUAUAUACAUAAGAUGCUCCCAUUACUGAUACUAAUACUUACUACUGUAGUGAGAAGAGAUGCAAGUAAUUUGAACACGAAAGGCUCCCAUUACUGAUACUAAUACUUACUACUGUAGUGAGAAGAGAUGCAAGUAAUUUGAACACGAAAGGCCAUAGCUCACAGGCAACAUACUAUGAGCAACGCACAUGGAGAACAAUAACUACUUUCAUAUGUAACCAUUAUAGAAUCAAAAUGCAGGGCUAGAUAAUGCUGCUCAUGAGCCAUUCUUACGUACAUUUGCUUUCAUAGUAUACCUUGAAUAUCUUUUCUUACAUAUAUCACACUAGAAUUGCAAAUCAAUACAUAUAGAUGUAUCUAACAGAGCACAAGAUGAGGUUGAAAUGUGGACUAACCAGUAGGAGGUCCUAGCAUGCCAUCUCCACCGCUUUCUGGUCCUAGCACGCUAUUAAAACAUUUCAACGAAACUACAAUUUAGUUAUACAAGAGUUGAUCAAUUUCUCAACAAACAAAAAGAGAGAGUAAAGACAUAACAACUUACAAAGCAUCUUUCCAGGUCCUUCCAGUAGCAAUAUACAAUUUUAGAGUUAUCAGAUGUUUUUCUUCUCUGCAAGACAUUAUAAGGUGAUAUGCUAGUCACCAAUGCUGCAUUUGCAGUGAUCAAACAGUUUCCUUUAUCAUAAAUGCCCAAAAUAAUUCAUCAGCUUAUUGACCCCAAAUUUAUAACCCAAUUGGUAGAUACCCCAAAUCAAAAACCCAAUUGGUAGAAACUUCAAAUCAUCAGCUUAAUACCCAAUUCAUCAGCUUAAUACCCAACACAUUUCUAUACUAAUGAAAAACCCCAAAUCUAUAACCCAAUUGGUAGAAACCCCAAAUCGUAAAAUCUAUAAUAACCCAAUUGGUAGAAAUACCCACAUGCAAAUUUGAAGCAGAGAGGGAAGAAACUUAAGCUCGUAUACCAUAAAUUUAAAGCCUCGAGUUUCGAUAUGCACUAAUAGAAUAGCAAGAAUCUAAUAGCAAUUUCAAUAAUAAAGCUAUAAGAAGAAAUUUACCUUGAGUGUACAAGUCAAUCCAGCAGCCAAGCAAAUCGCGAAGCCAUAAAACCUCUGUUGAAUCACACAAAAUCAUCAAAAGUUCAAAACGAAAAUAGGAUAUGCAGGUAGAUCUGAGCGACGACGAAGUUGAAUUGCAGGUUAUUGCAGGUUAGGUACCUGUUUGGUGGACAAGGUGCAGUUGCGAUUGAAGCCGUCGAUGAGAGAGAGAGAGAGGGAGAGAGGCUGUUGAGAAUGAGAGCCCUCUCCUGAUUCUCUUAAGGUUUUCCCACUCUCCACUCAAAAUCAACGAUCUCCUAUCAAAGAUCUCCUAUCAGCAAACAUCCAAUCCUUAUCCAUCUUAUAGACAUACACAAACGUAUAAGGAAAUUAGCAAAACCCAAUAAUCGAAAUUACAAUAAAACCCUAAAAACCAAAACGAAUCGAACUCGAAGAGAUUGGGUUACCUAAUUGAGAGAGAUAGCGAGCAACUGGGUCGAGCUCGAGAGAGAGAAACUUGGUCGAGCUCGAGAGAGAAAGAGAAGGUGAGGAAGAGAGAGACUUUCUGUUCUGAGACUUGGUGAAAAAUGAGGUCGAGUGUAGACUUAAUGAAAUAGAAAAUUUCACUUAACUCACUUUUUGAACAUUUUUUUCUACACAAAUCCACCUUCAUCUUUUUACCCAUAUAAGUCCAUUUUAUGGCCCUGGCCCGUUACCUACCUUCUAUGUUUUACCUAAAAUACCCUUACCCUACUUUCAAAAUUAAUUCAGAUCACAAAAGCUGUGUGAUCUCUCUUCUCUCUCUCUCUCCCCCNNNNNNNNNNNNNNNNNNNNNNNNNNNNNNNNNNNNNNNNNNNNNNNNNNNNNNNNNNNNNNNNNNNNNNNNNNNNNNNNNNNNNNNNNNNNNNNNNNNNNNNNNNNNNNNNNNNNNNNNNNNNNNNNNNNNNNNNNNNNNNNNNNNNNNNNNNNNNNNNNNNNNNNNNNNNNNNNNNNNNNNNNNNNNNNNNNNNNNNNNNNNNNNNNNNNNNNNNNNNNNNNNNNNNNNNNNNNNNNNNNNNNNNNNNNNNNNNNNNNNNNNNNNNNNNNNNNNNNNNNNNNNNNNNNNNNNNNNNNNNNNNNNNNNNNNNNNNNNNNNNNNNNNNNNNNNNNNNNNNNNNNNNNNNNNNNNNNNNNNNNNNNNNNNNNNNNNNNNNNNNNNNNNNNNNNNNNNNNNNNNNNNNNNNNNNNNNNNNNNNNNNNNNNNNNNNNNNNNNNNNNNNNNNNNNNNNNNNNNNNNNNNNNNNNNNNNNNNNNNNNNNNNNNNAUAUUUCGUUGUGAAUUGAUUUGAUAUUGUGCUUUCAAUUUUUCAAUCGAUUAGUUUUGCUUGAUUUAACGUUCACAGCAUCAAUUGGAUUCAAUUAUGUUUUCCUCAACCUAAAUCAUGUUUAUCUUAUAGCUAGAAAUUGUCGAUUUUGCUAGAUUACAUGUGCACUGAAAUAUACUAAUGCAGUUCAUAAAAGUUACUCAUACUGUUUAGGAAAUGAACUCAAGCAUUAUGAGAAUUCUGUGUUGACUGUGUUUGUGUAAUGGAUCACCUUGUUUUGCUUUUUUUAUAUUUUUUAUUACAUUUAGUAUGUUUUCGUAACUGUUAUAGUGUUUUUACCAUUAUGUGAUAGUAGCUUUCUCAAACUGUGCUAGCACCUUCAUAUUAUAUGAUUAUUGUUUUUCCUAUAUUAUGAAUUUGAAGUGACAUAUAGCCAUGGAUGCACAACCAUAUGCGAGGUACAUAUAUAUGGAUGAGACUUUUAUGUUCUUUCUGGAUAUCAAGCAUUCAUUCAGUGAUAUAGUGAGAGAGGUUUGUUUAGGUUUCAAGUCUUUGAAACAUGGAUCGUUUGACUUGAGGUAUGCUUUUCCUGGGUAUAGUAGUUGUGUUUUAUCGAAUGAUGUGGAUUUGACACUAAUGUGGAGGUGUAUGUAUGAUUUUAAGUUGCAAUCUGUUGACAUUCUGGUGAAAGAUUGUGGUUCUAGUAGUGUUUCUUCUGUGGUCACACAUGCGGAUGACUAUUCUUGCUUUUCAUCGUCUAUUUCGGUACUUCCGAGUAGUAUUGUUGAUGGACCUGAGUAUUUAGGCCAUUAUAGGCCAGAGCCUGCUAGGAUCUACCUCACUAAUGAAUGGCAAGGGUUUAUCAAGCAUGUGGGACAGAAGUUUGAAGGGGGGGGCUCUAAAGUUUAGGCAAAAGUUGACCAAAUAUGCUAUUGAACUAGGAUUUACCUUCAAGUUCAAAAUGAAUAAUGCUCAGUGGAUAAUUGCUGAAUGUGCUAAGAGAGAAUCAGAAUAUUGUAAGUGGCAUGUACGUGCUCUGAAAUGCAAUGUUAAUGAUUUCUUUUACAUAAAGGAAUUAGACAACAAUCACACCUGUAAAGGUGUUUUGAGGGAGCAAACAAGUAGCCAUUUAGGAUCACAUGUUGUCAAAUCAGAGAUAUCAAAUGAGUUGAAGGCGAAUCCUACUCUUAAGCCGAGACAGAUUAUGGAUCGUUUUAAGCAUUCAUUUGGAUUAGAUAUUUCAUAUAGAAGUGCUUGGUAUGCAAGGGAGUUGCGAGGAAAGAUGUCCAUGGUGAUGAUGGCAAUUCCUAUUCUCAGUUGUUGUGGUAUCGUGAUGCCAUUUUGGAAAGCAAUCCCGGAUCCUAUUGCAGGGUUGAGAUCAAUCCUUUGACAAACCGUNNNNNNNNNNNNNNNNNNNNAGAAUUCUUCCCUUUUGUCAUUUGCUAUUGUAGAUUCCGAGAACAAUGCAAAAUUGGUAAAUGGUUUUUUGAUCAUCUCUACAACAUCUUGUCAACCCAAGGGAGAAUUGUGACUUUUGUCACGGAUCGAAAUGGUGGACUCUUGAAUGCAGUGGCUAGUGUUUUCCCUGACUCUCCUCAUUCUUAUUGUUACUACCACUUGAAGGAGAAUGUUAGAGCUUUGUACAGAAAUCUUUCUGGGUAUUUUGUUGACAAGCUUGUGGAGGAAUUCAUGAAAGUUGCAUAUUCUCCUACAAUAGCAAGCUACAACUUCAAUUUGCAGAAUCUGAAGAGAGAAGGUGGGAAGCCUAUUGAAUCGUUUCUAACACACCUUCCUCUAGACAAGUGGUGUAAUGCCUUCUUUAGAGGAUCAAGGUAUGGUGAAAUGGCGAAUAGCAUUGCUAAAUCAUUUAAUAGUUGGUGUGGCCCUUUGCGUGAACUUCCUGUUUUUGAUUUUCUUGAAGGUUUGAGGGUUAAGGUCAUGGAGAACAUGUCUGAGAGGGAGGUUGAGUGCAAAAAGUGGAACACUGUGUUGUGUCCUCCAAUGGAGGCUUUGUUGAAAAAGUUUAUGGAUGUGGGGCGUCAUUGGUCAGUUAGCAUGUCUAGUGAGACUCUUUUGGAGGUUCAUGCUGAAAAAUCGGUUGCUGUUGAUCUUGAGAACGGCACUUGUUCUUGCCGUCAAUGGCAAAUCAACUCAUUCCCAUGUUCACACGCUCUUGCUGCCAUCCAGAAAGUUGGAGAUCUACCUGUGUAUGCCUACAUUGAGUACUUUCACACUUGCCAAAGCUACAUUGAGGCGUACGAGCAUGGUAUUCAGCCAAUACCUAAUAUUGACAAGUUUUAUGUGGAUGCAGCAACUUCAUCUGCAGUUGUGCAGCCUCCCUUGGUUAGGAGGCCAUCUGGUCAGCCAAAAUCAGUUCGGAUGAAGUCUGCUGCAGAAGGUGGGACAAGGAGAGCAAUCAGGUGUGGUCAGUUAGGGCGCCACAACAAGGCAACAUGCACAACACCAAUCUGAAGCUCUGAGCAUAUGGAGUAGAUUUUUACAAUAUAAGUAGUAUCUUUUGGUUACAGAUGUAGUAGCUUUUGUUUGUAUUGGCAGUAGUUUUUGAUUUGCAUUUGACAACACAAGGAGUAGCAUUCUUUGACACAGAGAGUAGAUUUGGAGUACAUUGGGAGUGGUUUUUACAUCCAGUCAAAGCUUUUUUACUUUGUCGCAGUCACAUUGUGGAACUUUGUAAUUCAUAUAGCUUGCUUCAUUGUAUUGACCAUAUUAGCGCAUUCCGGUGAUUGCAAAUUUUACUUGUUAUGGUGACGAUGUGAAACCAACUUUGUCGCAUUUUUUAUAGUUUCAGUUUAAGUAUCUUUUUUAGACGUGUUUAGUAUCUUUUGAUAACUGUUAUAGUAGUUUUCUACAAGAAGAGUACGAAAUGUGCUUUCCAUAAUAUGGUUUUGUUCAAGGAACAAGAAAGCUACUACCAAGGAACAAGAAAUCUACUAGCAAGGAAAAAGAAAGCUACUAUCAAGGAACAUGAAAGCUUACCAACGAACAAGAAAGCUACUACCAACGAACAAGAAAACUACUACUAAGGAACACGAAAGCUACUAACAAAGACACAGUAGCCUUUCAUAUUUCACAGUAUCACAGAGUCAAUAUCAUAGCAACUACAUAGUAGCCCUUCACAAAAUCUACUACCAAUGAAACAGAAAAGAUACUACAAAUCAAAAAAUAAGAAGUUGUUCAAAUAAUCUUGCUGUUCCUUGUUCUGCCCUUUGGAUAAUCAAAGUCAUCUGCCUACAGUAGGCUUCCUUCUCUUAUUCUUGAUUCGAUCAACCAUUGAAGUUCUCUUAACAUCCUUCUUCCUUUUCUUGUUCUUCUUCUCAUUAACCGGUUCCUCCUCAUUAACUGGUUCCUCCUCCUCAUUAACUGGUUCCUCCUCCUCAUUAACUGGUUCCUCUUCCUCAUUAACUGCUUCCUCCUCAUGAACUGGUUCCUCCUCCUCAUUAACUGGUUCCUCCUCCUGAACUGGUUCCUCCUCCUCAUUAGUUGCUUCCUUCUCAUGAACUGGUUCCUCACUAACAGUAGCUUUUUCCACGCUUCGGUUUCUUCUUGGUACAUGAAUUUUGCCUGCUGUGCGCUUCACCCGUCUAUUCGUCGUGCUUGGACUCUUUACACCAUUAUCAUCUCCAUCAUCCCCAUCACCCUUACCUUGAUUACCAUCAUCAUCAUCCCCAUCACUUCCAUCUUCCAUUUCUUUCUGUGAACUCAACAUAUCCUUCUUUUUAAGAUCCCUCUUCAGCUUCUUCACUUUGUCUUCCAAAUCUUUAAUCUUCCCCAAGUGCUUCAGGUUGUUUGUCUUGAGUGUGUCUCCCUCUUUCUCCACUUUUUCAUACAUGUUCCACUUUGUCAGCACCUUCUUCUUCAAUAUUUCCACCUUCCUUGCUUCCAAAACAUAAUUUUCAUGCAUCUUGGUUAACAUUUCCCAGAACGCCUCAUUCUUCUCCUUUAACUUCUCAUUUUCAGCCGUCAACUUCUGAAGCAGCUCUUGUGCGUUGUUGCACUCUUCUUGGGUGGAGUUUGGCUGAGCUGUUGUUUCUUCUAAGGAGCCUAUUAAUUCCCUGAUCCUCUCCUGCGCUCUUUCUCCUUCGUUUCCUAUUUCUUCAGAAUUGACAUUCAUCUAUACCAUGGAACAAGAAAAAAUAAAAAUAAAAAUACAAUAAAGCUACUACCAAAGUUCAAGAAAGCUACUAUCAAGGAACAAGAAAGCUACUACCAAAGUACAACCAACGAACAACAAAACUACUACCAAAGAACAAGAAAGCUACUACCAAGGAACAAGAAAACUACUAUCAAGGAACAUGAAAGCUACUACCAAAGUACAAGAAAGCUACUACCAAGGAACAAGAAAGCUGAAAGCUACUACCAAGGAACACGAAAGCUACUACCAACGAACAAGAAAACUACUAUCAAGGAACAGGAAAGCUACUACCAUAGUACACGAAAGCUACUGACUAUGUUAUAAAGCAACUGUAUAUGUUAUCAAAGUGUACUACUCAUGUUACUGAAAGAUACUGACUAUGCAGUGAAAAUCUACUGAACCUAAUAUGAAAAUCUACAUCCAGUGAAAAUUACCCAUUCUCCAAAUGAUGGUGUUUCAAGUUCUUCCAUGUGUAUUUCUGCAUCUUUCAGUGACUGCAGUUCAACCACAUUUGGUUUUCUGUCUACUUCGCGUGCUUCAAUCAUAUCCUAUCAUCAUUAUAGACAUAAAAUGGUUAAUCCAUUUGACUUUGAGAGUUAUAAAAGGAAGUAANNNNNNNNNNNNNNNNNNNNNNNNNNNNNNNNNNNNNNNNNNNNNNNNNNNNNNNNNNNNNNNNNNNNNNNNNNNNNNNNNNNNNNNNNNNNNNNNNNNNNNNNNNNNNNNNNNNNNNNNNNNNNNNNNNNNNNNNNNNNNNNNNNNNNNNNNNNNNNNNNNNNNNNNNNNNNNNNNNNNNNNNNNNNNNNNNNNNNNNNNNNNNNNNNNNNNNNNNNNNNNNNNNNNNNNNNNNNNNNNNNNNNNNNNNNNNNNNNNNNNNNNNNNNNNNNNNNNNNNNNNNNNNNNNNNNNNNNNNNNNNNNNNNNNNNNNNNNNNNNNNNNNNNNNNNNNNNNNNNNNNNNNNNNNNNNNNNNNNNNNNNNNNNNNNNNNNNNNNNNNNNNNNNNNNNNNNNNNNNNNNNNNNNNNNNNNNNNNNNNNNNNNNNNNNNNNNNNNNNNCCACUCUCAAUGCAUCAUCAAUCAUCACCUUUGUUACUUUAUCUCCUUUAAAGUACGUAUUGAUGAUGAAGUUACCCUCAGGCUUAGUGAUAUGGGCAGCAGCGUUUAACAUCACCCCUUCCUUUGGCACGCCAAAUAUGUUGGAUACAUCAUCGACUGAUAUUAUCCGUAGUCGCUCCCCAAACAUGAAGCCUUUCUGUUCCACAUUGUAGGCGUUUAUCAUCCUUCUAAUAUCUUCGUCGACCUUCUUGCAGUCUUUCUUCUUCAUCCCUCCAUGAUAAAAGAUCUUCAUGAAGUUCCAAAAAGGUGAAUGAUUCAUCAACCUUGUUUUUGUGUGGUCAUGUAGAACAUUGCGGUACUCCUCCAUUGUGACAUACCAUGGGUGUAAACUUGCUGUGUCUUUACUGUGUCUUUAGUUUCAGCCAUUAUAACCUGAGCAACUAUCAAUAAAACAUGAGAGACAAGUUAAGGAAUAUGAACGCUACUACUACGAAAAGCUACUGCCAAGGAAGUAGAAAGCUACUACAUAAUACCACAAAAACUACUUCCAAGGAAGUAGACAACUACUGUCAAGGAAUAAGAAACUUACUACUACGAAAAACUACUAAACAAUACCACAAAAGCUACUGCCAAGGAAGUAGAAAGCUACUACUAGGAAAACUAUUAAACAAUACCACAAAAGCUACUGCCAAAGGAAGUAGAAAGCUACUACCACAGAAACUACUAACAAUACCACAAAAGACUACUGCCAAGGAAGUAGAAAGCUACUACUACGAAAGGUACUACAUAAUACCACAAAAGCUACUNNNNNNNNNNNNNNNNNNNNNNNNNNNNNNNNNNNNNNNNNNNNNNNNNNNNNNNNNNNNNNNNNNNNNNNNNNNNNNNNNNNNNNNNNNNNNNNNNNNNNNNNNNNNNNNNNNNNNNNNNNNNNNNNNNNNNNNNNNNNNNNNNNNNNNNNNNNNNNNNNNNNNNNNNNNNNNNNNNNNNNNNNNNNNNNNNNNNNNNNNNNNNNNNNNNNNNNNNNNNNNNNNNNNNNNNNNNNNNNNNNNNNNNNNNNNNNNNNNNNNNNNNNNNNNNNNNNNNNNNNNNNNNNNNNNNNNNNNNNNNNNNNNNNNNNNNNNNNNNNNNNNNNNNNNNNNNNNNNNNNNNNNNNNNNNNNNNNNNNNNNNNNNNNNNNNNNNNNNNNNNNNNNNNNNNNNNNNNNNNNNNNNNNNNNNGAGAGAGAGAGAGAGUUGCUUUUCGGACUACUGUGGGUGGGUGGAGAGAGAGGGUGGAGAUUAAGUCGUGAUGGUAGAUGCGUAAUUAAGUUGAAAGCUGAUACCUAACAUGGAAGGAUAUUUGGGGUGGACUUGGAUGGACUGGACUUAUAUGGGUAAAAAUGUUGGGGUGGACUUAUAUGGGAAAAAAUGUGUCAUAGUGGAUUUAUAUGUAAUUGGCCCUUAAUGAAAACAGCGCAAGACUUUUCUCAAACCUAAUUGGUGACUAUGUUUAUCAGACAACAAAAAUAUGUUGUCUACGUUGAUCGACUAAUUAAAAAUGUCUGACCUAACUCUUGACUAAGGAAUAGUUGACUUGUACCAAUGCCAACCCUAACCCCCAACCCCUAACCCAACUUUUUGUGCUUUCAUUUUUUUUAAGUGCUUGUAGACAACAUGUAUAUGUAGUAUGAGUUUAAUGAACAAUGAUUAAACUAAUGUUGACUGCAUCGACCGAGACCCAAACAUUAUUGAAAAUGUCUGAAUUUUGUACCAUGGUCAUGUUUCACUAUCAUGAUAAUAUCCAAUACUCAAACUUUAAUUUUUUAGUUUUGGGCAUUUAAUUCACAACGUGCAUACUAAUGUGUUAUAAGACAUCUACUAGAUUAUAUCUAAACGUACAUCUUUAUAAGCCAAAUGUAUGAACGAAAUCUAAUUUGUAAAAUUUGACCGUACGAUAUGAUCAAAGUAGUUAAAUAUGGAUACGAUAGAAAGAUUACCCAUUUUCGAUAACGUUUGGGUCUCGAUCGCAUGAGUCAACUUUAUUUACGCCUAUACUUCCUUAUGAUUCUCUAUGGGGAACUAAACUAUCGAUUUGUAAAAGUGAC